rnacentral:lncRNA from 1 species
UUUUUUUUUAGUAGAAGUCCUAUUUGCAAAACUACUAGUGAGCUUAACAUAACAGAUACACACUUUUGCAUUAGCACAUCGACCGGAUGGGGUUUUCGCAGGUAUCAAUCUGAUGGCACAUACCUUUGGGGACUGGGAAGACUUGAGUGGCCCGAACAGCAUGGGGUUUUUACUGCCAACAGCCACCAAAUCAGAAGAACGAACUGAAUCAGGAAUAAACUCAAUCGAAACGCAGAUUCCUCGAGCAUCAGAGCAUACUCACUCAUAGAUGGUCUUCUUAAACGUCCUGAACCCAGCCCUCAACCUCUCCGCGGAGCCCAACCCCUGCAGAGCACGCAGCAGCAGCCGUCAGCCGUCGCGCCACAAGGGGAAAGGGAAACAGCACAAUGCCGGCGCGCGACAAGAGAAUCGCAUCGCUCGGGGACUGGCCUCGCUGUAGGUGACCAUCUGGGCCGGGUGGUGGUGGCCGGCAGCGCUCGAUCCGCCCCCGAUGAGCGGCUCGCGGGCCGGGCUCAACGGGUUCUCCCGAGGCGGCUUGUGGGCGAGGAAGCAGCAGCAGCAUCCCCCCAUCGCCGAUCGCCCCCGCGAGCCGCUCGAGGAGGGAGAGAUCGGUGGAGAGGUGGGCGCCCGUAGCUCGUUGCCUCGGUCCUGACUCCUGAUUUUGCCCGCGGGCCGCAGGGGAAGGGGAAGAGGGUUUUGCAGUUUCGCUCGGGAUGAAACCGAACUUCGGCAGGCUUGGACUCUCGGGUGUUAUCCUGCUCGCCUCAAUUUGGAAAUCAUUAGCCCGAGAGGAUUGAUUUAGGUUCCGUUGGAUUUGAACUGCGAAAGCACAGAAUGGUGAAAGAGAUUCAGAGUUCAGCUCAGGAUCAUCGCGUGGGCCCCGCCGCUGCUUUAAAUCGGGGCAACGAGACGGCCAGAUUUUAGGUUGGCCGUUGUCUCGUGGCUCGUGGUUGGCUCGGGUUCACCGGUUCACCACCAUGUGAGGAGCUAAUGACAGUUGAGAAGGAUUUCCUUUAAAGUUCAAAACCGAUAAAGUAAAAAAAUUAAAUUCAUCCUAUUUCUAGUUUAUUUUAAUCUAACUUUACAAAACGAUUUCACACUUAGUAUCUCGAUUUGCGCAAAACAGAUGAAGUCGAAACUAAAAUAAACCUCCAAAAGAUAUCUUCCCUUUUCCAUUAUUAUUUCUCAGGUUUGGAUAGACCCUGUAAACUAUAAUCAAUACUCUUUCCGCUUCAAAUUAUAGAUCGUUUUGGUUUUUCUAGAUAUAUAAUUUUCCUUAUGUAUCUGAACAUAGCAUAUAUCUAGAUGCACAUAAAUAUCAAAUAUCAUAUAUCUAGAAAAGUCAAAACAAUCUAUCACUUUUUAGAGUUGCUCUAAGUCAAACUAUUUUAAAUUUAAUCAAUUUUAUAUAGAAAACAACUUGAUGAUAAUCUAUGAACCAAAUAAUACACUACGAAAUAUAUAUUUAAGGGGCAUUUUGUAAUAGACUAAUAAUACUAAUUUGGUGUUAUAAAUAGUAGUGCUCUUUUGCGUAAGUUUGAUCAGGCUUGAAAUAGUUUGACUUAAGAGAACUCUAUAAAUUGAUUUAUUCUUUAUGGAGGGAGUACUUCUUUUCAACUAUAAAUAAGAGGAGAAAACCAGGCAAUGCUGCAGCUCAUCACUGGCCAAGCCAACAAGUGCAGAGUGUGCCCUAACCUGCGUGUUGACUUUCUAGCGGGACUUAAAACCAUCUUCUUCGUUGGCAGAAAGCCUUUCAUUCAGCAACACACAUUUACACAGUCACAGGUUUGCAGGGAUAAUAUACACAAGAAUGCUAGGUAGUUGGCCUUAAUCAAUUUUUUUUCAUAAUAAUAACUUGUAGGAAUAGUUGACAACUCAGGGGGCAAACAGGCUUUGCCUUUCACUUUCGUUUUUAACUUUUUUCCAGAUUUUCUAUAUAUGUUUGAUGUUGUUUAAUUUUCAGUGUUCUUCAAACGAAUAAACCAACAGUAAGAUACUUCUAUAGGGCAAAUGACAUUCAAUACAGCAGGAUUGCAAUGUGGGCAGCUAGCACAUCCAGAGGAAACAGGCGACAUAACUACUACUAAGCCCAAGAACACGUCAUGACAGAAAAAAAACCCAAUUAUGCUCUUAACUUCAUGCGGCCCACUUUCAAUGUUUUGUCUUAAUUAUGAAAAAAUAACACGCCAUGACACGUCUUUUCCUUCAGAGGACGAGUUAUAUACGCCAUGACACAUCAUGGAGAGCAGCAAAAGGUAGCAUAAGAAGGUAAACUCUUUCUCUCUUCAUGAUAAUAUGAAUGAAAAGAUCAUUACAGCUGAUGUGUUUUGACCACACGUCGAUCAAACUAUGCAUCAUACAUACAUUAAAAAAGAAGAAGAAAGAACUCCGCGACAGAAAAUUGUAUUGCUUAUUACAGUUCACAAAGAGCAAUCCGGUAUGUGUGUAUAGGGGCAAAUUAGUAGUACUGCUCCACGCAGUCAGAUGUAUCGAUCGGGAGCAUAUAUGUUGUAGCCGUACAUGAUUAACAGCUAGCCUGGUUGGCCGCUCAUGGAUCCCAUGUCUCGAACUUGCCGGAGACGAAGUCGUAGUGGCCGCCGACCAGCUUGAGUGUCCCCUUCUCCAGCCCUUCCUUGACGAACGGGUAGGUCUUGAGGUUCUCGAGGGACACGUUCACGGCCUCCUGCAAGGUAAAGUGUUCAGAGGUCCAACAACAGCCACGCACUCCAUGAGCAAAUCGUUUUCCCGUUGGAGCUCGUCUCCAAGAUGAUGAUCCAGACAGAGGUCUUUUAAUUUCAGAGCAUACCUUUUCCAAGGCGGAGCAUUGGUCUUCGAAGGGGGCCGAGGCGUGGUCGGCCUGCACCUUCGUCUUCGCGGGGCCGCCGAUCCUGACCCAUUCCUCGACGAAGUGGCUGGACAGGGGAUCAAACAGUAAGUAGUGAUGCAAGAUACAGCAAACCAGUUUCAAGUUCUCAACACCGUCGUCAGUUGUCUGAGUCUUCCACACGGAUGCUUACAACUUGUCGGGCUCGCCGUCCUUGAGCGAGAGGAGCGCCUUGAUCCCGCCGCAGCGGCUGUGGCCGAUGACCACGAUGACCUCCACCUUGAGGGCGCAGACGGCGUACUCGAUAGCGGACCCGACGCCGGCGUACCGGGUCUGCAAGCAGAACGUGCGUGAGCGGUCGAGCCGACGACGAUGCCUGCCAGCGGCGGCGACAUGCUGCGAGAACUACCAGGCGCGCGUACCUUGUCGUAGGGUGGGACCAUGCUGGCGAUGUUGCGGACGGAGAAGGCCUCGCCGGGCUGCAGGCCCAGGGUCACCGACGGGCACACGCGGGAGUCGGAGCAGGCGAACACCAGGUACUGCACACAACCAUGAAUGGCAGCGAACAGUCAGCAGCCGGGUUACCGAUCCUCUGACCCUGACGGCCAUUGCUCUCCCUAGCUGGCUAGUAGCUCCUACUUCCUAUCAAGGGUUAAGCCCAAGACGGGGGAUAGGAACAGUAACAUGAGGCUCCUUUCAGAAAUAAAAAGUAACAUGAGGCCGGCCUACUUUAUUUGCGAGUGACGACAAGGUGGACCGUGGCUAGAAAAAUGUAUGGAAUCUUUAGUUCGAGGCUUCGGGCAACUAGCAGGAUUCGACAUUUCCGACUACAUAUACUUUAGAGUCCCCAUCAAACUCUGUUUUUUGAAGAGUCCCAUCGAACUCUGUUUCUUUGAAGAGUCCCAUCAAACUAUGUUGUUAUUUUACAUAAAGAUUGGGAUUAGUUUAGGCCAAAAUUUUCAUACUUUGACCCUUAAUCUUCCUUAAAAAAACUAUAUAAAUCAACUAUGUAAAACUGAUGUUACUAAGUCCACCAUGAAAAAUAUUUCAAUAAAUGUAACUCUUCAAAUAAUAUAUCUCCAUGGAUAUAGCUUGCCAAAGUAAGGUAAUGAAAGAUCGUGUGUCAAAACCAGGCGAGCCACAGAUAUGCAGAUUUCUAAUAAAGAGUUACGUGUGGACCAUAUCAUAUUUAAUUUCUUUCUAAUAUCUUUUUUUUCUGGAUGAUGGUCUAUCUUCUAAUAUCUAUAGAUGAUGUAUAUCUGCCGUUCUUAGCUUCUUGUAGCUGCUGAUAGCCAUUUCUGAACAUCUUUUUUAUUCUGGCGCACGUAUUACUCAUUUGGUCAACUUCUACCGCUUCUUUUUUUUCCCUCAUUUGGUCAACUUUGACCUCGAUCAAAUGCUGCGUGCACACAUUCGCAGGCGGCGUUGGACGCGGAUAGGGGGGGCCGCUAGAUCAACGGCAGGGUUGGUGGCAAAUGGGGACCCGUGAUUCCCGAUGUGCUAUCUAGUACGGGAAAACGGUUGUGUUGCCGGCCGGAUCCCCUCAGGAUAUUCCGAAUUUACUAUGAACGCAGAAACUGGCCGCUACGAGCUUCGAAAAUUUUGGUGGUGAACAAGAAUGCAAGAUAUAUUUCUUUACUCCAUUCUACAGUGCAUACCUUGGGGGACUGGUGGGCCUUGAGCGGCUCGAACGUCUCCGGCUUCUUGCUGCCGAUCGACAGGGAGACGGGUCGUCAAAGAGUCAAUUCACUUCACAUCGAGCAGGAGGCUUGGGAGAAUAGAGAGUAGCUUGGAUCACUUACUCGUAGACAUCGGCCUUGAACUGCUCGAACCCGGUCUUCAAGCGCUCGACGGCGUCCGCCAUGGCCUCCUGCAAGAGCCACAGAUCAUGUCGUCAACACAGCUGUGCCGUCCGUCCACAACAAGAUCACCAGAUGCGUCAUGCAGAUUUCUCGGGGUGGGGGGGGGGGGGGGAGUCAUGCGAAUUGCGAGCGACGAGUCUAGAAAGGGAAAGAAGAUGGGUUGAAGCAUGGAGGAUGGAGGAGGAGGGGGCUGACCUUUGGGCUGCAGAGGAGAGCAGGUGGUGAACUGUGGAAGGAUUGACGAAGACUGUGGAAGGCUUUGCUUCGCUGUAGAGCUGCCCCGUCCAUGCCUCCCCGGGGGACCUUUUUUAUAGGAGGGGGGAGGCACGGGAAGCAGCGGCUCGCCUUCUUUUCCUGCCCCCCCGGUCGUGCAGCUGGACGGAUGGACGCGGGGAACGGCGAACCGGUCCAGCACGAGACGUGUCAUCGUGCGGGACGGGGUACACCACUAACCCACCGAGCUUCCAAAGGUCCAUCCUGCAGGCCGCCUUCGCCUUGACCUCCGGCUGGCCGCGGCCGGGCAGGCGUGGCGCCGGGCUUGGGGUGCCGUCCUUCCCCGGGGAAACGAGGAGGACGAUGGAGAGGCUGGAGCCGGAUGGGCUGAACGCCGCGGUGGACACGGCUCACGACGCGUGGCGCCCUGCCGGUUUAGCGGAGCCGGAGAAAACGAGGGGGCGCGGUGUGAAGACCCAAGAGGUAAAUACUUAAUUUUAUUUAUUAACUAAUCCACUAAUUAGUAAUUUUGAAGAACAUAAGUAUUAAAAAUCCAUGAGAGAAAUUGGAUCUCGUAACUGAUCAUCAAAUUACCUCACCCCCUUCUCAUUUCUCAAAUAUUCUAGCACAUAUAUAUAGAUAUAUAUUUAUCUUUAUCCAUUAUAGAAUUUAGUUAGAAAUUAAUCUAUGCACUCUUCAUCGUCGUUGAUAGUUUUCUUUUUGCAUGGCAUCUGCAUCUGGGUUUGACAUUUUUCUAACUAAAUUCUUAGUUUGGGCUAUGUGUUUAACAUGGAAAUUGGUGCUAUCAUAGCUUCCUGCAUAUACAGGGGUGGAUCCGACCCACUUGGUGCUGUUACUUGAUAGCAAUGGAUUUUUAAAAUCCAAGGCUAAAGUUAUCUUGAUAUUAGAGAAAAUCAUAUCGUAAAUUUGACACUAGUGACAUCAAUGGUUCUCUAUUCUAGAUUACCGCCUAUGUAGAUAUGUAUACAUGGUCUAAACCGUAAGUUAGUAUCUUUAUAACAGAAAUAAAUAAUUUAGAAUUUUUUAUUGGUGUGCACUGGGAUACUUUUUUAUAAUGAUAGAUGCAGUUAAUCAAGAAGCCAAUUUAGGGAUUAUUUUCAAUUGUUUUUAGUAAUAGCACAUAUGGAUAAUUUAUAUAUAUAGAUUUAGGAUGUUACUUUAUUAGAUGAUUUUUAUACUAAAAUGGCAGCGACGGGCUACUUUUUAUGCAUGUCCAUGAAGCAUACAACCAAGAAAAUGUUGUAAUGAAACUGAGAUCUUAGUAAACCUUGUGCUUUUCACGAGCAUACAACCUUGCAAUUUCUCAUAUUAAUACUAAGGUACAUAUCUGUCUGGUGUAUACGAGAGGGGGGAAAAAAAGAAUGUGCAACCAAAGCAGAGACAAAAAGAACAUGAGCAACCAUUUAGAGAUCUACUGGAAGGAACAGAGAGCAAGCAACCAAACUUUACUUCUGGUUUAAAGCGUGUGAUCAAUGUGGAUUAUUACUGUUGAUUUUUCUAGCUUAUUAGCAUGCACUGUAGCACGCAAAAGCACAUAGGCAUAAAGACCCCCCCCCCCCUCUGUUGAGUGCAAGAUUUUCAGAAAGUUUAGGGGUCAACUUUCUUAAUCUUUUUUUGUGAAGACAGCUUUGUAGUACAAAAUCAUUCAUGUCUCACAUAAAAAUGGUAGCACCAGCAUUUCAGGGAGAGAGAGAGAGAGAGAAGGGGCAUCAAGAUGUAGUAGAAAGGUAAAGUAUGCAUGAUAGUAUUAUGAAAAAGGCUUAUACAGCUGAUGUCUCUUGACCACAAAAGCGGUCUAAUUACGCACCAUAUAUAUUACAUAUAAGCUCCACCUUAGAAAUUAAAGCAGUAGAAGCUGCUAUUGCUUAUUACAUUCACAGAUAGGACGAUCCGGUUUGUAGCUGUCGAAAUAGGAGGUAAGUCCUCCACGCGUUGACAUCGACCGGGUGCAUAUACGUCGGUAUGUAUGUAUCUGAUGUAGUAGGAGUUUGCGGCCUAUUUCUCCCAUGUGUCGAAGAUUCCGUUCACGAAGUCGUAGCGGGCACCGACCAGCUUGAGGGUCCCGUUGGCCACGCCUUCCUUGACCCAGGGGUAGGUCAAGAGGUUCAAAAGGGACACGUUCACGGCCUCCUGCAGAAACAUUCAGAAAUGCAGGAUCCUCUCAUGAGCAAACCAAUUCGAUCUUUAUGAAAUCACGCGCGUAUGGGCAGCGGGUAACCAAAGAUCGCCAUGGCAACCAGGUCGUAGCCCGUGCGUACCUUCUCCAAGAUGGAGCACUGGUCAUCAAACGGAACCGUGGGGUGCUGGCUCAGCACCUUCUUCUUGGCCAGGAAGCCGAUCCUGACCCAGUCCUCGACGAAGUGGCUGGGCGCGUCGCCAAACAAACAAAGAACAUCCUCGAGUCAGAGACAUGAUGCUGCAGGGGUAGCAGGCUCCUCCCAUCUAAAACUUUGUUCCACCGUGACUUACAAGGUGUCGGGUGCGCCGUCCUGGAGGGAGAGGAGCGCCUUGAUGCCACCACAGCGGCUGUGGCCAAUCACGGUGAGGACCUCCACCUUGAGGGCGCAGACGGCGUACUCGAUGGCGGACCCAAUACCGGUGUACUUGUUCUGCAGUUCACGAAGCAAAAGCAACCGAGUCAGCGGUCAACACCCCACCAGCAAAGAAAGAUCACCGGCCAUGCGCCAGGCCAGCCGGUACGCGUACCUUGUCAUAGGGCGGGACCAUCGCGGCGAUGUUGCGGACGGUGAAGGCCUCGCCGGGCUGCAGGCCCAGGGUCACCGACGGGCAGCAGCGGGAGUCGGAGCAGGCGAACACCAUGUACUGCAGCACAUAGCAUGAGCGAAAAAAGGGGGAAAUCAGAAUCAUCAACAAAAAUGGGGAAAAAUCUGUGUCAGGUCAGCGAUAAGAGCACGCGAGCAUUUCGCGCCCCCACCACACGGCUCUUAUCGAUAAGCAGGUAGGCAGAUCGGCGCUGAUCGGUGGAGUGCAGGAUUCGGGUGGCCCUUGUGGAUGUGCGUGCAAGCGAGUACCCCCGCCGCUCGAAAAAGGCUGCCACUUUUGACCCGCCUCUGCCCGUCUCUGUUCCGAUCCACUUUCUACCACCGGAGCCGCCGCUCCGUUGGCGAGGAAGCCAAGCUGCAGGAAGGUUCCCCGCUGGGAGCGGCAAGGAUACUCUGCGCGGGCUUUGCUGUGGCCCCAUGGGUGGCGACCAACGGGCAACAAACACUAGCGUUGCCAUUACCGGCAGGCAAGGACGUAAUAUUUCUGGACGCAAAGGCGAGACCCGUAUGCACGAACCCAGAAGGAUUCUGAGGGAAAAGCCGAGAGCCAAACUGCCAAAUCCGGCAUCCGCACUGCCGAUUAAGCUUGGUGACAAGAGCAGCAGGAGGAGGCUAGCUAAUGGGCUACUAUAGUGCGCGAGGAUCAUGGAUCACUUUGUUCCCAUUACGACAGCAAUCGGCAUGGACGGCCGGCCGGACACCAGGGUAUGUAGGAAAGGGAACCUUGUUCCGGCUUGCAUAAGCUCACGCUGGAGGCCAGGACUUGGAAAAGGGGCUCGAGGCUAAAAGGCGAUUACGACGCGUAGCGUGAUGCAAUCACCUUCAGCGACGGCAUACACUACGUUGAUAGUAUGAGCAUAUCUCCAGGAUCAGCAUGCAUGGCCAGGGAGAUAAGGAUGCGAGUAGACAAUGUUCUGAACGCUAAAGCAACAGGCCCCGUCCAACACUUAUGUGGCUAACUUUUGCACGGGCCUGGCUGGGAGGAGAGGACAGAGGACACGUCCAAACCAACUACCACCCCUAGCUAGCUACGCUGAUUGUGCCGGUGAAGGAAGAAUUCCGUGAGGGACCAUUGUUCAACAGGACCGGUUGAUGCAUGGUAGGGCCUUGUGCCCAGUCAUGGCUGGACCACACGUCCAGCCGUGGAAUGAUGGCAUGCUGGUUGGUGAUACACGCCUCGCUACCCCUUUUGGUGUAUAUGGUAUGUAUGUGCAGCGUUCAAAUGUAAUGAUGAUGGACCGGACCAUGGAGAGAUGCAGGAAAUUCUUUGGGAUUCAACACGGCUUAGGUGGUGGUAACUCUUUGUUUUCCACGGACCGAUUAAGCAGCCAAGCUAGACCACCCUUUUCUUUUCAAGGAAAAUCAGCAGACUACUUGCUUGUGCCUGGAACCAGCCAACUACAGCACGCUGCAUGGAGUGAAUCGGCGCAUGGGAUCGAUGCCAGCCUGGAACCCCCCAGAAAGAAAACAAUAAAACUCUGUACUUGCGAGAUUCUGCCACCAGGUAAAUACCUAGGAACGGGAAGGAAGUAGGAUUAUAUAUCUCUAUACACACACACACACACACACACACACACAAUAUCCACCACCCCAGCUAGCCAGAAAAGUGAGCGUAUAUAGGGACGGCGACAUCUCAACAGUUCACACGCAGGCCAAAACGCCCCAACCGCCAACAUGGCUCGCACAUGGGAAUGCACUCGCGCCGCGCAUGUUCGUGGCCGGGGGGAGCUCGUAUCCACUAGCGAUUUCUCUGCACAGUUUCGGCUUCAGAUUUCCCCAGCUGACUGAUCACGGGCCAACUGGCCGCUAAUGGCGACAAGCUGUCCCCAUCAGUCUUAAGCCACGCAAUCAAGGACAAGCUGCGUGCUCCCCUUUGUCUACCACGACCUCUUUGACCUCGGCCCCGGCGCAAAUGCCUGCACCCAGGGAUGCCAAAUGAAACAGUAACGGAAUGGCAGGGGCAGCACAGCAGCAGGUGCCAACGGGAAUGCAGGGAUCCUGGUGAUGAACACGACGAGCUAGCUGGUACCAGCAGCGACACUGUUCUGGCUUGGCUUCUACUACCUGGACGGAUGGGGAACCGCCGGCAAGUACCACCAAAUCUGUGGACCAGCAACGUCAGGCGUUGCCCGGACCCCCACGGAAACCCCGAGCUCCUGAACGCGGUUUGCCUAAAUUAAGCUUCCCAGCAUUUGUGCCGAGGAGCCGGGCGGGCGGACGGCCGGAGUGGAUGCAGACAAAAAUCUUAGCAGUCUAGUACAAGGGUGAUGGGACGGGAUUGGAUAGGAGGAGAACAUACCUUGGGGGCCUGGCCGGCCUUGAGCGGCUCGAACAGCUCCGGCUUCUUGCUGCAGAGAGGGAAUUCACACGGGCACAGGGUUAGUUGGAGCUCCCGAGAAAAAAAAAAUCCCCAAAGAAAUCAAGCGCCAUGGAAGCUGGAAUCGAGCGCCGGCGGGUGCUGCAUCGAGUGGAGCGGACGACUUACUCAUAGACCUCGGUCUUGAACUUCUCGAACCCGCUCUUCAAGCGCUCGACGGGGUCCAUGCCCUGCAACAGCGAGAAAGACCAACCACAAACCGUCAGCUCGCCGUCCCCAGAAAGGACCAAAUUGUGUGCUCUUGAUGCAGCAUGAGAGACAGAGUGGGCAGGGGACAAGAGCUUGCCGCAAGAAAGCAUGCACAAAGGUGAUCUGAAGGGGAUGCAGGGAUCUGCUUUGCUACUGAGCGAUGGGGGCAGGGGACGAAAGGAAGACGGACGGACGGACGGACGGGUGGACGGAGAUUACUGUGGGAGGAAGAAGGAAGGAGGGAGGGAGGGAGGGAGGGAGGGGGGGAACGGACCUUGGAGGGAGGAUGUGGAGAGUGGGUGGGCUUCUUGUUCUGGAGGACCGCGGAGGAGACGGCCUCCUUCUUUUUAUAGCAGGGGAGGCAAAGGCACCCGCUCAUCUUCGAACGCGCGGCUUGGAUGCUACUAGAGUAGGAGUACUUCGCUUCUCUCUCGUCUGACUUUUGAGCUUCUCGUUCGGCGGUUUACUAGCAACAUGACACGUGGAAUAAUGGCGUGAGAGAGAGAAGGAGAAAAUCAAUACACGUAGUAGUAAUGGGUGAGUGCGGUUUCUGUGGACGGGAUAACACCCCAGUAGUUGCUAAAAUUUUCGUCAUCCAUUUUUCAGGCACCCGUGAGAUGUAGUAUUGGCCGAGAACGUGUGCGGUUAGCUCUGCUAUUUUGAGUUCAGCCGGUUAAACCCGGUGCUCUUUUUAUUUGAAUGGUAAACCAGGUGCUCUUGAAGGAGAAGAAAAAAAGAAGUCCAUUGGUACACGGAAAAGUUCAGACAGCCCGAAGCGUAGCUCAGAAGAUGAGGCCAGAAGUAAACGGGUCGGCGUAAGCUGCUGAGGCGAAGGCUGGAAGGACCAACUUACCGUGACCAUGACACUAUUACUGACGAUGCGCGAGGCACCGCCGGGUACGGACAGCGAGAGCACAAGUGGCCGGCCCGGCCAUCUGCCGCCGGCCAGGUUGCUUGCGCCUUUCCUUUUUGCUGCUCCCUGCCUCCCGAGUCCCCACCCCCCCGAUCGAGAAACGUUUCCCCAGGGGGUUAUUCCCAGAUCCAAGGAAUCUCGAUGCCCACUCGUCCAGAUCUGGUCUGCCCACAGGGCUGCUGUUCUCUACUUCCCCAAUCCCCAUGGGUUCUAAACUUCUACCAGAGGUCGUCCUUCUAGCUCGUGGCAAUGGGAACCCACCGCCGGACGACGGGGGCGGCCACCAAUGGCACGGCCGGCCUCGCGAUCCAACCUUCCUUAUCGGCGCGCCUAAACUACUCCCUUCGCAACCGCCGGGGCCACAGACCCGGCCAGCGCCUCACCUCCUAAAUUAUUGGAGGCUCCUGCGGUCGAGCUCAGCUCAUCGAGAGCUUGUCCCCCUGAUGCCCCCUCCUAACCAUCCAACCCAAGCGACCUCUCCUCUUAUUGGGGGCUCCUUUUACUGUUUGUACUUCCCGCAAAUCUAGUGCGUAUCUAAUGGCAGCUACAGGUUUCUGCACCGCACCACCGGCCAGAGCCAGAGAGUCAUGGUGCGUGCGAUCGAUGUCAACGCUGUCCGCAUCGCAUCGCAUCGCAUCAGCGUGGUGACGUGGUAGCAACGAAAAUCUAGCUAGACUCCUCGUACUGCUAGCCAGCGCUGACAAGUCUGGCUACCAGUUCACCACAGAGCGAGAACCACAACUUUUUUCCCCUGGUUCCAUAUGUACUUAUUAAAGUUGUUUUUUUUUGGAAGUUGCAAGUAGCUAGUAAUCUCGUGCUAGUUCGUUCGUUGCUCUGGCCAAAAAAAAAAAAAACUCAACGGUGAGCAAAAGCAAAAGGCGGGAAUUCAUCGGCGUUAAAGGGAAAAGGCUGACGUUGAUGGGGGCUUAACCGACUGAUGGUCGGUUAUUGGAUUACUGGAUGCGUUAUGGACCAAACGGAACUGAAAAGCCAGGAGACGGAUGCGGGGCUAGCUAGCUCUUGACACCUUCUAAUCUGUGCGGUAGCUAUCAUGCAAGGAGAGUCCAUGGCGACCCUACUCCACCUUAUCGCUUGUUUUAUAAUUAGGUGGAAAAAGGCCGAGCCACGCUCGACGUCGCUAAGCAAGUGUACUUGGAACUUUUGGGGAAUUCUAAUCUAUCCUAUCGAUCGAAAGCAUCUGCUAGUUGCUGCCUUUAAACUGGCACUAUCAUUGGCCACCUCUUUGGAAGCCCCUCCCUCCACGAAUAUUCUAUGGCAGGUGGUUGACAUGCAUGUUGCUAGUACUAAUAACAGAUGGAAGAAUGGUUAUUAAAUUACUAGUAGUAUAUACUAUGCAAUGAUUGGUCAUGGUCCAAAAGAAGUGGAGAAGAAGAUGAGGCUAUGGUCUGCCGCAUUUGCGGACUCGGCCUUGGCAUUAGCUCUUGGAGCAGAUUAAGGAACAGUGCGGCGCCUCCAUGUUCUCAGGGGACGCGUAGUUUUUUUUUAAAAAAAAAAUCUAAUGCAUUUGUGGCAAGGUGGUGCAUCAUUAGUUGACCCGACCGUGUUGCGUUGUACCCUUGCGUGGCACUUGGAUUUUGUUUCUUUUUCAGAAACCCCUGGUCAGUACCAGCAGCUACCUCCUAGAUUAUGGGAAGGAAGUUUUUUCUUUUUCUUUUUUUUUUGCUUUUGCGGUGGUGCAUUCCGUUCGUCUUGCCGGAGCCGGAAAUAGCAAGGGCAAGCACAUGUGCCAACUUGUUAGUUACCGAAAAGAGAUGCAUGGAAGCAGUGUGGGUAUCGACAUGCAUGCAUGCAGAGGUAAUAGUACACAAUGUGCUCGGUGCGGUGUGCCAUGCAUGCGUGCGUGCGCACGUACCACGAUGGCGGAGGGGGCGGCGAAGACGGGCGCGCUCAUGAUGAGCCUGGGGCGGGCGGAGGCGGGGAUGCCGGACUUGGACGGCGCGGGGGUGCCGAGGCCGGCGACGAUGCUCGAUGCGGCGGUGGAGGCGCGCACGGCCAAGGUAAGCAUAUGUGGGGGUGCUCCCUUGGUUGGUGCCGCCUCCCUGCGCGCGCCCCCAAGAAAUAGCUGCGCCGCGACCGCGUGCCGACAACAAACCGCCGGACGCGAGCGGCGCCGGCGUGCGGCCCGGCUGGGCCGGUGGAUCCGGGCCACUCGGCGCCUCAUCCGCCAGCAGCGCGCCACCCGGCCUCCCCACCACCCCCUGCCGGGGAUGGAGGGAUAGGACUCGGGUCGGGAUAACGCGCCGCGGCACCGUGUGGCGGACGGGCGCGCGCCCCCGGAUGGCUUGGCACGCCCGCGCCCUGGGCCACACGAGCGCGGCCGGGGGGACGGACGCGAAAACGAAGGGCCCUUCGUUCCGAUGCGCGGCGUCGAGAAACGCCAGCUGCUGCGCGGUCGUGGUGGAUGGGGAUGUGAUUGGAUGCUGCUGCGAGCGGCGAUGGGGGGCGUUGGGCCGGUGUGGGCUGCUGCUGGCGGGGCGCCACGCGUGUGACGGGGGUUCUCUUGGCGCCGGUGACAUAUCCAUCGGAAUUAUGGUGUGGCUGCCCUUCAUUAAUCACCGGGCCGAAAUGGAUGGUUCGGUGGUUAUUAGGUGAUGUCAGGUCAGGGGACUGAGCGCGUGAUCUUGGUUGGAGUGGCAGGCAGCACGUGAUGGGGGUUGAGACACGUCGGCGAAACGUUAGUUGUCUGGUGGAGAACUCAUAAGUUUUUCUUUUAAAAGAAAAGAAGAAGAAGAAGAACAACAACAACAUGUGCACAUCAUUGCUCACCGAGCGAUACUAGCUCUUGGCUUCAGAGACUUGUGUUGAGCUCAGGGCCUGCUGGAGGAUAAUAGUGGCAUAGCUUUCGGCCCAUCGAGCUGGUUGUGCGCGGCAUGAAGCCUGCCACGGCCCAUCCUUGUUCAGUUUGUUUUCCGGCAGCCUGGCCCGAGCUGGAUUUGGGCCCAGGCUCCCAUGCGCCCUGCUGUUCCUGUACAGCAGCAAGAAGGAAAGCAUAUGCCUCCUGGUUAGAUAACUUCGCAGAAUUGCAUGCCUCCUGGUUAGAGAGAGAUCAGCAGCAGUAGGAAAAUGACUGACUUCGGGUUGUCUAAGAGUCACUAAGAAUGUUCAGGAAAUGAUCGGAUGUUCUUAUACUGUGAUUGUGUGCUCGGUAGGCGUGCUUGGACUCUUGGACCUGGCCGUCAUGUUUGGCUUGGUUCUCCUCCGGUAUUCUUGGAUGUAAGCGUUUUCCAACCUUCCGCUCGAGAAAACAGUGGCAAAUUACCUGCCUUUAGAGUUGAGAAGUCUCUUCCUCUGAACAACAUCUGUGGGAGUUUCAAGUCCAGUUCAACUUUGUGGAAAUUUGAACCGGUGAUCUUCGCGUCUGCAUCCAUAGUCCGCAUUCAAUGAUCAGGGCUGCAGCAAGACGGGGUGCAGACGCAUAUGCUGCUGCGCGCUGCGAAAUUUUUUACAGGAAUGCAUACAACAGUGCCACUCUCUUGCUACAGCUACGACUACUGGAGAGAGAGAGAGAGAGAGAGAGAGAGAGAGAGAGAGAGAGAGAGAGAGAGAGAGAGAGAGAGAAGUGAACAGCAUACUAGAAUGAAUCGAAGAGUUGUAAAUUUACCUUUCUCCAUGGCCGCCGUAUCCUCUAUUCCCCCGUCAAAUUCUUGGACUCCGGCCGAGCCAAGCUUCGCGGAUGCGUGGCUAGCUGCUCCAUGCACACGCGGUCGAUCCGAUUACGGUGGCCGCGUGCAGCUAGCCACGAGCCAUGCCGAUGCCGAGUUGAGCACGGAUCGAGCUGAAGCUCCAUCCUGCACCGAGAGCUAGCGCACGGGCCAUUACUUAUGCUGCCUCUGCUGGCGCACGGAGGCGAACCGGCGGCGUGCAAGUACGUGGAAGGGUUGACACUACUAGCUUGGGCCGGCCUGUUCGCAAGCUAAAAGGAUGUGCUCACUUUGGCGACACAAUAGACACCCGGUAGCUUGGUGUGCAGGUCCAGACAGCGCAGGACGAGGACAACAAGACCCGGGAAAAGGGAAACGCUACAAAAUUGGUGUUGUCAUGCGCCUGUAGCUAGCGGUCGAGCAGCAUCAGCUUUGAGUUGGCGCCCAGAUAUCGAAUUAUGAUCUGCUCGUUUCGAAUUCCACUUGUCCAUUUCUUCAUGUACACACGCGCUGUAAAGAUGCCUCGCGGUAUCGUGUUGAUUGAACAGCGUGUCUGCUCGCUAGCAUAAUAGUGUAGGGCUCAAUACUAGUCAUUGGGCCCGUGAUAGACCACCUUGCAGACGUUUCCUUUUGUUCGGGAAAGGAUUCCCGCCUGCUCACUCCACCUUCGCGAAGGGGUUUCUUGUGUCCAUACUCCGGUGAAAAGAUUCCAAGCGCACCGGCGGUCUGACGAUGGAUUGGGACAGGCUUAGCGAGUACAGAAAAAUCGAAUUGUGAAAUUAGUGAAGGGUCCUUAAACGCUUCGGAAGAUAAAUGUCUUCGCUCAUCUCUCAUCUCAUAAAACUCUCGUUCCUCUCCCCUCGUAAUCACCCUGCUAUGUCAAUAAAUUUGGUGAUGUGGCAUAAGAUUUAUUGCCCACAAAACUUCACUGGUCUAGCUGGGACCAAGGUAAGCUGUGGUAGGUCUGAGCGGAAGCGAAGGCUGGCCAGAGCUUCCAUAAAAACUGGGCGAUUUUGGCAAAAAAAAUCAUGGUUUAAUUAACCAGAUUAUAUGCCAUGUUCGGUUGGGUACUAGUCUUUUAUUUCAAACAGACGGAAGAGGAAUCUGGUUCUGUUUAUCCGGCUUGUCCAAAUAACAUAACUAUGCUGGUGAUUUCCCUUUCUUGAAUCUUUUUAUUCUCCUCCCCUUUCCAUUUUUAGAAAGUAUUAAGUAAAAAUUUAUUCACACGGAUUUAGUGGAUAAAUUAUCAUGAUAACUUUUGGAUGAAUAGUUUAGCAGUGUUUCUCAAAAAGAAACUUAUCUGGGAUAACUUUUCAUGUAGAUUUCUUCAAAGCAAAGCUCCGUGGAAAGCUUGCUCAUGCACGUUUGUCAAAAAAAAAUCUUCAGACAAGUUUGCCGAAAAAAAAGCUUCCCUGGAUAAGUUUUGCCGAAAGAAAAGCUUCCCUGGAUAAGUUCUUUAAAAACCUUCUCAAAUUACAAUUUCUAACAACAAAGCUUUCUAGAGGUUUUUGAAAAGUUUUGAGGUGAAGGUCUUCUAAACACUUCAUCUAGAAAAUUUACAGUUGAAGGAAAGGGUGGACAGAAGCAAGAAUAGGCAUAAACUGCGAAAAGGACACUGUCACGCUGAUGUGCAUCAGUCUACAGAAUUUCCACUAAUGUUUCACUUUUGUUUCUCGUGAGUAUAGCCAACGCAGUGAAGGCCUAUAGAAGCCCAAUAUAGUUAAGUUCAACCCCAAGGCGGCCCAAACCAGAUUGAUAAUUGUAGCUUCGGUUUAUAUAAACAGGGCCUGCUCGCGUGCUUCCAGUUUGAAAUGUUCAUGUGACCUAACGUCAACUGCGCAAACAACCGAAACAACGAACGUAAGCAAGAAAUUAAGAAUCCACCGCUGUCACUUCCUGUCCGGCAGUCCUCCACCAACAACCAGCGCUCAGAUUUCAGACUUCAGAGUAGCCUGGGGCGUACGUCUGCUGCGUUAGGUUACGCAGCUCGGGACAAGCAACAAGUUGAAGCAUGUCGUGGAGUGCUCCAUCGCCAAGGAACACAGGAAUGCAGUAGGAGGUAGGCGAAAGCGCACAUGCUCUUUCCCCAGCAGGACAUGGAUAGCAUAGCUAGCUCAAUCGAUUAGAAAGGUCAAGAUGUGGAGAGUCGGAUGCACGAAUUAACUCGCAAAAAUCAAUUGCUGACUUGUGUAUUUUACCCUCAAAGUGGUCCCGUCAGCUAACCACACCAAACACUGAACUUCUGUUAGGUGAGUCCGAAUGGCACCGAGUACGUACGCACGGCACGCACAUGCUGCUCGAGUGAGUUACUGCACCAGAAGGGAACUGGCACGACGACGAGGGAGGGAGGGAUCAUCUCUGAGCUCCGACGCGGCGACGCGGUUGCUGCGUGGUCGGUCCCGGUGUAGAAGCGGGAGACGACGACGUGUUCCGGUAUUCCCCGUCCGCGGCGCUGUCUGUGCGAACGCGUGGAGCACAGGUCCCCGCCGUUGAACGGAUCCGUUUCCGCGAGAUCAACCUGACGCGCGCGAGAGAGGCACUGAACCACUGGAGCUUCUGUCAUCCCCGAUCUCUAGCGAUCCGCCCGUUCACUCUCUGUUGACAAGUUCCGGUAAAUCUGGUGCAGCUAGCGCGCGCCCUUUCCGUCAUUCUGGAGUUCCUACCGGCUAAAGGGGCACGACGAAACCUAACCUGUAUCCGACAGUACCAAACACAAACCCGGGGACCGGCUCUGCAGAGUACUCUGUUAGCAAGUGGGGCUGCGCCGGCAACGCAUUGACGCCCUUGCAGACGGUCGCCCGCCCCCCUCUGCUCCGGGCAAGCUGCGGUCCGCGCGCGGGGGGUCAAGGGAAGAGGGAUGACGACGCUCGCGAUCGGUGAGCCGCGGAUCGUGGGGCGUGUUCUAGAAUCGAUCGAGCGUGGCCGGAUCGCUCUCUCCGGUCUCGCUGGCGCUGCUGCGCUCGGCUCGUCGUUGCGAGAUUGCAGUCGCGUCUGGGGUGUCUGUCGGGAGCACGGAACGAUGCCGGAUCCAGAGUUCCACAGCUCCUGCUACUGAGCUGAAUGCCUGUGCUGCUCUGCUGCGGAUUCGUUGUGACAGCUACCCAGCGUGUGAGUGAUUGGUUCCAUCGACAUGGAGAUGGCUCUGUUUCUCCGUAUUCAUGAUUGGAGGUAUAGUUUCUUUUUUUUUUAUUUUCACGUUGCAUAUAUGUCCCUUUUGAGGUAAUAAAUUUUUGGAAAACGUACUAGUGGUACUGGUACCUAUCGGGCUGGUUAAUGCGAGACGAAAGGUUGUUUUUGCGUCGAGACUCCAGAUUCGGGGAGGAGUGCAAAGAUCUCUCGGAACAUCGGCACCCUCCCUCCCUCCCUCUCUCUCUUGAGGUGCCUGUGGAGAGGCUGUAACAUCUGGGGCUGCCGUGGCAGCAGCGGCGGAAUACGGUUGACCAAGCCUGCAGAAGCCGGCACCCGCAGCCUCUCCGUGCUCCCGUGCGUACGGCAGAACAAAAUUGUACAACGAAAAGGCUGCAAUUUCGCCGCCACCGGUCGACACAUGUAUGGAGUGCGGUGCGUGACUGCGUGCUGCGUAACAAGCUGAGCUUACCUGGAAACCAGCAGCACAAGCACAUCCGCGGUUUGAUUGUUUCAAGGAUGCUGUACGCCGCUCCGCUGCAUGCCUGCAUCUUCUGAUAUUCACGCACGCAGCAUGGCUCGAGGUGACGGAAAUGAUCUCCAAGACAAUUCUCUGUUCAAGCGUGUGAAAGUUUCAGUACAAGGAAUCAGCGCCUCAAGUUCAUACUGCUGCCUGAAAAUUGGUGAAGCUUCAGACAUUUUCGCUUACAGUUGGAUCACUCCUUUUCUUUUGUUUUUUUUUCUUUUUUGAAAAGGGCAUCUGGAUCACGCAUUGGGAUUUGUAGCUCAAUGAUGCGUCUCACCAGUGGGCAGUGGCUAGAAAAUUAGAUGCCACCGAAAGACACAGAAAAUAUAAAAAAUAAUGGUAGAUUGCAAACAAGGAAAGGUGAUUUCCCCGUGAAAUAUACCCACCUACUUCUCUACUACUAUACAUCAUACAUCGUAUGUACAAAGUCACCUAUACAAACAACCGCAUGUAUCCUUUUUUUCUUUCAAUUUCUCCGUAGCAGUAGUACUGGCCUACCACCUUCACAAACCUCAAUCCGAAAGGGAAGGCCCGCAUUUCCCCUGCUUUGUCUGACUUCACGCCCCGUUCUUUUGACUUCGCUUUAAACCCCACACCGCCGCACGUAGCACUAUGCCGGUUUGCAGGGGAUCCUCCAGGUCAAAUGGUCUUAAAUUUCAAUUCCCGAAUUCAGACUUGAAAAUCUCCCUGUUUGGAACGGGUCGCCCACGGCGGUGACGGGUCGGCGCGUCGGUGGGGGCUCAGAACGGGUGCGGGCUCCGGCUGAGCCCGUGCGCGUUGGCGAACAGCCCCAUGAGGUCCUGCCGGUACGGCAGGAACGUGCGCCGCCCGCCGGGGGUCGCCUUGGCGCCGCCGUACGACAUCCGGCGCCCCGCGGCGACCGUGUCGAGCUCGGUGGCGCCGGCGGCCUUGCUUCCUUUGGGCGGCGGUGGCUUCGGCUUGGAGCCGGCGGGGGAGUGCUCCCUGUCCCUGGCCGGGGACGACGGCGCGGAGAGGAAGAGGAACUUGUGCUUGCCGUCGCUGUGGCUGCGGCCGACGACGAGGUCCCCGAUGCGGCGCCACCGCGCGACGGAGCCCGUGGACCCGCUCUUCCGCGGCGGACGCGAGGGCGAGGACGCCGGCGACGACCCGGGCGUCCAGAGGCAGUAGCUGUCGGGCGGCGCGCCGUCGAGAUCCGCGCUACCGUCCGCCGUCGACGCCGAGGACGACGACGAGGUGGAGGAUGUGGACGCGACGGAGGAGGUCCGCGCCUGCUCCAGCUGGAACAGGCGGCCCAGCGGCGCCCUCGGCGCGGCCGGUGCGGCGGCGGCCUCGUCGUCCAGGACCCGGCCGAACACCGGGUAGAACGCGCGGAUGCGGCCGCCCGCGAAGAGCUCGUCCGCCGCCGCCGCGGCGCCCCCGCCCGCCGCCGGCUCCCGGCUCACGGAGGGGAACUCGAACUCGCCGUCGGAGUCCUCGUCGUCGGACGCCAAUGACCCGCCGUGCUCCCUGGGAACUGGAAGCUCCGCGGCCGCGGGCUCGUGGCGGCGGCCACCCGGCGGUCUGCGGUCCUCCAUGCCUCUCAUGUUCCUAUUUCCGCUGCUCGAUCUCUUCGCGACUGAUGGCGGGGUGCGCGCAAAGGGUGGGAAGCAACUGCUAGUUGGUUGGGGAGGUGGCACCGGCGUAUAUAUAGGGGGGAAGCCGGCAGCGGGAGGCGACCUUCUGGAAGGGAAGGCGAUUCGGCUCGGCCCCACGCUACACGUCACUCGUGAUGCACGCGGGGUUCGUUUCUUGCUUGGGGGUGGGGGGGGGGGGGGGGGUUGCCGUUGGUUGCGUUCCGUGUGCGUGUGCUAUGGGUUUACACAUGAUUUUGGGAAAUUCUCGAAGGGGCCCUGGGUCCGGGGGAUUUGCUUGCCGAGGGAGAUCGCGCUUGCUUGCGGGACAAGCAGCUGCUGAUCCGGCCGGCUGAAGAUACGCUAGCGCCGCGGAGCCGGCUGGGUCGAAGAAAGCCCGUGCACACGUGGGCGCUCUGUAAGCUGACGACGGAGCUGUGAUCCAGCUGCGAUGUCAGUAGCGUCCAGUGUGAACAGAAGCAGCGGGGAAAUCUCAUCCACGCACAAAUUCUUCUCGGAUUGAACUGCCUACUAGCCCGCAUGGCCGGUUGUACUUGCGCAUGGCGACACGCGCGGUCCCUUCUGCAAUCACGAACGACGGGGGAGCAAGCACAUGGAAAUUGUGAGACCGCGCCUCUGGUGUAUUCGACACGGGAGACGCCAUGUACUUGAAAUUUUUUGCCACGAGACAGCGUUUUGAGUUCGGCCAUGUGCCACCUGUGAGUGAUGCAGCACGAGCCAGACCAAUCGCCGAGACUACCGCUCGCCAUUGGCAGGGACGGCCCGGGAGGAACCGGCAACUAACCCUGCGCAGGUGUCGUCGCCUCGCGCCGCCGCGGCCAACGGUUCCUUACUUUAUUCACGCGUGUAGCGGCGCGGCGGCGGGUGCCAGGCCACGCCCCCGACGAGGUUCCGUGCGCGCAUCGCAUUGCAGGAGGCAUGAGGCGCGAGCGCGCGCGCCGCGGCCGGUGUGCCCGCCGUUCCGGCAGUCCUGGGUGGGUUCCCGCCUUCUUGGAAUCGAGGGUGGUACCCGUGCCGUGCGCCAAGUGCCCCCAACGCCGAACGUUCCCGUGCCGUGCAUGCGCGACGCGUCGGGGGGUCAUCUGAAGCUGGCCCUAGCUCCUUUCCCAGACGCCGUGAAACGUUUGGGCUCUCUCGGGCGGUCCGCCGCUGUCGCACGGUGAACUCCGACGACAAAGACGAGGAUCCCCUUGCCACGUGCUACUGGAUCACCAUCUCAUUAUCUCUGCUCCGUAGUCCGUACUGGCGGCAUGUAUCGUGCACGUGCAGCUCCUGCAACUAGCCAGUAACUCUGAGACUACGAGCGGCGAGUUUAAUUCCCUUUUCCUCUCGUUCUUUGUUUGGGAGGAUAAUCAAGGGCGAGAACCUGAUGAGUUCGCUUGUCCGGACUGUCAGUUCGCGUAAGCAUAACGAUUCCCGGUGACAGGCUUCGUUUUCCUAGUAGCGUUAGCUCCGAGCUCAACGAGUUGCAUUAAUCCGUCCCCGCGUUAGGGGAGGAGCUGUCCUCCUGCGCGUGCUUAAUAAUUGGCCUCUGUCGCCGUUACGAAGCAACCUGAUUUGUUCUCUCUCAUGAGGCUAUUAUUUCACCGACGAACUCUACUACUAAACGAGCGAAUCAUGAUAGUCGCUCAGUCGAUCUCCUGAGAGCUCAGUUCAGAAUUGACGGCGUUAAAUAAGCUUCUGAACGAAGCGAGCGCGUUCGGCGUGCUGGCAUGCUUCGGGCAUUUUGUUUCUGUUUUUUUUUUCUUAGAGCAAAUCGCCCCGUACUGUCCGGCUGCAUCGGUCGAAGUCAGAGAGGCUAGUAUAGCUGCCUUUGAGCACAAAACAAAUUCACAAUUUAAAAAGGUACUUGACAAAUCUGAGAGGAACUAGACGAAAAUGAUCAGAUGCCAAAUUUCAUGUCGUAGCAUUAUUCACCCGCUGUCUAUCUGGUUAUUAAUAGAGAGAGUAUUCGGCGUGAAGCCAUUUCGUGGCAGCAGACACGCCGCGCGCACGACACAUGUGCCAACAAAGCACUGUACGUAUCUCAUAUCAGUCGAUCCGUCAUUGACCACGCACAUACGUGCGUUACUUGGUCAGUGGUCACUUUGAUCGUGCGUCUACCGGAGGAGGAACUUGGCGGGUAAUUUCGAACCUCAUCUGCGGAUGCGAUCUGUGAUUAAUGGCGCCCGACUCUGUGGCGGAGGAGCAAGCUGGCACGGGUGGACCUUCGGGUGCCCAACUCGCAACGGAACCAGCCGCAGCCCAACAGAAACAAUUGUCCGGGCUAUCUGCGAGGAUAAACGGGGGUCACCUUUGGAUGACGAGUGAUUGACAACCGUGGCGUAUAAUGCAUGUCUUGGCUUCUGAAGUGGACGGAUCUGAGUUCCGGUUUCGAAGCCGGAAGUUACAGAUUUAGUUCCGGUUUUACUCUGACAAGUGUUGAUUUUUCAUUCCGACCUGUCGCGCUUACCUCUAUUUUGUCUCUAAAAUUUUCUAGUAUUGUUUCUAGAUCCAAUAGCAUCCCAAAUAGCUUAAAUAGCUAUGUGGGCUGGACAAUUUUAGAAAAGAGAUUUGUUAGAUGAAUUUAGGAUACAGAUCUUGUUCUAAUCGGAGAUUUUUUAUAGGCUCUCAUUCACCUCCUCUAGUCGUCCGUUGCGGUACGCGGUACUACAAUUUGCCUUGCUCUUGGAGUUCUCGAUCUUGUUAUCACGUCAGGUUCGCUGCUACUAUUCCGUACUAUUCCUGACCCUCGUCUUGCGCGCCCGUAGCGUAGGGGUACGUCACGCCGGACAAGAGGAAGCUGCGGCAACCAGCAUGCGCGCUCCAGCCACCACCGAGUAGGCACGCCUUCGCCGAUCCGUCGACGUGGUGGGUCGAAUGCUGAUGCUUCAUCUCCGGCGGCCCCGUCUGAUCUCGUCGUCGUCGGUUCCCUAGCUCGUUCCAACAUUUCCACUUUUUUCCAGCAGUCACCUAUCAAAGCUCGACGGCUUUUUUAGGCCCUUCCUCCGCUCCGCCCGUCAUGAACGCCGAGAAUAUUUGACCCUGGUUCUGGUUAGCAGACAUGGAAUGUUCUGUUCCAGGUCCAGUCCCACUACAAUUCAGUGCAUCUGCUGCUGCAGGCUGACCACUCUCUCAGAGGAAACAAUCCAAUGGUAGAAGCGGUGCUCAUUCCUCUGGUGGAAAAGAACACAUCCGUGAUAACGACAGGCACGGAUGAAAGCAGCGGGGGGAAAGGGAAGGCAUUGGCCGUAGUGCCGUGGUCGCGGUUUCUAGAACACGACUUUGUUAUCGCCUGGACUCUGCCUGCAUUCCGUGAAAGUGCUACUAGCCAUGCCCGUAUGAGUACAUGACCGAUUGGACAGUACGUUUGUUGCACAUGGACAGGCAUGGUCGUAACUCGUAGCCAUCGCGCAGUCGGAAAGGAAAAAAAAAUGGGACCGGAAUGGCUGAACACCUGAAGCCGAAUCGUCUGAAGCUGGCGGAUGAAACCUGCCAAUCUGAAGCUGGCGGACGAGACCUGAAGCUUUUUUCUGUUCUGCUGUGUUUCAGUUUUAAAACUCGCAGACUCGUUUGUUGGUUUCGAUUCCUUUGUACUGUCACUGCUUUCAGGGGGAUCAAGAGGGGGGCAGCUGUAGGCUUUUUCCCUGCUCGCAUCCUGUCUGUAAUGGGCUACACUGUGCUAAAACGUUCUUGCCUUGUUAAUGCAAUGGCGCGGGAGGGCGGGACGAGCUUCGCCUAUCUGUUCUAAAAAAGAAAAGAAAAAAAAGAACUUCCGGAUUGCCGCCAGUCUUGCACCGGAUGGCUGUGCGUGCAAGUGGCAUAUACCUACCGAUCCAGCUAAACAGGCAAGACGUACAGCCUCUUGCUCCUAUCUACUAAUCCUGACAAGGUUCCGAGUUGACCUGCAGCUGGAGGAAAAACUCUUGCAAACCAGACAAUACCCUCAUCAAGCGGGUCAACGGAGUGGAUAAGCAGGCAGGCCUUGACUAAGCGCGGGCCCCACGACGAGCCUGCCCUGGGUAGAAGAGACGUGGAGUCACACAGCCUUUCUGCUCUUGAUGAUCCUCAAUCAGCAGCUAGCUGGUGGACUGCUACUCCAAGCAACGCCCGGGCUUCCUUCUAGACGAAGACCGGACCGGCUUGGGGACCAAGCAGCAGGCAGGAAGCUUCUGACUUCUGAGGGCUGCCGGCCUCGCGUUCCUUCGCGUCGCGGCUUCUGUUUGCGGGAGCCAGCUAGGUUUGAUCGGUAGAGGAGCAAAUGUAAUACGGUUUUGCCAAAUGAACAAAGGGGACUCCAGUUUAAAGAGAGGUUUUCGUUUCUCAACAUCUAGAAUCCAACCUAUGGCAAAAAGUCGAUUACAAAACCUCCAACCAUGGCCGGCAAAGAAGUGCAUCAUUAUAGCCUCCAAACUUUAGCAGAACUAUUUUAUUUGGUGUCCUCAAAAAAUUUGCAUCAGGGAUCAAAACCGGGUUCAGUUAAAUAAACUGCAAAGGAGAAUUAAUUGGAGCUUUGUCAAAAACCAUAUCAUUACCGUCUGCUCCCUCCAUCCAAAAAUAAGUCAUCCUAAAAAUUCUAGUCAAGAAGGUAGAAUGACCAUAUUUGCCUCUAUUUAUUACCUAUAUUUAGCACUAAUUUGAUUCUUGCAUUCUUGCAUGCACAUGCACUUUCUAAUAGGGUAAGAUGACUCGUUUUUUGAUAAAUUUCGAAUCCUAGAAUUACUUAUUUUUUAGACGGAGCGAGUAGACAUUUCUUUCCGUUAAAUCCUUAGAGAUAAGAACUGCCGCAUUCCUUUAGAAUUUUCUUGAAAAAACAGGUUUGGACCAGAGCCCUGACUUUCACCCCGAAGAGUUUGAAACUUCGAUGUGCAGUCCUCACGUCCCAGACCCUCCAAGUUCACUAGUUCAGAGACCCACAGUGGUCUUACGCUUGACAAAUUUGGUAAUGGGAUAUUACAGGGUGCUGGGACGUUGAUCUGCUACUUCUAGUGAUGUGAUGGUGUCUUAAUGACGUUUUGACGUGAGAGAGAGAGAGAGAGAGAGAGAGAGAGAUUCUUUUUUUAAUAAAAAAAGGAGGGGCAACAUUCUAGACUGAUUGGCACCGUUGAAGCAAACAGGCAAAACACAUUAAUAAAAAAAAAGAGAGAACACAUGGUAUAGGAUGCUAUUAUUCUAACUGAUCCAAAGUACGACUACAACAUGUAUUAAUUAACAUACUGGAAAUUCGUGUGAUGGCAUGUUCCUUCCAUGGAAAUUUGAAAAAUAUUGAAAGCUGCAUGAGGAAUCGUUGGCAUGAGUAUCUCUAGGGUAUCUACAAGCUAAUAUGAAUAUGAUUUACCGUGCAUAUAGUGUCCUUUCUUAAAAUUCAUAAUACACCAAUUGUUCCACCAGUGACUGCGCGUACAUAAGAUCAGCGUGUGAACAUUCCAAAAUAUAUUUAGAGGGGUUCUAAAUGUAAUUUAGCAUGUGCUCUGUUCGAAAUAGGAUUACACAACUCAUGAAAAUGUCAUGGGCCAUCAUGACUGCGGCAGCCCAACUUAGCACGUACUCAGAUACUGGGUGGCCCAGGUGAUUUUCAUCUGGUUGGGCCGGGCCAGAUGCCCACAGGUCCAAACGCAUAUAGCUUGUGUAUAGUUCCUACUUCCGCUAACAUUCUGAAGUUUACGCUACCUGUAUUUUCCCUCAUUCGCCAUACAUAUGAUAACCUCAGUUUCCCACAUCUUCUGCGCCUCCUGCAUGAUCCUAAAUGUAACAUGUAUAACCUUACUCCUGACAGAGAGGUGAAGCGUUGUUUGAGCUCAGAACAGCCAAGCGGGAAGCUAGCUGACACUGACAGGUCCAACGUCUUCUCGUACGGGAUCGUGCGCCUGGAGCUCAUCACCGGCCGGAAGCCGCCCGUGGACGCGUCUCAAUUCUCAACCCCUGGGAGAAGAGAGCCUAGUAGAAUGGGCACGUCUAUCUCUACUCCAGUGCUCUCAUCUGUUAUCUUUUUCUUGAAGCUGGUAUCACGUCGCCGCAUUCUUGCGUGAGUCCGGCUUGCAGGCUCGGGUCCUUGGUACGGACGCCCUGUAGACGGACAGCUUCAGAGAGAUCGCUCGCUGACCCUGCGACUCCGAUGGAGUGCAGAUUCUCCAAGACCGAGAUGCGGAGGAUGGUGGAGGCCGGCCGCCGCCGCUCGAGCGCGCCACUCCGCCGCCAAACAGGAUACCGGAUCAACUUGGACGUGAUUCUCCGAGCAGUAUACUCUUUAAUUCGCAGGAUGCUUGAUCAACUUGGACGCAUAUUCUUCGUCUCCUAACGACGGAACGCUUCUUGCCAUCUCUGGGAUGGGGAAUUAAGGUGCGGCGGUCGCUGGACGUGGACGAGAGCUCGUCGGACCUGACCGACGCCGUGAAGCUCGCGCAGAGCACGGCGUACGACUCGGGCCGGUGCUCGGCGGACGUCGAGCUAUCUGGUUCCCGGCCGCACAAGCAGACAACAACAUCUACUUGCGUGAACCACGUGGUACAUGUCCGUCCGCGUCGGCGUACGUGUGCCCGCAGGAGGACGGGACAGCGCGGAGAAUCGCUGCGGAGGAGGAGGUGUCGCGAGGCAGGCGCAGCUUCGUUGAGAUAGCUAGCACAGUGUCGACGGUGUACGUUGCUGUUCGUGCCGGUACAUUUUUGUGCGUGGAGCCGUGCAUUCUCGUCGCUCGUAAGAAGAGAGAACCGCUUGGCCGGCAUACGGUAACCUUUGGUAUAGAUGUCCUGUGGUCUGCACGAGUGGGUGCAGGCCCGUCUUGUUGCGACGGAUGCUGCGAGCCUAUCCUGAUGACUAAUGAGCAGCAUCUGCAGCCGGUGGUUCAGCUCAUCUUCAGGUGCGAGCCGGCCGAACGCGGCGUGGCCGGACGCAGACCGAAUCGAGGGCUGUUAUGUUUUCAGGUCGAAUAGUACGCAUGGCGCAAUAUAGGACCGGGUCAAACCGAUUUGACUAUAACUAACGCUUUCCGGCUCUGAUCUGUAGUGAACUCCGAGCUGAAUACACAGCCGUGCCAUGGAUUCGUGUAGUGUCUGUUGUAAAAAAAAAUGUGGAGCACUGCACGGGAAUAGCGUGUCAGUGUCGACACAUCUCACAUGUAGCAAGCGGCAAUAAUUAUGGUGACGUGGUCUAGGCAGGGGUACAACCUUGCAUACAGUGCAGAGUGCUGGUCCAUACGCUUUGGAGCCCUACCAGAGAACAGCCCGAUCCGUGGAUCUGUGGUGUAAAAAAAAAACAUGGUGUCUUCAACAUUAUCUCUGCAGGAGUGUGUUGGAUGGUUUGGCUAACUCGGAAUGACAUGAUCUUUCGUAACCGGUGCUGGGUGGACAUCAAGAUAAUUCUGAGGAGGAUGAACAGAUGCCUUGCAUCGUGGAAGCCAAUGUUAACGGCGACCCAGGAAGAUGGUGUUAACCAAUGGUGCAAUUACUUGGAGGAGACUAUCAGGGCGCCGCUGGGAAUCGGACCCUCCUGAAGAAGUUCAAGCUGAGCACCGCGAGGAAGGAGUUCUGAAGCUGCGCUUUGCGCUCCUUGAGGCUCUUGUUAUUGUUUUUUUUUCUUUCUGAAACACUGUUUUAGCCUCUGCCUGUAAGGUGUUAAACUGUUGGUCUAGCUCUCUUCUGGCAGACCCUUGGCUUUGUUUCCCAGACCUGUAAACGCUGAAACUGUUGUUGCUUUGUUUCUAAUGGAAAUGGAGCAGGGCGUUCGGCGCCUUUUGAUUAAAAAAAAAGAGAGAGAACAGCCCGAUCCAAGUCCAGCACCGAUAGAAAUUAUGUGGCGGAGAAACAAGAGGCCGCGAAAUUGAAGGCGAGCUAGCUGGCUGGCUGCACUCGCGUCAUACUGCUCUGGUGGCGCAACCAAAAAUUUCCACAGGCUCGGCACCAUUUAAUCCGAAGAAAACGAGCGGUUAAGUGUCUCUUUGGAUUUGGAUUCGGUGACUAAAUUUUAAACUUUAGUCCCAUCACAUCAAAUGUUUGGUAUUAAUUAAAAGUAUUAAAUAUAGGCUAAUUAUAAAAAUAAUUAUAUAAGUGGAGAUUAAUUCACAAGAUAAAUCUAUUAAACCUAAUUAAUCUAUUAUUAGCACAUGUUUACUGUAGCACAACAUUGCCAAAUCAUGAUCUAAUUAGAUUUAAUGAAUUCGUCUCACGAAUUAGUCUCUAUUUAUACAAUUAGUUAAGCCUAUAUUUAAUAUUUCUAAUUAGUGUCCAAAUAUUUGAUGUGAUAGCAAUAAAAUUUAGUAUAGCGUAUCCAAACUUUCCCUAACUUUAGUCUCCUCCGCCGAAGCCCAACUAUACAUACGCAUCAUUUUAUUUGAUGGAACAGGAGGCUCUCUUUUUCUUUGCGAGGAUAACUUCAUUUGAAUACACUGCAACGAAUUCACGUUCUAUAUGCCACUUGAUCCAUACAAUCUGUCCGGGGGAGUAUCCACAGUCUUAGGUCACGGUCCUAAAAUCCGGCUAGCACAGCUUAUUUUUUUAUUUCCCUUGACACCUCAUCUGAAAGGUACAUUUGGUCGCAGGCAGAAUACAAUACUGUUGGUACAUACAGAUAGGGGUACCUCCUGCUAGGGUGUCCAGGCCCCUGGCGUCUCGUAAUCCAUAACCCCCUCCUCUCCCGCUGGGUGAUGUGGCAUGCGACCCGGACCUGACAGCUGGGGCCACGGUCUCCGGACCCUCCCCGAGCCCUGGGAAGCCCGGGGCCCCUGUGCACCAAGGAGGGCAGGACGGCUUUCGGGUUGCCCCCGUGGCCCCGGACCCCCCAGGGGGUCCGAGGCCGCUACGUGUGAUAACCGGACCAUCACGGGCCAGGCUCCCUCAACUGGACUCGAAGGGCCCGGACUCCCCUUCCCCCGGGGAGGGGUCCGGUGCCGCCACGUGCCGCUUGACAGAGGGAGCGGGACUGGCUCUACCGCGUACCUGCGGCUGGAGGCCCUUCGCGAGUCACCAGCCCACCUACCAGCAUUAAAUGCGGUAGCUGAGCCGGGCGCGCCCAAGUCAAAAGGUGCGGCCUGUCACUGACACACGGGGCAGGUAAGCUGACACCACGGUAAGCCCGCCUGAUCUGAAGGCGGCGCGUCGUAUCACCGUGCACAGUGCGCGGACUGUGUACAGUCCUGUCACGGCGCUGCACGCGUGAUGAUGGUCUGCAAUAGGCAAAGCCAAGGCGUGCGCUGUAACAGUGCACACGCACCGGGUCAGCGCUGCUUCACCGCCUGACGGGAGGUCCCGUCCUAACAGUGACAGCACGGCUUCACUGUUAUGCAACGCUGACGCCGGAUACUGUGCAAGAUAAGGCUGUACAGGGCCGUAUCCAAGUUAUGGAUACGCACAUCAACUUCCCGAUUGAGAGGACUACGGAGAGGAGCUGGAGAUGAAGAUCUCCAUAUCUCUCUUAGAACAAGUUUCUGCUGGCCGGACCCACAUGUCGGGGUCCAGCUCGGUGUAAGCUCCCCCCUUGGACUAUAAAAGGGAGGGUGUACACGUUAGAAAGGGCGGGGUUCCAACAUCCAAGGUUAGACACAAGCACAAGACCAGACUAAGUUCUACCCAAGGCUCUCACAGUCAAUACAAUACCAUAGUGGACGUAGGGUAUUACGCUCCGGCGGCCCGAACCACUCUAAAAUCCUCGUGUCCUUCCUGUGUUCAUCCGCACACCGAUCGAGCGCUCCUAAGUCUCCUCCAAACCCAUCCUUAACUAGGGUUAGACGGGUGCUUUCCGCCACCCGGCUGGAGAAUUCCUCCGACAUUUGGCGCGCCAGGUAGGGGAGCCUAGGUUUGGUUCGCGUUUGAUCAAAGUGCAAGGCCGCGAUGGCGCAGGAAAACGGUCACCAUGACCUCCUGAUUGGGGAAGAGGUGGCGUCCACGGCGCCACACGCCUCUCGCCGUCUCGCCUCCGGAGCGGCUCCGCGUGUUGCCCCACCAUGUGCGGCGGAGCGGGUCUCAGUGGCCUAAUCGGUGCCCGCACCGAGCGGGCCCCUCAUGGCAGCCAGGGAGUUGCUCCGCAACCCCCCUGGAGAGGCGGCUUCGCCAGACGCGCACACGCAAUGGCGUGACGACGUCGACCGUCUCCUCAACCUGGCACAGGCUUCCCCAGGCUCUGCGGGGGGUCUGUUUCCAGGCAGCGCCGUCGCCAGGGCGGCGCAUCCGGUUUGGUGCACUCACCGUCCGUAAGGAGUGCACGGACCGAAGACCUCCGGGCGGAUCUCAACCGCAGGCAUGCGGGAGAGGACGCCAGGGUCUCUAUCGAGCGAGCGCGCAACCGACGGCUCAAUAUUGAGGGUCGGGACCUUUCGCCCGAGCUCGAUGCGGCUGCGGCCAGGCCGCAAGGACUCCCUCAGGCACCGGUGUCGGGCGUGGUCUGCGCAGCGCUCGCAGACCACCUUCGCGCGGUCGCCUAGCCGUCCAAGUUUCGGCCCCACCUGCCGGAAAAAUAUGACGGCUCCACCAACCCGUCAGAGUUCCUGCAGGUCUACAUCACCGCCAUCACGGCGGCCGGAGGUAACGAAGCCGUCAUGGCCAGUUACUUUCAUGUAGUCUUGACCGGGCCAGCCCGGACCUGGCUCAUGAAUCUUACCCCGGGAACCAUCCAGUCCUGGGGUGAGCUCUGCGCACAGUUCACGACGAAUUUCGCCAGUGCGUACCAACAGCAUGGCGUGGAGGCCCACCUUCACGCCGUGAGGCAACAACCCGGGGAAACCCUCCGGGCCUUCAUCUCUCGCUUCACCAAGGUACGUGGAACUAUCCCACGUAUCUCCGAUGUAUCUAUCAUCACGGCCUUCCGACAGGGAGUCCGGGACGAGAAGAUGCUAGAGAAGCUGGCGACCCACCAAGUGGAAGCCGUCACCACCCUGUUCGCUCUGGCGGACAAGUGCGCCCGGGCUGCAGAAGGCCGUGCAUGGCACUCUGAAAACCCAGGCAGGCCCCGCUCAGACGAGUGGACCCAGUGGCGCUGCCCCCGGCAGCGGCAAGAAGAAGAACAAGAAGAACCGUGGCUUCGACAAGUCACGGAUUGGGGGUCCGGCCGUUGCAGCUGCGACGACCGGGGGCCAGAACUCCCGUGGCAAGCGCCCGCGACAGCAGCGCACCGACCCCGGGUCGUGCCCUGUUCAUCCGGGGGCUCGCCACAGCGCCACCGAGUGCCGCGAGAUCCAGAAGCUCGCGGAGCGCCUCAGCAAGAGGCGAGACCAAGCCUCCAAGGAAGGCUCCUCCCCUCCACGCCGGUCCGGAAAGGAGAAAGCCUCUGAUGCCGACGCGGCUGCGACUGAGAGGGAGUUGGGGUAUCAAACCCCCAACAAAGACCUCAAGGGACUUUUCCAGCAGUCCGAUUCCGAGUCCGGCGGGGACGAGCGCCGCAAGAAGCUGUACGUUAUGUACGGCGGCAGUUCGGAGCUCGUCUCCCGGCGGAACGUCAAGACCCUUCGCCGCGAGGUCCUCUCGGUGAAGCCAGGGGUGCCGAGAGCGGCGCCCCAUCAGCGGUGGAAUGGCACUACCAUCUUCUUUUGGCCAUCUGAUUGCCCAGAGAACAUGGCGGGCGCCGGAGUGCUGCCGCUCAUUACAGCACCCACCAUCGCCAAUGUUCGCCUUCACCAUGUGCUGAUCGACGGAGGCGCCGGCCUCAGCGUCAUCAGCUAUGCAGCGUUCAAGCACCUGCAGAUCCCGGAGUCCAAGCUGGCUCCAUCACGCCCAUUCUCAGAAGUGGGCCCGGAUCCCGUGUACCCGGUGGGAACCGUCACCCUACCGGUUACAUUCGGGACAGAGGACAACUUCCGUACCGAGAACGUGCAGUUCGAGGUUGCGGAAGUUAACCUCCGCUUCAACGCCAUCAUCGGCAGACCGGCUCUGUACCGGUUCAUGGUCGUUGCCCACUACGGGUACCUGGUCCUGAAGAUGCCUUCUCCGGCAGGCGUCCUCACCGUCCAGAGCGAUCGUGCCGCUGCUGUUCUGGCGGUCGAAAAGCUCCAUGCGCUGGCUACAGGGCUUGCCCCUGUAGUUGGCACCCAGGGGUCCGACCUCUCAACCUUACGUGCCAAGGUUCCGGCCAAGACACCGAGGGUCUGUCCGUCUGACACGGACAACUUUCCCGUGAAGACCAUCCAGGUCGGAGUGGAGACCUCCCAGACCACCCGCAUUGAUGUGUUCGCCUGGGAACCAUCACAAAUGCCCGGGAUUCCCAGGGAGGUAAUUGAGCAUCAUCUGAAGAUCCACCCCGACGCCAGGCCGGUCCGGCAGAAGCCACGCAAGCAGUCCAUUGAGCGGCAAAACUUCAUCCGUGAAGAGGUCCGCAAGCUGCUGCAGGCUGGCUUUAUCCAGGAGGUCUACCAUCCUGUAUGGUUGGCCAACCCAGUUGUGGUCCCAAAGGCCAACGGAAAGCUUCGGAUGUGCAUCAACUACACCAAUCUUAAUAAGACAUGUCCAAAAGACACUUAUCCACUCCCGCGUAUAGAUCAGAUUGUAGACUCCACCUCCGGAUGUGAUUUGCUGUCCUUCAUAGAUGCCUAUUCUGGUUUCCAUCAAAUCAAAAUGGCUAGAGAUGAUAGGAAGCAUACAGUUUUUGUAACAGUGGAUGGUCUUUAUUGUUAUAUAGUGAUGCCUUAUGGAUUGCUCAAUGCUCUACCCACCUUUGCUCGCGCAAUGAAUAUCACUCUAGGUGAUUUGGUUAGAGAUAUAGUAGAGGUGUAUGUCGAUGACAUCGUAGUCAAGACUAGAGAGUCGUGUUCUCUAUUAGAAAAUUUAGCUCGAGUUUUUGACAAGUUACGGGCGACCUCCACCAAGUUUAACCCCGAGAAGUGCGUCUUUGGCGUAUCGGCGGGGAAGCUCCUUGGUUUCCUGGUCUCCUACCGGGGAAUCGAAGCCAACCCGGAUAAGGUCCGGGCAAUCGAGGCAAUGAGACCCCCCGCGCGCCUCAAGGAUGUACAGAGGUUGACGGGGUCCCUGGCAGCUCUCAGCCGCUUCAUUUCGAGGCUGGUGGAGAUGGCACUUCCCUUCUUCAAGUUGAUGAGGGGGUCCGGCCCAUUCACAUGGACCGAAGAGGCAGAGCGUGCUUUCCAAGAGAUGAAGCAGUACCUUACCUCCUUGCCGGUCCUGGUCGCGCCGGACCCAGGUGAGACACUGUUUCUUUAUCUUGCAGCAACGACCGAAGUGAUCAGCAUGGUGCUGGUCACCGAGAGGUCCGAGCCUCUCUCGCAGGGGCCCCCGCGGACCCCCCUACAGGAGAAGGAGGACCGGCCCCCACCACUCCAGUAACCGGCCCUACUUCGGAGGGUCCGGCCGGGUCCCGACCCGGACAAGCGCUCAGCAGCCUGGGGGCCGACGGGUGCCCAGCUGAAGCCGAAGGGUCUAACCCACCUGGCAGAGUCAGGACCAUCCAGAAGCCGGUCUACUAUGUCAGUGAGGUCCUUCACGAGGCAAAGGCCAGGUAUCCUGAGACGCAUAAGCUUCUUUAUGCCAUACUCGUUGCGUCCAGAAAACUCCGCCAUUAUUUUCAGGCCCACAAGAUUGUGGUGGUAACCUCCUACCUUUUGAGGGCCAUCCUCCACAACUCCAACGCCACAGGCAAUAUCGCCAAGUGGGCAGCUGAGCUCGCUGGAUUCCAACUUGACUUCCAGCCGCGCCACGCCGUCAAGAGUCAGGUCCUAGCUGACUUCGUGGCGGAAUGGACACCUGCGCCAAGCGCCUCUGGGGGUCCGGACCAUGGGACGGACCCCCCACGUCCGGAAGCCAGCGCCCCGGUGUUCACCGGACCCCACUGGACCCUCUUCUUUGACGGGUCCGCCCGCAGCAAGAGGGCCGGGGCUGGCGUGGUCCUCAUCGACCCACAAGGCGAGCAAUUAAAGUAUAUGGUGCACCUCGAUUUUGAGGCCACCAACAACAUGGCGGAGUAUGAGGACUUAAUCUUUGGGCUCACGGCGGCACUGUCCCUGGGGGUCCGGGAGAUCCUGGUCAAAGGGGACUCCCAACUCAUCAUCAGGCAAGUUCGGGGGGAGUGUUGCUGCAACAACCCCAGCUCGCAGCCUACCUCAUUUAUGUGAAGAGGCUGGAGAAGAAUUUCGAUGUGCUGGAACUGCAACAUGUUCCACGCGAAGGCAACACAGCAGCUGAUGCACUCUCCGCGAGCAUCGACUCAGGCACCCGUGCCUGAGGGCGUCUUCCAGAGGCGUCUGUUGAAGCCUUCCGCCCAGCCUGCCGACCUGGGCGAUGGGGGUCGGAAUAGCACCUCGAAGCUAGCGGUCCCGGCGGCGCUCCAUCCGUGGUGCCCACCAAGGGUCGUGUGCUCCCUUGAGGGUCCCGAAGACCUCAGGGAGCCACGCCCGGUUUCUCAGGAAGGUCCUGAUGCAUGGAUCUCCAGGGUCCGGGACUACCUGAAAGAUAAUUUCCUUCCUGAAGAUCAUGCAACUGCUGAGCGCAUUGUCCGGAUGGCUAAGCGAUACACAGUGGUAGAGGGGGAUCUCUACCGCCGUGGCGCCAACAGCAUCCUCAUGCGGUGCAUCACCCAGAAAGAGGGCCGCGACUUGCUCGCGGAGAUCCAUGGAGGCGAGUGCGGAAGCCACUCUUCAUCCCGCACGCUGGUUGGUAAAGCCUUUCGGCAUGGUUUUUACUGGCCGACAGCGCUCCAAGAUGCAGCUGACUUGGUAAGGUCCUGCAAAGCGUGUCAGUUCCACGCAAAGCAGAUACACACUCCAGCUCAGGCACUGCAGAUGAUUCCUCUCUCUUGGCCCUUCGCUGUAUGGGGGUUGGAUAUCUUGGGACCUUUCCCUAGGGCCGUCGGCGGGUACCGGUACCUUUAUGUCACGAUUGACAAGUUCACCAAAUGGCCGGAGGCAACCCCUGUGGUCAACAUAACCAAGGCGUCGGCAACUGCUUUCCUCAGGUCGAUUGUGUGCCGGUUCGGGGUCCCGAACCGGGUCAUUACUGACAAUGGGACUCAGUUCACAAGCCAAUACUUCCAAGAGUACUGUGAGGAUAUUGGCAUCCAGCUCUGUUUUGCCUCAGUGGCGCAUCCCAGGAGCAAUGGUCAAGUAGAGCGGGCCAACGCUGAGAUCCUCAGAGGACUCAAGAUCCGGACCUACUAUGAUCUUGAGAAGCGUGGCGCAAGGUGGAUCGAAGAGCCUUCGAGUGUAUUAUGGGGGAACCGGACCACACCCAGCCGCGCGAUAGGGGAAACCCCUUUCUUCUUGGUCUAUGGGGCCGAAGCGUGCCUUCCCCCAGAGAUCACCAUGGGCUCUCUUCGAGUCCGGUCUUUUGAUGAAGAUUUGCAGGAACUGCAGCGUCGCUAAGACGUGGACCUCGUCGACGAGUGCAGAUGGCGAGCAGCAGUCCGAAAUGCACGGUACAACCAAGCGCUCCGGCGCUACCACCAACGGUUCGUGCGAAGUAGGGAGCUCCGGGUCGGAGACCUAGUCCUAAGGCGAAUCCUGAAUCGGGAAGGCAUGCACAAGCUCUCCCCCAGCUGGGAGGGGCCCUACAAAGUGACCAAGGUGUGCCGACCCGGAUCUGUUCGCCUGGCUGCGGAGGAUGGAAUGCAACUACCCAAUCCAUGGAACAUUGAGCACCUCCGUAAGUUCUAUCCCUAUGACCUGGUUGAGAGGAAAUUUUUCCUUUGUAAUUGGUAGCAUUGCCGUGCGGAUCAGGGCGGUAGAGGUCCGCCCUCGUAAACCCGACCCCUGGCGUACAUCGCACAACUCUUCUGUACCAAUUCAUUUAAGGGGAAAUUUUUUCUCAAAUGCGUCCUUGAACUCUAUGCGAUUCUAAGUUUUUUCGCUUCUUGUUACGCUAACCCCCCACGUGGUUUUUCGCGUCUGUGCCGUUCGAAGGCCCUACCAAAACUGCUACACUAUGUCUCUGCCUGGGAUCCCUGUCUCGUGGAAGAAAAGGAACCGGACACCCGGGAACUGGCUUCAGGGAGACGUGCUCGUUCUUUGCUGGGGUCCAGGGCUGUGUAGCCGCUUAGCCUGGUUCCGUACCCUAAGCCUACACGCCCUGCCCCCCUAGGACGGGUACCGUUGUACCUUGAACAAUGGACCCGGGGGCCGGGACCCCUUAGAUUCCCGAACUGUGGCUCCGGUGCUCUGACUCGUUACGCAACGCAGUAGGCCUUCGCUGGCCGGACCGGGACCUCGUGGGGACGUCUACUAAGCGUCGAUCUGAGUCACGUGCAGGACCUCGCUUUUAUGGCAGCUAGUCCCGAUUUAUCGCGACUACCUCCCAGGGGGCCACGGGACCUCGGUGUGUCCAACAGCACUUUGCAGAUCGACAGUCAGGGAAACAGCUAAGUUUUUCGCGAAAAGUAGACACAUCAAAUACUUAAACGCAUUACUAAUAAUGUGCACAACAUUUUAAAGUUAUCUUACAAUAACAAAAGUUAUGUUACAAAAGAAAUAACAAAAAAGAUACUAGCACUACUGCUCUGGUGGUCCAGAGACACUCCCGCUCUCUGCAGGUUCGGGACGACGCCGGAGGCGCGUCGCGACCAUGUCCGCCGCCUCUUGGACCCCUUCUCGCGCGGCGGCUGCGGUCGCCCGGAGGGGUCCGACCAUGACAGGAGUCAGCUGGAUUGAGGGGUCAUGGCUCCGGAAGCUGGUGAGGAUGUACUCGGCCAUCCCCCUAGCAACUAUUCGCCCCUCUGUCUCCAGGAGAUCCUGCAUCCCGGCCCCCGCAUCGUGUAGCCGCCUGGCGGUGGUGUCCAGCAGUUGAAGCGCGGCGCUAAAUGGCGAAGGAGCCUCCGGUACCCAGAUGGGGUUGGCUCCGAGUGCCUCUAGCAGAGGGUUCACCGUGCCAACCCAUCUUGUUAACCGGCCGGAGCCGGCGCGCUGCUCCACCAGGAGCUCCUCCACCUUGGCCUCCCUCUCCUGGAGCACAGCCUCGCAUUCCUGGAGCCUUCGGUUCCCGACUGCCAGCUCCUCCUCCACGGCCUCUUCCCGUUUUUGGAGCUCCUGGAGCCGGGCCACCUCCUCUGCUUCACGGGCGGCCAGCCAUUCUUCUUUCUUUGCUGCCGCCGCCGCCAAAUCUGCGAGGGCGGCCUUUUCCGCCUCGACCGCUGCUGACGCCUUCCUGGCCUGAGCCGCCAGCUCCUGGGCGACCCGCUCCCUGUCUGCUAACGCCACCUUCAUCUCCUCCACGGCGAUCAGCCCCUCAAGGGCUUCCGUUUCCCGCCGCCUGGCCGCCUUCUCCCACUGGAGCGCCGCCGCCUCUCGGACGCGAGCUUGCUCCAGCUCCUCCUGCAGAAGCUCGCGCCCAUGCACGAGCUUGGCACGCUCCUCGGCGUAGCGGGCAGAGACGGAGUUGAUGCGGUCACCCAGGCGGACCUCCCAGUCGGAGAGUCGGUGGUGUUCUGCCUCCAGCUUCUCCCACUCCCGGCGCAUGCCAGCCUCUAGCUCCUGCUGAGCUUGGUGGCAUUUGGCUAUGAGCCGGGGGAGAGGGACCUCCGCUGUGCUUGGGAGGAGGCGCCUCCCUAGCACCACCUCCGGUUCCUCCUCCUCAACCGGUGGGGAGACGCUGCUGCCAACUUCGGCGACCCCUGGUGCCGCCUCCUUCGCCUCUUCCGCUACCUCCGGUGCCGCCACCUCUGCUGCCUCCGGCGCUGCAGCCUCCGCCGUGGCAGCGGCCCCCUUAGCCACCGGCUCGGCUGGUGAGGGCCCGGCCUCGUCACCUGAAGCUGCGGCCGCUGCCUCCAUAGCAGCAGCGGCCUUGGUGGCCUCCUCCUGGGGGGCAGCUUCGGGUUGUGGCGGGGUGGAGGCAUCCGGCUCCGGGCCCAUGGGUCCGGUAGCUUCUGGAGCUGCUUCGGGCGGGGGACCUGCUGGGGACGGCGCCGAAGGUCCCGACGCUGGCUGGGGCCCGGUCCCCCCAGUUGGUACGUCUGAAGAUUGCGGCCUGCCGUAUCACCUAUAUGGUUAAGGACCAGAAGCCAAGAAAGGAAAUGAAAAAUCUUUACAAAUUUACUUACGGGAAGUCGCACCACUCCCAUCUGCCCCGGGCGGCUGGGGGAACCUUCCUCCCUGCCGAGGACCCCCCGGACCUUUGGGGAGCGUCCCCGGCCUUUGAGCCCCCUGGCGGCGGCGAUGGGGACUGUGGCCUGACCUCGGACGGUAGUGGUGGUGUCGCGGGCCGCCGUUCUGGUGGUGGUGGCGGUGGAGUCUGUCGUCUUGGGGGAGGCCGGUGUUGCGGUGGAGGAGGUGCAGCCCCGCUCUGCUCCUCCGCCCCCGCGGUCUUCUGGCGCUUGGGCGCCGGCUCCCCGACCAAGGAGCCAUCGCCUCGCUGGAGCCUCCGGAAUUUGCUCCCUUCGGGUUGGCUGCUCCGCGCUGGUGCUAGCCCCUGGGCCUCACCGCGUCCUUCUGUCGGGGGAGCACCAGCGUUGCCCUUCUGCCGGUGCUCUGGCACCGGCGCCUUCUCCUUCCCUUUCCCGCUGGGGGCCGGACCUCUGGGUCCCGGCCCCCCGGGACCGUCGUUGGUGCAUUGCUGGCGGUCCGGCGUGGCGCCAGUGAUCUGGAGCCCGCGGUUGGGGUCGUCCCCCAGUUGCCGGACCGCCAGGCCGCCCUCGUCCAGGGUCGGCAUCGACGCCAGGACCGAAGACCGCAGUGCCUGGUCCUCGCACAGGGCCUUCACCCCGCUCGGGAGGACCAGGGACUCGGGAAUGAACGCCUCGCCGGUCACCGCCCGGACCGCCGCCUCCAGUUCCGCCCUGGUGAAGUCACCGCCGGGCCCGCGCGCGAUCCUGCAGCAGUCGUUAAGCCCCGUGUACACGUAGGCCAUCCGGGACCGCUGCUGCAGGGGGGCGAUUCGCCGCUUCAAGAAGUCGCCCAGCACCAUCAUAGAAGUCAGGCCGCCCCUUGCCAGCUUCUUGAUCCGGUACAGCACCGGGUCGAGCUCCGAAGGUAUUGUCGGCCUGGCCUUCCAAGUGCUCCAGUCACUCUGGGGGCCCCCCGUCGGCAGUUCCAGGCGGUCGUGGGGGUCGGUUACCGCAAUGACCCAGCCUUCACGCCAGUCCUCCCACUUGGAGCUGGAGAAGGCGGCGAUGUAAGAGCCCGCCAUCCCGUGCCAGAGCUGGAAGUAAUAAGCGCCAAUCUCGCCGCGCUUCUUCCCGGUCCCGACCAGGGAAUAGAAAUGUUUGAAGAUGGUGGUGCAGGGUCGCACCCCCACGAAUAUCUCCAUAAGGUGGGCGAAGACCGCCUCGAGGAGGACGGAAUGGGGGGUGAGAUGAUGAAGUUGGAGGCCGAACUCCUCCAGGAGCAGGAGCAAGAAGGAGGAGAUCGGAGGAACCAACCCGCACAAAAUGUACGAAUUGAAAAGGACGAACUCCCCCGCAGCAAGCUUGCGGAGGGGGAUCUUGCCGGCCCUGACCUUCCCGGCGUUCGCCGGAGCGGUCCACCCCAUGAGGCGCCGCACCGCGUCCAACUGAUCCUGGCUCUGGAAGCGACGCGGGAAAGGAAGUGUAGUCAUGGUGUUUGUUGGGUAUGGAUUGCAAAGGAGAAGGGAAGAGAAGGGAGCCGAGCGCAAGGAUGCCAAUCACGAGAAGAGAUGCGGAGACGAAGGGGCGCUACGGCGUCUGUUGUUGGCGAGAGCGAAAAGGUAGCCGCUCCCUUCGGCGCAUACCUUUUAUGCAAAAGGCCACUGCCUUCUCGCGCCCACGGCGACCGAGGAGAAGCCGAACGGUUGGCUGCACCAGGCCCGCUCCUCUCAUACCCUUUGACCGGUGGGCCCGGGCCCACCAGUCAGAGGCGUGACCGCUGGGGGUAUGGGGGAAAGGCGGAAUCCGAACCACCCAGGCCGCUGGACGGGCUCGAAUAAGACAAGAAUCUGAACCGCCUGACGCGUGCGCCGCGGGCGCGGGACGGGCCCCUCGGGGAUCCCACUUUGGGCGAAAGGACAUCCAUGCCCUUACCCGGCGGGAACGAGCUGUCCACCCGGCGCGAAGCUGGGAUUUGGCCACACCUGCGGGUUCAUCCCUCACCCAAGGUGGGCCCGGGGGCCUCUGUCGGUACAUACAGACAGGGGUAGCUCCUGCUAGGGUGUCCAGGCCCCUGGCGUCUCGUAAUUCAUAACCCCCUCCUCUCCCGCUGGGUGACGUGGCAUACGACCCGGGCCUGACAGCUGGGGCCACGGUCUCCGGACCCUCCCCGAGCUCUGGGAAGCCCGGGGCCCCUGUGCACCAAGGAGGGCAGGACGGCUUUCGGGUUGCCCCCGCGGCCCCGGACCCCCAGGGGGUCCGAGGCCGCUACGUGUGAUAACCGGACCAUUACAAGCCAGGCUCCCUCAACUGGACUCGAAGGGCCCGGACUCCCCUUCCCCCGGGGAGGGGUCCGGUGCCGCCACGUGCCGCUUGACAGAGGGAGCGGGACUGGCUCUGCCGCGUACGUGCGGCUGGAGGCCCUUCGCGAGUCACCAGCCCACCUACCAGCAUUAAAUGCGGUAGCUGAGCCGGGCGCGCCCAAGUCAAAAGGUGCGGCCUGCCACUGACACACGGGGCAGGUAAGCUGACACCACGGUAAGCCUGCCUGAUCUGAAAGCGGCGCGUCAUAUCACCGUGCACAGUGCGCGGACUGUGUACAGUCCUGUCACGGCGCUGCACGCGUGAUGAUGGUCUGUAAUAGGCAAAGCCAAGGCGUGCGCUGUAACAGUGCACACGCACCGGGUCAGCGCUGCUUCACCGCCUGACGGGAGGUCCCGUCCUAACAGUGACAGCACGGCUUCACUGUUAUGCAACGCUGACGCCGGAUACUGUGCAAGACAAGGCUGUACAGGGCCGUAUCCAAGUUAUGGAUACGCACAUCAACUUCCCGAUUGAGAGGACUACGGAGAGGAGCUGGAGAUGAAGAUCUCCAUAUCUCUCUUAGAACAAGCUUCUGCUGGCCGGACCCACAUGUCGGGGUCCAGCUCGGUGUAAGCUCCCCCCUUGGACUAUAAAAGGGAGGGUGUACACGUUAGAAAGGGCGGGGUUCCAACAUCCAAGGUUAGACACAAGCACAAGACCAGACUAAGUUCUACCCAAAGCUCUCACAGUCAAUACAAUACUAUAGUGGACGUAGGGUAUUACGCUCCGGCGGCCCGAACCACUCUAAAAUCCUCGUGUCCUUUCUGUGUUCAUCCGCACACCGAUCGAGCGCUCCUAAGUCUCCUCCAAACCCAUCCUUAACUAGGGUUAGGCGGGUGCUUUCCGCCACCCGGCUGGAGAAUUCUUCCGACAAAUACUCUCUCUAUUUUCAUUUACAUGUCGUACUAAGUUUAUCCUAACUCAAAUUUAGCUAACUUUGACCAAAUUUAAGAAAAAAAUAAUAAUAUUUAUAAUAUCAAAUUUAUUUUAUUGAAUCGACCAUUAAGUAUACGUUAACAGUGUAUACGUUGGAUAAUAUAGUUAUUGCUAUAUUUUUUAUAUAUUUGAUCAAAAUUAGCUUACUUUAAUCAGAGAGAGUAUGUACGAGCCGACAUGGUUUGUCUAUACGGGUCAGAGAGGCUCGAGGAUCGGAAGUGAGCUAUUGAUUUGUCCGAGUCCACGUCCGCCUCGGCCAUCGCCUGCCCGCGCUGCCGCGCGCGCCACCAGUGUACCACGCCGUGGUCGGGGACCGUCCACAUCGGCAGCGCCAUCCCGGCCAUCCGGAAUGCCGCCCUGCAUCCAAAUGACCAAAUUUUAGCAGGGGCCUGCAGCAUGGAACGGUUGAGCCUCGCCUUACUGAUUCCAGGAACCGCUUCUGUGCAAGCCUCGCGCCCUCGCCAGUGUGUGUGCGCACCGACACUGGGGGAACUUCCCCGUCUCUCGCCCAAAUGAUGCCACUGCUCUCUGCUCCACCGGCACCGGCAGUGCUCACUGCUCUCUGGUCCUCUGUGAGACCGCGCGCCAGUGGCAGCUUGGCACACGGACAACCCAACUAACCCUCCCUAGGUAGGUAGUACGAGUGCCUUGUUUCUUUGGUUAUUACCUUUUCUUUGUAGCCGCACGCGUACGGUGGUCUCACAAUUGAGAGGCUGUCACUUGUCAAGCAUUUCGUGUAGCCUCUGCUCUGUAUCCUCUGCAGGCUUUGCCCACCAUCAGAACGGGUGCUCUACGAAUCGAGAGAGACCUGUGGCAUCAAAAGCGCCCCACCUCACAGGCUCACAGUCACACCCACCAGUUAGCUCCAUGGCUCCGUGGCCGCCCAGUUUAACUCGAACAUCUUACCAUCCUAUUGGCUUUCGUCCCAUUCAUCGGAGAGCCGAGCGGAAGAAGUGCGCAUAAGACUAUAAGAGUAUACAUAACCGUUGAGGUAACUCGUAUCAAGAUGUCUGUAACAUGUUCGCAAUAUAUAUAUAUAUAUAUAUAUAUAUAUAUAUAUAUAUAUAUAUAUAUAUAUAUAUAUAUAUAUAUAUAUAAGCAGCUUAAAACACGACCCGUACAUCCGGUGGCGGAGCUAGGAUUUUUGUACGGGGCAUGUCAAAUCAAAAUGUUCAUAUGCAAACCGGUAAAAUCUAUUUAGCAAUUCGGUAAAGUUUUAUAAAAUUACCCAACAAUUUGGUACACAACUACUAAAUGGCAUAAUAAGUCUUAAAUUACAAUCCAGAUAGUCUAAAACACCACACUAAUAGCUUGGAAUAUAAAGCACACAAGUUUAAAUAGCAAAUAGGAUUACAACACUAUUAUUUAGGUCAACGCUUUCUAAUGGCCAUGAAAGUCUUAACUACAUCAUCUUUAUUCACAUCUUCCAAAAUAUCUCUAUCAAUAAAGGUGACAAGGUAAACAUCCAGGAGACUAUCACUCAUCUUAUUUCUCUGCUUGGUUUUGAUAAAAUCCAUAUUAGAAAAUACCCUCUCAACACUUGGGAUUUGGGGGAAUAUAAAAAAAAUGCAGGGGAGAGCAGAGGGGAUCGAGUUCUCACCGGCUGGGGGCUAGGGCACGGCCGCAAGGGCACCGGUGCAACCUGGCUAGGGACACUGGGCCGGCUGGAGGUAGAUUCCUAGGGUGGGGCUGCCCAUUUGGGGCCGGCUGCCGGGGGACGAGGCGCAGGGGUGGAGCCGGGGCACGCCGACUGCCGCCGAGGAAAAGGGAGGGAGCCGCGCGCCGCCGCCUGGAGAUGGAGCGGAGGGCAAGCUGGCGGGGGAGUUGGCGCAGUAUCGGGCAGACGAGCAUCGACGCUCGCAAGUCGCACGUCGAUCGCGCGAGGGCCGAGCAGCCACGGGAUGGAAGGGAAAUUGGGGUUUUUUUACAGACUAUAUGCUUAUUGGACUGGACUUAGGGUAUGCCGCACCAUACCCGUGUAGCCCACUGGAUCCACCAGUGUGUACAUCUAUUGUUUGUUAUCAUUAUCAUGCAAGACAUUUUGUCUUGCUUCACGUGCUACCUAUUCUAUUCCUCAAUAAUACUGUCUCUUGCUCAAUAAAUAAUAAUGUUUAGAACAAGCUAAAAAAUAUUGUAUAUUUGAAAAUAGAAAGAGCACCCUCUAUUAUUUCUUUGUAAAAACUCCUCAAUGUACUUGUUUAGAAAUUGUAGAUGCAAGCUUGGUCGUGGCCAAAAUUCUCAACAUAGAUAUGUGCUCACAGGGAAAAACCAUUUCAUAAGUUCUCAAACGUGUAAGUUAUUGAGAAUUUCUAAAUGGCCAGGUUAACACAUGAUGGAUCCAGCAGAAGCAAAGCAUCCGGCCUGCACACAUCAUCUUCCUCCUCUGAUUCAAUCCACCAUGUUAUGUCAUCAUUCUCCUUCUUGCAUCGCCACCAAAGCCGCACGACACACGUCCUGCGACGCAGGCUUGAUCCCAAACCUCUAUGGCUCUAUGUCCAACAAGGAACAAAGCAAUUCACCACCAGAAAAUCCUCAAACACCCCUAGCCUGAAACCCACUGCUGUCGUUGGCGCUUAUGAUAGAGGUGGUAAUGGACCAUGACCCUAAUACUCUCUUCACAAUCCAACUUGAUCCGUAAUAUUUUUAGCUUAAAAUUAUAUAAGAUUAGAAUUCGAUCCUUUUAGAGUCCGGCCCUUAGAUUAUCUAGGCUUAAAAUUAAGACCCUUUACCACCCCUACGCCUAUCACGUGGAAGCUAUUAGACAUGCUUUACUAUUAAGAUGGUACCAUUAGCCCAGUAUGACAACCCAUUUCAUGGAUAUCAUAAUUUGACGAGAAAUUGGCAACUAUAACAUUUCGGAAAGCGACGGUGCUACCGCUAAGGGGAUCAAAUACUUUACAAAUGACAUGUCAGCGAUUUGGUCACAAUAGGUGGCGUACAAGCUAGAAACUUUCUGAUUAGGAUCAGUCCACUCGGCAGAAAUAAUAGCCAUUUUGAGCUACCAAAUUCUACACCCCUCAUCAAUUUUCUCAAAGCCGCAUCCAUCUAAAAGUCCGUCGUCGUACGGGCGCUUAUUCACUCCAUGUCACGUGGGGCUUUCGAUCAGCAUCCGGACAGUUAGAGUUAGAGGAGAGUCCCGUUCUGAGGCACUGGUGGAUCGUGCAGAGCUUCUUCGUAAUCGGAGUAGCAGGACCAUCAAAAAUUAAAUCAUUGGCUUGCGCCGCAUCGCAUGGCGUGGCCACUUCCGCUACCACUUGCUGGAAAACUGAUACCCGUAUCUACGUGGCCUUCGCUGUCCAAGGCUUCAUGAGUUCAUGGCAUUCGGUUUCUGGGCUCGCUGCUUGCAUCAGUCUCUCCAGCACAACAGUACAAUCUGGCACCAAGUAGAAGAAGAAAUCGGGAUCCAAUCUGCAGCCCUUAUCAUCCGAAGUGGAAUAAACAAAUGAAUGCUGAACCGUCGGACAGGAACGGCCGAGCAAUCCCCGCCACCCAGCGCAACUACCCCCCGCGUUCCGUGAGCCCCGGCCGGGCCCUCCUCCGCUCUCGUUCACCACCAGCCUGAGUGCCUGGCCGCCUGAGAAAACACAGCAAGCCUCGGCCGUGCCGGGCCGAGCGGAAGAGCAGAGGCGAGCGAGCAGUCCACGGUUCAGCGGCUGACCACGCGGGCCGCGGCCGGCCGCAGCGCACACAAGCCUACCUACCCAAAUCCUUCCCCCCGCGCGCGACAAGAGCUCAGCGAGAGCGAGUGCCCUCAUCCAUCGCCCUAUUUAUCCACCACGCCCCCCCACCCUGCGCUGCGCGCACCCACCCCACCUGCGAAAACGCUCGCGAACCACUCCACCAACGCCAAGGCAGGGUCCGAGGCGGAUCGGCAGGCCCCGCGGAUACGCGCGCGCGCGAGCAUGGGCGUCCUGCGGAGCACGCAGGGCCUGCAGGCGGAGGUGGACGCGCUGCGCGCCGCGCUCCUGGCCGGCGGCGGGCACGGCGCCGCGGCCGGGUGGCGCCGCUCGGCGGGCGCCAAGCGCGCCCCGGGCGCCGCCGGCGGGGCGGAGGCGCGCGCCGUGUGCGUCACGGGCGGCAUCUCCUUCGUCGGCUUCGCCGUGGUCGACCGCCUCCUCCGCCACGGCUACACCGUCCGCCUCGCGCUCGAGACGCAAGGUCAGCACUUCGCCUCCCUCGCCCCGCCACCUACCUACCCCCGGCCGCCGUUUUCCUUCCCCUUCGUCGCGCGCUCGGCCUGCCUUCGGCCGGGCCGCUGCCGCGCGGGUCCCGCCCCCGGCCACUGGUCGUGGGUUGCUCGCUCGCGCACCUCGGCGUUUGAAAAAUCGGGGGGAAUGCCCGUCGCUUUCGCCGCCCUGAAAGCGAUCGCGCGCGAGAAAGAGCCUCGAGCGCCCGUCCAUUGGUGGAUGCGAUGGAUCCACGCGCGCGCGAUUGACAGGAUUAGCAGCAGUGUCAUUUACCCCGCGGUCAAUAGGUACGGUAAACGCGAUGCGGGGAUGUAGGAUGUUCCUUCACUUCACGCGGCGGCGCCGGGAUCCAAACAUCACGUGCUUCGCCGUGCCAGGGGCAGGUGAAUUAUUCUCCGUUUCCUAUUAUCCCGCGUUUGAUAAAGACCUCGCCGCCACGAUUUGUGGCAGGCGGACAGGGACAGCGGCUUCUUGCGACGGCCUCUUCCGCCUCUUUUUUCCUUCUUCUUUCUGCACGAUGCUUGGCCACCAACUGCCGCGAGCGGGUUGUUCACUUUGAUGUGGCUCAUGAUACCCCCAGCACUAGCCUAUAUCGAAGCCUAAAUGGAGUUACUGUUCACUGGCUCCCGCUACUCUUGCUCAGUAUCUACUGUCUAGAUAGAACAGACGUGCCUUUUCCUUCCUUCCUUAUCUGUUUAGUAAAAACACUGAUGGUUGUUAUGAUGGCCACUUCCAGGCAUAGUACGGCUCUGUGGCGCAUGGUCUUCGCAGUAGUUGUUCCCAUUGGUCACCUCAACUGGACGAUCUGAUCAACUCGCCUACUGGAACGACCGAAAGAAACACGACGAAUGACGAUCGAGGAGCAGUUCAGCAUCGAUCUGACUUGCCCCCUAAUUCAAAAUGGACACGGCCUCCAGCCACGCUAGAAUCUAGUAUAGGAUAUUGCAACUUGAACCGUUGCACGGCAAGCACGGAGCCUUGGACUUUGACCCCUUAGAAACGGUCGGCGAUACUACAGCAUAAUAGGCCCAAUUUAUGCAGAGUUCUUCGCAGGUUAGUUAAUCUGCACGUUUUUGAGAUCGUCUCGCCAUCGUUGGAAGCCAGCAUGUAGCUACCGUCCGCAGUGUCGUGUGUGGCUGAUGCCGUUCCAUAGACCGUUUAUUUCCCCGCGCCUUGCCUUUCUGGCCAAUCAGCUGCUUUGGAAUCGAUGGACGCGGGUCGUCUGAAUCUCCUGUGAUUCUUGCGGUUGGUGCCCGUGGCUGAGUAACUGCUCGCAGUCCACAAAUCAAACACAAGCAGACCAACUAGACUGCUGUAUUUUCCACGGCUGCCCAUGUUUGUUUCCUCACGGAGACUUGACCGUAGAAUCCUCUGGGGGUCAACCGCAUCACGUUUAGUAUUCCCCACCUCCUGAUAGCCAUGACGAAUUGCUAGUUUUUUUUUACUGGUGCUCCUUUUGGCAAGACACCACCACCCAAUUUAACAACUCGUUAGUGGAGAAAUCGGUCCCCUCCACGUCUCCCCGCCGGAGCAAAUCUCUCUCGUGCGUAGGCUGGGUGCGUCACGCCGGCUUGCAGUGCAACAGAUUGCUGGCCAAGUAAAGCUGGAGCAGACUGAACCUUGGUGCGAGAAAAGCAGACAACCAUUUGACAAUGAAAAGGAGGGAUCGAACUUAGAGAAGUGGUGCCAUGGUGAACGGGUUUAGGUUACCGAAAGCCCCACCUCAACCUACAACUUUUCUUCGACGGGCCACCUGGAAAACUCAAUCGAUGUAGAGUCUUUCGAUGUAGUAGUGUCUUUCUGACGCCUGAUGCGUUCGUCGGCUAGCGGUUUGGUAUCUCAGGUUCCCUUCUUCUUCUUUUUUUGAGCAUCCAGGUUCCUCGUGGAUACGACCCCAAAGAUUAGGAUAGGCGAGCCAAAAAUAAAAAAUAAAUUAUUCCUAACAGAUCGUGGUUGAUAUUUAUCUCUGCUUGCUACUACUUACUACAGUUAUCACAGCCAAGCUGAUUGAGAUUUCCAUUAUUCGGUUUGUGACUGACAUGGACCGGUGGUGCCGUGCUUGUGCUGUGUUGGCAGAGGACAUGGACAAGCUGCGGGAGAUGGAGAUGUUCGGCGAGGACGGCAGGGACGGGGUGUGGACGGUGAUGGCCAACGUCAUGGACCCGGAGAGCCUCCGCUGCGCCUUCGACGGGUGCGCCGGCGUGUUCCACACCUCCGCCUUCGUGGACCCAGGGGGCAUCUCCGGCUACACGGUCAGUAGCACGGCCAACCUCUACUAGCAGUCAAAAUACGAAUGGGGUAGCUCCUCACAUCACUUUAGAAAAAAAAAAAAGAAGCACCAUGUGUGACACUUCACGUAAGUUUUUGCAUCUGCGCGUGACACGUAAGUCUCACAAACCAAGAUGGUUACGUGUGUUCUUUUUUUUUUGCUUCAUGAAAAUGAAGAGCGCUAAGGGCCUUUUAGCAGUAGGAUAGAAUAGGAAGUUUCUGAACUCGGAAGUCGUUAGAUAAAGUAAAGUAAAAAAAUUGACAAAAAGCGGGACACUGGGCUAGGGCAAGAAAGUACGAUGAUGGAGGUAAGACCAAGUCGCGAUUCGAGAUUUGGAGGGUGGUGCCGUGAUCGAGCUGGAAGAGAGGUUACGAUUGGCCCCUCGGCAGAACAGAGCAAGCACAAGUCAAGUGCCACUGCCGGUAACAACUACCGUACUAUUAAAUAAACCGGUUAAACCAGACAGUGAUUUUGACAGCAAACAACCUUUCUAGAACGAGAGAGAUGAUUGCGGGGCAACAGAGACAGGUUGCUCUCAUCAUUGAGGGGCCUUUUAGGGACGCUAGGACCACCCAAGUGUUGACGGAGGAGGAGUGAAGGACGAAGCUGAAACACGAGGGCACUGCAUUGCGCCGCGCCCCCCAUGUUCAUUUGCUCAGUGAAAGUGAGGCAACUAGACGUGGGUGGAGGCACGCACGCCUCAGGAAUCAGGAUCGGCCUUGCUGCGUGGUCCGGCCCGGCCCGCUGGGUUCGUGACAACACGUGUGUCAGCGAGAAGGGAGCCUGCAUCGCAGGGUAGCCUGACCCGGACACAUGAUGCUGCAAAUCUGCUGCGCCACAAACAUUUAAACUAAGGGUGUGUUCGUUUCACCACUUUAAAACCCGAAACAUCUAAACUUUAAAGGUCCGGCACCGAACACCUCUCUAAUUCGGCCUCUAAUAAGACUGCGAUUGUUUAGAGUAAGGGAACACUCUAAAAUUUUUAGAGGGCUCUAAUCGGAAACGAACACACCCUAAGGCCCUGUUCGUUUCCUCCUAUCUAAACUUUAGACCCAUCACAUCAAAGAGAAUCUUGCUAUUUAGAAGUACUAAAUAAAAUCUGUUUAUAAAACUUUUUGCACAGCUAGAUGCUAAUUCGCGAGACAAAUUUAAUGAGCCUAAUUAAUCCAUAAUUUACCACAGUGAUGCUACAGUAAUUGUUCGCUAAUCAUGGACUAAUAUACCUCAUUAGAUUCGUCUCGCGAAUUAGCACUAGGGUUCUGCAAUUAGUUUUGUAAUUAGACUUUAUUUAAUACUUCUAAAUGAUAAGAUUCUCUUUGAUGUGACCCCUCUAAAAUUUAGGUACCCGGAAACGAACACCCCCUAAGACCUGAUGCCUCUUUUUACAUAUAGUUUAGCCUUUGAGUGUGAAGAGAUGGAUUCCCUGCACCCACCUAGCCUACCACUGUAAUAGCAUGUGCCGAGCUGGCUGACCAGAAAAAAAAAAAGAAAAUCAGUACCUUCAGUAACCAACCCGUGACUUUGGAAGUACAGCUUCUGUUGAGGGUGCAAAAGCAAGGAUUGGUAGAAUAGGAUUGUCGGAAUAGGCUACACGAAAGAGUUCCUGAUGAUUCGGAUCUUCUCUGGCUGUAGUGGUGCAGCGUCCUGAACCCUUUGACAUUUUGGCGUUCGAACUGACCUGAAGGCAACACAGCCGACUAAUGAGGGAUCUCAAGUCCUACAGUGUAGCAGCUGGGAUGUACUAAGCAUCUAGAAGUGGUGUCUUAUUCCUGUCUUAGAUUCUUGAAUCUUGAAUUGCGCCUACCUAAUCCAACAGACGAAGAACGUAUAGCUUGUCCAACACUAACGACACUGGUGGCAGGUCCAUGCCUUCCAACUCGUUCACCUAAUCUAGCUAGCGCCUGAGAUCUCCUGCCCUUUGACACCUCCCAGGGCACAAGGUUUAUCUUCAGAUCUUUGAUUUCACAUUGCAACAAAAAGAGUUUGACAAUGCAACCACCAUCAGACCACACCACUCAGCAGCUUCGUACGCUGGGACCGUCAUGACGUCAAUGUAUCCUGCAACCACUCGCGGAUGGGUUUAUAGCACCGGAAAGUGAUCAGAAAACUCAAAAGUCGUAGGAGCCUCCCUCGCUGAAUGGGCUACUGCUGCGUGAAGUCGUUAGCCAGUUAGGAGUUUGGAGCAGCAGGUGCAGGUCCCUUAUCAGUUAUCACCCCAACUCCCCAACUAUCCAGAUUCCAGUCUGAAAGUGAGGACCCUAUGUGGCUAUGUUGAUUGGAGGCAACAAAUUCGGGAUUUCGGGAGGCGAUUCAGUGCUCACCUGCUCACCAGUACAGCAGCCUACAGUGAACAGACAGCCAAAGCAUCGCCGUCAUAUGUUGGGGUAGCUAGCUAACGGACCUCUACCAAACGGACCUCUACCAUUAGCACUCAUCGGAUCGUGGAUUCGACUCCUUGUAGGAGCGAAUUUCAAACUGAGGUCAAAAAAUCCCCCUCGCUGGUGCGGUCAUGGUUCAGAGGAUUUUCUCAACCACGAAGCGGUUGCUUCCUUUUUAAUGAAAAAUGGUUGGGCCGUCAUACUCCACCCGGUCGAGUUUUUCUUUUUUUACUAAAAUUGACCUGGACAGCCUUUGACUUGCAUGCUCGUAGUAAGUUCGGUAAAGAUCUUGAUUAGGUUGCUAAGCCACAGUCUUAGUCCUUUCUGUCAAUUGCCUAACGCACCUAGACCUCAUUUACGAUUUAUCUAUUGCGGACAAAGGCACUUGUUUCUUGAAUUUUAGCGGUGAAACUUUCUUCUUCUGUUAGCAAGAUAUAUUGAAUCAAAUUUUAGUAGUUACUGGAACAUUUAAAUGACAUACAGGCUGAAGUGAUUUGUUGUUAACAUGUGGAAAUGCCUGAUUUUGACAGAAACACAUGGCAAGGUUAGAGGCCCAAGCAGCGGAGCGGGUGAUCGAAGCGUGCGUGAGGACAGAGUCCGUCAGGAAAUGCGUCUUCACCUCUUCACUGCUGGCAUGCGUGUGGAGGCAGAACUACCCCCAUGACCGGCGGUUCCCCACCAUCAUCGAUGAGAACUGCUGGAGCGACGAGAGCUUCUGCCGCGACAACAAGGUGAGGCGUGAGGGGUUGCAAGAAAUCUUUGUACUAGAAGUCUCAGCUGGUGCCAGUUCCUCCAGGGUUGGGUGCUACUGAACUGCUGAAAGGCCCUCGCAACCUUGGAAACCUUUACCACCGAGGCACCGACCAAUAAAUAGUACUCUUGUUUUUUCUGUUGAAAAAAUGAACAAACUGACGAUGUGAUCCAUCGUUUCAGCUGUGGUUCGCACUUGGCAAGACGGCAGCGGAGAAGGCGGCGUGGAGGGCAGCCCGGGGGCGAGACCUGAAGCUGGUCACCAUCUGCCCCGGGCUCGUCACCGGCCCGGGGUUCCGCCGCCGCAACUCCACUGCGUCCAUCGCCUACCUCAAAGGUCCGUAUUGUGAAACGCACUAACUCGUAAGUAUGAUGCGUUGUUCACCAGUCAUCAUUCUGACCGACUCGCUUGACAUCUGGGCCGCAGGCGCUCGUGCCAUGCUCUCCGACGGCCUGCUCGCCACGGCGAACGUGGAGACGGUGGCGGAGGCGCACGUCCGCGCGUACGAGGCGAUGGGCGACAACACCGCGGGCGGGCGGUACAUCUGCUACGACCACGUGGUCCAGCGGCCCGAGGAGUUCGACGAGCUGGAGCGCCAGCUGGGGCUGCCGGGCGGCGCCGCGGCCGCGGCCGCGCGGGGCGCCGGCGACGACCGGCCGGCCAGGUUCGAGCUCUGCAAGCGGAAGCUGGCCAGGCUCAUGUCCUCCAGGAGGAGGUGCACGUACGACACCUACUACUCCGUCGCGUUUGAUUAGCCAAGGCUCUGUCUGCAAGCAGGGCUAGGCUGGCUGCUGAUGCAAAGUAUCAAGGCAGAUUUCCUGGGUUUGCCCUGACUGACGGGCGAUACCGCUGGUGCUACUGAUGAGCAACGAUCGCAGCAAGGGUUGGCUGCACCGACCUGCAUUCGGUGGUCCGUUUUGCUUGACGAGGGGAGCAAUAGCUAGAUUGCUAGAGCUCGUUGCUCUCAACUUUUCCUUGUGGAUAGGAAGGAGCAGAGAGCUCGGAUGAGAGUGUGUGCAAUGAUGUACUACUAGUGAGGCCAGGUGCAAUCUUGUACUGCGGCUAUCUUUCACCCACACGACCGCACAGCAAACUUUGUACAGGUCACUCACUGCCAAAAAAAACAGAUUGCACAACCAUGUACAGAGUGCGAUCUUGUGCAGAGUUCUGCUGCAGCAACGAAGGUGGGUCACCAGCGAGCCACACCAGGCAGCGCGCAUCCCAGCACCGUGCCCAGCCCAUGACCCGCACCAUCACAAAAUCCACACGCCGCGUCACGUCCUGCAAUCAAAGCUUGUGCAGGCCAUUGCCAAAAGAAAAACAGUUUGUACAGGAAGACAUUAGACAUGGCCAGCGCACGUGUCACUCAGGAGCAGCAUCGCCGUCCUUCUCGGGAUCGCCUCCUCCCCCGCCCACCACCGGCGCCGAGAAGGACAGCCGGCCGAACCCCCAGAGCCCGACCUGGUACAUGUCCGCCCACACCUCGUCCGACGCGUCCAUCCUGGAGCUCACCUUCGCCCUGGCCUCGGCGCCGCCAACCGCGUCCGCGCGGGCCAGCUCGCCCCACUCCUUGCUCCGCCGCGGGCCCUGCUGCUGCUUCUGCUGCUCGUCGUCGCCCAGGUCACGGACGCGCCACGCCCUCGCCUUCCGCAGGCGCCUGCGGGCGAGCCUGGCCGCGCACCGCCGGCCCGCCGCGUAGGGCGCCCUGACGAGCGCCAGCGUGAGGCAGCUGAGCACGGCGCACGGGCAGAGGCACAGCGCCACGCAGCUCGCCACCGCCGACGCGCUGCACGUCCCGCACGACUGCCUGCUGCACCGCGUCGCCACCCGGUCGUCCUCCUCCUGCUCGGCCGCCUCCGGCAGCGCGGGGAAGCGGUACGGGCGCGGCGGCGUCGCCAUUGCCCGCCUCCCGAUGAGCUACCGCGAGUAGGCUCGAAAGCUCGACCGCCGCUGGCUCCAAAGCUCUGGUGCCUGAGAAUAAUAAUCAUCAUCAAUAAGCCGGGUUGUGGGUGAUCAUCAGCGACCAAAUGGUUUUGUGGAUGAUACCGGACAACUUCGGGUCUCUGUUGCGUAGUAGGCAGUAUAGCCAAAGUUAAGGUGCGCACGUCAGGUCUUGUGGCACAUUCCAAACGGUGAUCAGACGGCUGCGAACCUCAUCGUCACCCGAGGCCUACUUUGAACACUACUGCAAAACGGACGCUUGACCUUACCACUAGUUCCUUCUAUAGGAAAUUUAUGGAAAUGGAAUUAGCUAGUGUUCAAAAUAGCAGUCCACUGUCUAACUGUACAUUUAUGUACUACGGCAGCAGGAUGGAUUCCUUGCUAGGAUGUAGUACUGGUACUGCUACAGAGCGGAGCAAUGGAAACGGUCUUGGAACAUCAUUGCCCCAAACUUUGAUCCCGUAAAUAGAACGUCAGCCGCGGCAUUGCAUUUUGUUGUGCAGACCUGCUGGAUCCGCUUACGAGUCUACGACGGCUGGCUCCAGCCUAUAAACACCACAAUGUCGAUGUCGCCAAAAAUAAAAAGAGAGGCAGGGAGACGACGCUAAUCCCCUAAAUCCGAAGUCAAACAGGCAAAAAUGAGUACGCUGAAGACUUGGAUUCACGAUACAUUUCCGAAGAUCGAACAUGGCGAGCAUGCCGUGUUUUUUUGCUGUUUCUUCUCUUUUCUUUUAAUGGUGAAAUAAUAAUCUGUCUCCUGGGCCUGGGAAAGGACGGGGGGCAACGGAUCGAUUGAAACGACGGCACCGCGGCCAUUUGGAAACGGCACGGGCGCUCUGAGAGCCUCUCUAGCGUUGCGGUUACCGAAGAAGAAACGCCAUAGUUAGGGUAAGCACGCACGAUCAGAGAAGCGCAGAAGAAGAAACGGACAGCGCGUACCCGGGGUUAAGGAAGGGGAAGCCGCUGAUCGGAAACGCCCUCGCUUCGCCGGCCGCGGCUCUCGCGAUCACGUCGGGCGUCGUAGAGGACGGCGCUGAUCGAGAGAUCCUGGAGGAACCACCGUGCCCGCCUGACGGCCACCAGCGGCCGGACGGUCCACACCGGAAGAGAGGGAGAGUGCAGUGUUGGUUGGAUGAUUGGCGCAAGGGGAUGAGGAUCGGAUGGGGGCGCCGCGGACGAGUAGGCCGUGUGGAAACUGGGGAGAUAAACAGGGGUUCUAUGGAUGAUCCGGGGGCGCCACUACUUCUGUUCCUCUCGCUGCCACCGUCGCCAUGUUUAUAGGGAGGUUGGACUCUUUCGUGUCAACUGAACAACUGUUCCCUCUUUUUUCUUCCCCCUUCUGAGCGGAACUGAACAGCUGCUGCUACUCCGGGUGUCCGGUAUAGCCUGGCCGGGCCGCUGUGCAAGUAUUGAUCGGUACCUCUCGUUCUUGCCCAGUCCGUCAUCUUAAGUUGGGUCAGGCCCAAAAACGGGGAAGUGAUGGGCUAAGGAUUGGGCUUGAGUUCUUUUGCAAGGAGAGCACCAAUCCUAUCGGCCCAACGUCAAUAUGCAUAUUUCGCGCAGCAUUCCACUAAACAAUUAGUACUGGCAUAUUUCGACAGCAUUCUUUUCUAAGACAGGUUGAACCUUUAUGUGUUCUACCACAAAAAAAACUUCAUGUGUUAUAAGGUCAUAACGGAAAUUUUUAGAUCGAAGCCACUCCCAGUCAUGGACCGACAAACCACCAGGCAAUAUCACAUAAGGGGAUCCACACAACCUAAACACAACAUUGAUUUUUGUUCUUGCACUUUGUCAUUGUCAAUAUAUGUAGCAAACUCUAAGUAUUAUGAGCAUCUUAAAAAGAUUGGGAGAAUAUAUUUUAAGAUUGAUAAGUUAUAGACACCUUACUAUUACGGGGCAUAUCAUCUCUUCUAAACAAUGUGUUGGUAAUUUCUCAAAUAGAUUGGGAAAAAUUCGAGCACUCAUAAUGAAUCGAGAUCUCAGACUCAACGAACUAGUUCCAAAUAAAUCUAACCAGCUUAAGGCUUAUUUAGGAAGGCUUAUUGCGGCUGUUGGGAUGCGCUCUAGGCCAUCACCUAAGUCUAGUGACCCCUUCGUGUAAAAAAGUCUAAGUUAGGUGUCUAAAGGCAUUUUUGUAAGAUCUAGGGACUUAGUUGCAGCAUUCAAGGACCGGUUUGUAAGUGAUAGGGACUUUUUUGUAAAUCCUGAGGAUCUACUUAUAAUAUUUGACCCCACCAAUGGAAUAAAUAUAAACAACCGCCUCCUCCUCCCUGUACUGUAAAUAGAGCCCUAGGGCUUGGAGGAGAGAACUUUUACCCAUUUACUUACUUGCUCAGUUGGCUUGCUCUACCUCUCACUCUAUCUCAUCUCUCAUUUGUUUGGGGUGCAACCCCAACAGAGGCGUCCACUAUGGUCUCAGCUCGAGUAAAUCGAUGGCACCACAGAGAACAAGUUGGCACAUUCUAUUUUUUUAGAGAGGUGAUAUUGAGAUAAAAAAAGGAACACUACUAAAAAAGAAAGGGUUUUUAGGGGCGGGUAAAAACGUAUUUUUAAGAGCCGGUGCGAUACUCGUCCCUGUUUCUCACAGCUAAAAAUAGCUACUAAAAAUAGCUAUUUGUAGGGGCAGGUUAGGGCGUGACCCGCCCCUACAAAUCAAUGUCCAGAAUAUAAAAAAUCAGAAAAAAUUAAAAAUAGCAAAAGAAAAAAGAAAAAAUAUCACCACCAACCAGCCACCACCCCUUAUUAUGGAGGUACAAUUUUUUGACAAAAUAUGCACACUUGCAUAAACUGGGGUUCGAACCGCUUACCUCAAGCCUCGCGCGUACCCUACUCUCCACCACACUGCACAUUUACUUGUGAUUCUAUAGGGUAUGCUAUUCUUUUCUAUUAACUCUGAAAUCGAUUUCUAGGGACGGGUCAUACCAUCACCCGCCUCUAAAAAUAUUUUUAUAUUUUAUUCCUAAAAUUCAUUUAAAUCUUUACAUAUAGCAAAAUAAAUAAAAAAUUAAAACUUCUACACCAUGGUUAUUAUGAACUAUGGAUAUAAGAAAAUAUACCAUGUAUAUUUCAGUGUAUACAAAGAUUAAGACUAUAGAAAUCUUAAAGUAUGACUUGAGUUGUAUGAGAUACUAUAUAGUUAUAUACGAACUUAUAAUAAUUUUUUGACUAUUAAAUGAUCUAAAUAAAAAUGUUAUCAACUACAAAGUUUUAGAUCACGUUAACCUCUAUAAUUUUGAUAUAAAGUUCAAUUUCAUCCGAGAUCAUAUGAAAAAAUUAUAAUUUUUUUCUAAGUUCAUCUGUAGAGGCGGGUCAUACCAUCACCUAUCCCUAAAAAUAAUUUUAGGGACGGGUGACGCCAUAACCCGUCCCUAGAAUUGGCCACCAUUUUAGGGGUGGGUGACACCAUCACCCGUCCCUGAAAAUGGUGACAUUUUUAGGGGCGGGUAACGCCAUCAGAUUAGAUGCUACAAUAACCGCGCUCUAUUUAUAGGAGUGGGUUACGUUUUGACCCGUCUCUGGAAAAAAGAGCAUUCCUACGCAUCGUUUUUUAUAGUGGAAUGUAUCACUUGCUGGAACUUGGAUAGAUAAGCAGAAUGGAAAAAGGAAAAAGAAAGUUCGGUCGAUGGUUACUAGCCAGUUGCAAAAGUUUAAACUCCACAGCAGGGCACCUUCGAUAGGAAAAGUGCAAUCGAUGGUUAAAUGCCGUAACCACACAUGAGCAGCAUACAUGCAAAGCCUCCAUGCAGCUUGUUGGCUUCGUACGUGACCUCCGCUGGCGCCGACGCAGCGGGCGCAGCUACAGUAGUACAGCAGCAGACUAGUAGCUUCGGCAGCUCACUCACGGAAGACAUCAAGCAGGCGGGCUAAUUGAAAGAACAGUAAAAACUCAUGAUGAAAUAUGCAUAUUGAUGGUCCUCAAAUAGUCCCGAAAGCUCAAAAUAUAUAGCUGAGCACCUUCGAUCAAAAAGAAAGAAGAAAAAGCACAGGCAAAAGAACACAUGCAACUUCAACAGACAAGCGCAUGGGUAACAAGCAAGAAAGACACAUCUCUCCCCCUAGCCAGCAGUUCCGGUAACAUGCAUGCGAAGCAUCCUAGAAUUAAGACAUCACCGUCCGUCACUCAUCAAAAGAAGCUCUCGAAGCUGAAACAGCUGCCUCGUCACCUUGCCGGUGCCGCGAAGUCACCGUAUCGCCGUGACGCACGCCAAAUUUACACCUUUGUUCAUACAUUUUCAAGGGCGGGCGGCCAAUAACCAAUCAAAUCAUCCAUGCGGAGCUCAGCUGCGAAGCUCACCUCGUUAGCAAAAGGACAGGCAAUAACGCCAAGGCUGAAGGUGCCGGGCCUUUCAAAAAAAAAAUAGAAAGAAGAAGAUCGAAGGUGCUAGGAAAGUUGGUAACCAUCAUUGUAAUCCCAGCGUCACCUCCGCUCAAUAGCACAUAUUUCCUCUUAGUGAUGCCUAGUAGAACAUAGCACGGGAAGCUGCAGCUUAGUGCAGUCUAAACACCAAUCGAAGGUAAUGCUCCACAUCUCCAUACAAAAUAUUUAAAUCUUGUCACCUCCGUUGUUCUUGCAAAGAAUGCAAAGCACAAAAGUUUAUAGAAGCAGUGGUCCAAGACAUGAAGCUAUUGUAAUCACCUCCGAGUGCAUGCAUCCACCUCCGGACGACACCGAGGCUAGCUGUCAGGCGACGCAGCAACAAGAGGCAGCCUCGCUCGUCACCUUCGGCCGGGCGGCGAAGCCGCAUGCAGCGAGGAGCCGCUCCGACGGUCCGGCAUCAAUGAACGCUCGGCAUUGAAGCUGUUGGGCAAUAAUAGCUCACCGUGGUUUUCGCACAAAAGAAAAAUCUCAUGACACCACCAAAAAAAAUGAGAUCGAAGCUUACAGCACUAAGCAUCCCAAUACUUAUAAGCAACCAGCACCUUCGUGUUGCCAUGUUCCAACCAAUCGAUGCUGCGGAAUGAGAUUAUUUACCUGGCCAUCAGCCCAUCACCAUCAAACCAAAGCUUCCCGCAUGUGUCAUCCGACAGCAACAACCAGAGCCCAGCAGCUUCGGCCCAAGUGGUUCGCCGAGGAGGCAAGGUCGCGGGGAGGCACGACCAUCUUUUUCAUGAGUGACCGAUGCUCAUCUCAACAUGCGCAGAGCAAGAACCAUCGCUUGCCAUUUUGCUCCUCUCACAAGAACCUUCGGUAAAAGAAAGUAGGUACAAGCAAAGCUGCUGCAACUUCGCAUUGCCACCUUCGCAUGUGGCACGCCAGCUGCUCGUCACCUUCGCUCGAAGCAGACCACAAGCUUUUCAUUGCAAUCUUCGAUCAUUCAUUUCGAAGCGAUGCAAGAAGCCACGGCCACAAAAGCUAAAGUAAAAGCAAAAUCAAGGUAAGAGUACAAGCACCAUCGAGGCUUAUUUCACCACCCGGAGUCGAGCAAUACUAGCUACAGAGGUCAUUGCCUUUUUGGUAUUAUUGACCUCUGGAGAAGGUUAUAAUUUUCGGGGGCCAUGACGAAGGUUAUUGGCUUGCUGACUCUUUAUCACUAAUGAUGAUUUUAAAAAAGCCAUGAUUCAUUGAGAAGGUCAUGACAAGGUUUGGAUUUAGUUUUCUACCUUGCUUACAAGACAAUUAUUCAAAGUAAAUAUUCAUCUUAUUUAUUGAAAUUUUCUCUCACUAACCUCUAUUUUGCAGGGUGUAUCUUUAAAGAACUUCGCUUAUUAUUUAUCUGUAUUUGCAUAUUAAAAGCUCUCUAAGCUUAUAAUUCUCCAACUAAGUUUGUUCUACAUAGUGAAAUAUACUCACUAACCCCUCUCUUGAGGAUAAUUUGUCUUCCAAAAAUACAGAAUUAUCAUACUUGCUUUUGGGAGAAAGUUAUCACCUUAUGGGCUUUCUACCCUUAUUGACUUCUAGAGAAGGUCAGAGCAUUUGGAGAAGGUUAAAACGAGGGUUAUCACCUUUUUAGUUUUCUACCUUCAUUGAUCCAGAGAAGGUCAGAGCUUUUGGAGAAAAUUAUAACGAAGAGAAGGUCGCGGCUUUUGUAGAAGGUUAUAACGAAGACAAGGUUGGUACGAAGGUCCCUUACUUAAUUGGCUUUUCUUAGUUAUGGAUGCGGGCUCUCUUCGAAUAAAGAACCUUCAAAAGAAAAGAAUAUAUUUCAAAAAUUGAGGUUAGAAUAUAUUUCGGAAAUUGAGGUUAGAAGGUCCUUGAGGGACCAAGUCAUUUAAAAGCAUUGCUCACUAAUCUUAGAUCGUUGUUUCUUCAAAUUAAGAACCUCUGCAAGCAAAGAAUAUGCUAGAGAACUCUAAGCAAAACAUCCCGAAGGUACCACAUCUAGAGAUAGUUAUCUACCUUGCGAUGCUUAACUGCUUUUGUCUAAGUGUUUCAGCUUAUCUCGGGUCGAAACAACAAAGAGUUGCAAACAUCGACCAUAGCAUCUUGAAUGCUCCAAUUGUGUAAGUUAGCAAAGUUCGUAUGCCUCGCAAACUUUGCAUACUUAUCUAAAGGUGCAAAAGCACUUGAAUGGCGAGGGGCUUCCAGAUCUAAGGGUCUUGAAGCCAAAAUAACUUAUGACCUCUAAUCCAGACUUCACCCAAAACACCCAAAACACUCGGACAGAGAAGCUAUUUUUGAAAGUUAUACAUUUCUUAUAUAAUGAAAUUUUCCUUCACUAACAUGCAGGUUUUCUUCAAGGUAAGCACUCCUUCUCCACCUUAGGAUAACCUCUUUAUGCUAGACCUUCAUAUUUAUUUCACAGGAAUGUUGGUUUUCAUCCAAAACCUAAGUGCUCGAUACAUUGGUUUCCACAGUAUAUGGGUUUUCAUCGAGAGAUAUCUCUUAUUGACCUCCGGCUCUUACUGGCUAUUGGAUUGGUUUCUUUUCGUGGUUAUCUGUCAUUGACUUCCAUUAUAAUGAUAUUCAUAAACAGUUAGAUUCCACCUUAACAAUGGCAAUUCAUCCGCUCUAGUAUUCAAGAGCACUGUCUUAACCUUCGGUCCUUCGGUCCUUAUCAGCUUCAAGAAUCUGGAAUUGGCAAACCUUACCAUAUCCUUGCAAAUGCAUCCAUCUCCAUUCAUAUGCAUCAAAAGCAUACGUCAAAUCAUCUCAUCGCAUGAACACAUCAUCAUGCAUGGCAAAAAGGAAUAGCUCCGAGGAGCUAAGAAGCUUCCGACCUCAAAAGAAAGCCAAGGAGCUAUCAAUCCUAAGGGAUGCGAAGCCAAAAUACCUUCGGCUAAGAAAAAGAAAAGUGCAACAAGCACAAAAAAGUUAAGGCGCUAUCGAUCCUAAGGGAUACGAAGCCGAAACACCUUCGGCUAAGAAAAAGAAAAGUGCAAUAAGCACAAAGAAAAGGGCAAGGGGCUAUCGAUCCUAAGGGAUAUGAAGCCAAAACACUAUCGACCAACAAAAAGAAAAGUGCAAAAAGCACUUGUGUUUAUGGAUAACUUCAAGAAAUGGUCACCCGAACCAUUCUACACCCGUUGCAAACAUAUCACCUUUUUCAGGUACAAAUUGUCGAAUCAACUUCACCUAAGUUGUAGAUUUGACAAAGCCUGGCACUCAAAGUUUCAUCCCCGCCACUACUUCGGUUCGAGGGGCUCACUGUCACCCUCAGCAUCGUCAACGAUUACGCCUCGACCGAUACUCCGGCUCGAGGGGCUCGCCAUCACCUUCGGCAUCAUCAACGACUCCGCCUCGGCCGAUACUCCGGCUCGAGGGGCUCGCCGUCACCUUCGGCAUCAUCAACGACUCCGCCUCGGCCGAUACUCCGGCUCGAGGGGCUCGCCGUCACCUUCAGCAUCGUCAACGACUCCGCCUUGGCCGAUACUCCAGCUUGAGGGGCUCGCCGUCACCUUCGUCAUCAUCAACGACUCUGCAUCGGCCGAUACUCUGGCUCGAGGAGCUCGCCGUCACCUUCGGCUUCAACUCUGACGUCGCCUCGCCGCUACUACGGCUUGUGGGUCUUGCCGGGACCUUCGGCUUCGCCUCCGACAUCGCCCUCGCCACUACUUCGGCUUGAGAGGCUCACCGGGACCUUCGGCUUCAACUCCGACGUCUCUCUCACUCGCUGUUACUUUGGCUCAAAGGGCUCGCCAACUCAUCAUCACCUUCAACUGCUCGGGUGCAUGACAACUGCAACACCUUCGACCACUACUACAACUACUUCAACUUUUAUGUUAUCUGCGUCGACUACUUCCAUUACAUGCAAAGCUCAUCUCACAAACACUAGCCAAGAGGGGCUGGAGGUGCACCGGAGGACCAACCCUUCCUAGAUGACGGAGUCUUGUCCGGUGCUUGUGAGAAAAGACUUGAAGACGUUGCGGCUACCUUCGGCCAUGAGUUCUCCGACUACAUCACUGGUUGCGGCUACCUUCGACCACGACUACUCCGACUACAUCGGAAGACGAGCCACUCACUGAUAGAAGCUCAAGGGCGAAGCUGCCUGCAAAAUCGAAGUUCUUUAGGAUCUAAAGUUGGCAUUUGUGCGUGUAAAUCAAAAUAUGUGCGUGCUCUUUUCUCCAUGCCCUUUUUCGCACUGGGUUUUUAGGAUGGAAUUUUUAGUGUGGCGCACAUAUCUAGGUUGCACAGGACAUUCCUUGCAACCGGGGUCCGGAUUGUGGAUAUGCGUCUUUUAACAGGGUCAGCUACUCGGUCUCGUUGUACCAGCCAAGACCGAAUAGCUGAGGGGCUACUGUUGGGGAUGCGCCUUAUGCCACCUUAGGUACCUAAGGCUACGGACCCUCUUCGUGUAAAAGAGGCUAAGUUAGGGGUCUAAGGGCAGGUUCGUAAGGUCCAGAGACUUAGUUGCAGCAUCCAGGGGCCGGUUUGUAAGUUAUAGGGACUCCUUGGUAAAUUCUGGGGACUUAUUUAUAAUAUUUGACCCCACCAAUAGAAUAAAUAUAAACAACCGUCUGCUCCUCACUAUAAAUAAAGCCCUAGGGUUUGGAGAAGAGUACUUUUGCCCAUUUGCUUAUUUGCCCAUUUGGCUUGCUCUUCCUCUCACUCUAUCUCAUCUCUUGUCUGUUCAGUCUGUUCAGGGUGCAACCCUGACAGCGGCUUCGGUUUCACUUAUUUUGCGUAAAUUGACAUACCGUAGCGUGAAGCCGUUUCAUAACGGGCUAAAAUUGAACUAGGAGCUGAGUAAACCUAAUUUUCUUUCCUUUACUUCACCGGCUUUAACUUCACUAGUAAAAUCGUUAGAAAAAGUCCUUCCAAACGGCCUCUUAGUGAACCUCACUCUUCAAAAGAGAAUGGAUUGAUUAUAGUUUAAUAUUUUUGGACUACCCAGUGUUAGAAUAGUAUAAGGAAGAGAUCAAGAGAGUUAGCCAUCAUGAACGUUGGAUACAACCUAGGCAGCUGGCUCCAAACUCUCCAAACAACUCAACGAAAUACUUUUCCUUUUCACACGAUGGCACGAACUUUACGACUCUAGUCAGUGACUAGUAACCAUAUUCAGAUUCGUAUACGCCACUGAAUCCCAACCUUCCACUUUCGACGUGCUUCCACCAAUCAGACAUUGGUGAGGCCCCUGCGAGCCAUCAGCUCGUCCAUCAGCCGCCCGACGUCAUCGUACGAGGACCCGCCCUUCUCCACGGCGCGCCUGGCCUUCUCCCCGAGCACCCUGGCCCUCUCCCUUAUCGCCUCCGCCUCCUCGCCGUCGCCCAUCACCCUCCCGAUGGCCUCGGCGACCACAUCGCCGCCGAUCACGCGCCGGGCCUCCAACUUCGAUGCGUAGUCCGUGGACCCGACCCCGACCCCGACCUUGAGCAGCUCCACGACCAGCUUCUCGUUGUAGAACUGGUCGGCGUACCGCGGCCACGUCACCAUCGGCACGCCGGCGCUCACGGCCUCCAGCGUCGAGUUCCACCCGCAGUGCGUCACGAAGCCGCCCACGGCGGCGUGGUUCAGGAUCAGCAUCUGCGGCGCCCAGCCCCGGAUGACGAGCCCACGCUCGCCGCGCGCCAGCAGCUCCGCGAACCUGUCGGGCAUCCAUUCCGACUCCUCGGUGUCCGCGCCGCCGACGACCCAGACGAAGUUCUUGCCGGACAGGUCGAGGCCGCGCGCGAGCUCGCGCAGCUCGGGCGGCGAGAAACGGGACAGCGUGCCGAAAGACACGUACGCCACCGAGCCGGCCGGCUUCGUGUCGAGCCACCGCAGGCAGCCGUCCGCGUCGGGCGAGAGCGCGUCGUCGGUGCCCCUCGUCGCCACGUCCUUGCUGGCGAACGCGACCGGCCCGACGAGCCACGCGCGGCGGCCGAGCGUCGUGGUGUAGUGCUCCAGGUAGUCCGGCUCCAGCUCAUGGAAGCUGUUGAACACCUCGCCGUAGCUCCUCUGGUCCGCGGCGUUCACGCGCUGGAGGAAGGCCCAGCGGUCCGGCAUCUUCUUGGGCUCCAUCAUCUGGCUGCGCCUCAUCUCGACGCGGUGCGGCAGCCCCGGGAGCAGCACGGGCGCUUCGGGGUCCUCGGGGGCGGCCUCCACGGGGUUGUGGCGCACCGUGCAGUCGCUGCAGGCCCGCGCGAACAAGCUGGUGCCGAGGAACCCCAGCCGCGGGACGCCGUGCUCCGCCGCGGCGUCCACGGACCAGUCGAAGAAGCUGUCGGACACGACGGCGUCGGUGCGGUUCUCCGCCAGGAACCGGUCGAAGGGCUCCCGAAGCAGCUGGAUCGCCUGGAAGAACUUGUCGCGGUCGGCCUCGGAGUUGAGGGCCGGCCCGGACUCGACGCCGGGGGGCAGCCCGACGUCCGGGAAGGGCACGACGGCGAUGUCGAUGGCCAGGGCGCUCUCGGCGCCGCGGGAGGCGUCGUUGGCGCGGUCCACCGCCGAGCGGAUGACCGCGGCGUUCCCGGGGGUGGUGAGGAUGGUGCACCUGACGCCGCGGGCGGCGAAGAGCGCGGCCAUGUCGGCGGCCGGGAUGAGGUGCCCCGGCGCCAGGAACGGGAAGAAGAGGAUGCGCAGCGGCCGCUCCUCAUCUUCGAUCGCCAUGGCUGGCCGCGAGCCGGCGCCCCGGCGCUGUAGGGAACAGAUCAGGUGGACCCACGCUGCGCACUCUUUUUGCAUGGAUGAAUGGAUUUAUAGGCUCCAGAUGAUUUGGGUCUUAAGUGUUUCUCUACUUCGUGCCGGGAGCCGUCGAGGAAGAGCACUAGUAGCCAUCUCUGACUUGGUGAUGACCUCCAAUAGUUAAAUUUUUCCAGUCGCUUGGAUUGCCCUCCAAGUGUGUAGCUUCACCAGCAAGAAUUUGAACAGAAAAUUGUGGCUCGUGUCUGACAGGUAACUGCCGCCACUAGCAGGUUUCCAAGCAAACUGUCUCUGGAAGUGGUAAAAUUGUAUAGUGCGACCUGCGACGCCAUUCGUAGAGAGUUUGCCUCGUUUACUUUGCUUCAGCUGCGGCGACAAGAUUCGCAGUAGAACCGACGUCUCGACGCUGGAAAUCGGGGACGCGCGAUCUCUCAAAACGUGCCCGUGUGGUUCGUCAUCGCUUACGUAACGUAUCGCGGAUCUUGGAUGUUCCCGCUGGGUCACCUGUCUGUACGUACGUGUCCCCUCGUGACUUGUAAAAACUGCACAUCGGGCCAUCGGGGGCGUUUCAUAUCAACCUAGAAAGUAGCCAGGCGGUACGAAUUUGUAAACUUAGAAAUUAUAUCUAGGGAAUUUCAAAAUUCUUGAAAAAAAAACUCUCCAUAGAUAAAGUUGAACAUUAUGGUUCCAUAUAAAACUUUAACUCCAAACUCAGUCUGAUUCACUAGUAGAUAUAGAAAUAACAAAUUUGGACAUCUCUAAGAAAUUAUGCAUUUUGCACCUAUUUUUCAACAAAAGUAUCUGACAUUUGUUAUUUUUCGUAGCUGAGAUAUGAGCAAGUUUAGAGUCGAGUUCUUUUUAUGGAAGCAUAAUUGAACCUCAAAUAUGUAUUGUGAUUUUUCAUUUCGUGAAAAUCUGUCACGUAUGUCUUUUAGUUUUCAACACUUUUUUCACCUUAAAUGCAUGCUUUCAUGCCUGCCGCAUGAGCCAUUCUGAUUGGAGGAGCAAAACUGCCUAAAAUUUUUGUAAUCGUUGCAUCCAGCGUCAUAUUUUAUUAAUUUGAGUACUAGUAUUGACUACUUAGAGUGUUACAUCCAUAUAAAAUACUAGAAGCUAACGGUUGAAGUAUGUCAUUUUAAUUAAAAAUAUAUAUUCAGGCGCACAUAAUCGCCACACAUCGCACUCCCACGCACAUCAUUUCGAGCACAUAAUAUCCCGCUCGAUCAAAUCAAGAAAAGAAUGGUUUAAUCCGACGCAUACAUUCCAGAAAAAUGUCCGGAAAAGAAAUGGAGAAGCCAUUUUACACUUUGCGGUCUAUGGCGUCCAAUCUGCACCCAGCCCACCCAGGGACUUCCGUGGGCCUUGAAGAGAAAGAUGCCGAUCCGGCCAGUUCAGCUCCACAGGCCCACCCACCAGAUACUGGGCUGGCAAAUACUAUGUGUUUCGGUACUCCCGCUCCAAGAAGGUGCGGUCGUUUCCAAAGUUAGAAGUUUGGCACGGCUCCGUGAAGAGUUUUAUCACCGACUGCUUCAGAAGCUGUACCAAAUGGCUGCGGCUCCGAACAGCUUCAAGAACCGUUUUCUAAUAAAAAUAGUGGAGCCGGAGCUAUUUCGGAGGAACCAUAAUUUGUAGCUCCUCUAAAAUUGUGGCUCCUCCAAAUCGGCUCCAGCUCAUCCAGAGAAGUUCUUCAGGCGAGCCGUGCCAAACACCCCUUAGUAUCACAAAGAGUGAUGAUGAUGCGAACACUCACCUCACUCGUUGCGAACUGGCAACCUAGAGUAGGGUGCGACUAUAUGUCACCGAAGGUGACGGAAGUGAGUUGCAUCACCUGAAGAACCUUCCAAGAUCCAUGACGGAACGGCCCAUAAACAUUAUCUUCCUCGCGACGGCGUCCUCCUCACCCCCGUGCCGCCGCCCUCCUCGUCUCCGGCGGCUUCCACCGCUGAAUCCGCUGUCGUACCCCGCCCAAAGCAGUUCGAGUUCUCACCCCCAUGCCGCUACCCUCCUCAUCUUUUGUGGCUCCCGCCGCCGCCUCUGCCUUAGCCAUUGAGCUCCACCACCGGCGCACUUGAGAAGCUCGUCAUGUUCCCCCGCCGCUUCCACAGGCCUCCAGUUAUCCUCCACAACCUACGGCCGGCGGCGUCCGCCGCCACACCGCCCCACCCACAACCAGCCACCACUGCCUACUACCUUGCCGCCGCCGAUCUUCUCUAUAGCCGUCCACACCAAAGACACCCCACCUGGCAAUUUAGAAUCUCGAACCCCCCAAACCCAAUCCUAGGAAGAAGCAAGGAGCGGUGGCGAGCAGCGGCGGCAGCAUAAGUGUGACGAGGAAGAAGAAGCUUACAUAGAUCGAUUCCGUUUAAUGGGCUGAAAUAACCUUUAGGCGAUAGCUCACGCUCUCGUAGCGCGAGCUACGCAUAGUCGCGGCGCUGGAGUAGCCUGCUUUUCCUGCACGGGGUCGAUCGAUGACAGGCGCAGAAAAAAAGCAUUUGCGGCAUCCACCAGAUACGAAUGGAUCAGCUAACUGGGCUGAAGAAGGGCGCGAUCCUUUCCCAGGUUAAAUUUAGGUUAAAAUCACACGAAUGUCACAAGGAAAGCCGAUUACGCGAACACUCACAUCACUUGUCCAGUUGUUCUGCUUUUCCUGGCGGUCGAUCGAUGACAGGCGCAUGUGCGUGCACUUGUUCUCCAGAGCUAGCUCAGCUGCUUUUUGUUCAUCGAAAUGGACAGCUCGGUCGAGCACCUAUCCACACGCACCUCCUCAACCACUCAUCUGUACCCUCGUGCCGGGUUUUCCCGUUUCAAGCAUCGCUCCCGAAAUGUUGGACGCCCCCAUCCUGCAUCUAGCUAUACGCGCGUUCCAUCACCAAAUCUGAAACUCGGGACGGAAAAGGGUACGUGACAAGUGACUCUGAGAAGGAAAGAUCGAUCAGAUGAGCAUGCAGCUCGCCUAACAAUCGAAACAGCAGCAGCAGCUGUCGACUCUAUCUCCAGCUGGCACAAGGUCUAAUGGAUUACUGACCCUAGUGCUAUCUUUACGAUUCAACUUAACCCUUAUAUAUUUUAAUUAUAUAAGAUAAGAGUCUGGUUAUUUUUAAACUUAGCUUUUAGAUUAUCUAGAUUAAAAUUUAACACUUUUGCCUUAUUACAUCUAGGCACGAUACGAGACGCUCAGCACGAUGAUGCGGCGAUGAGGUCGAUCUCGUGGUCGCCGAUUUCAGCGAGUGCAAGAAAUUGACGAAUAAUCCGUCCACGUGCAUUUGUUCACUCAGCAAUUACGGCAACGAGAGCCAUCGUUCAACGAGAGCAAUCCUAAGGCACAGCAUCACUCGUUUACCGACCGAGCUUGCUAAUACUUCUUGCUAGCUACAGUACUAAACACUGAAGUAGUACCAGAAACAAUUGCCCAUUGCCAUAUGCACUCUUCAGAAUGCACCUGCGACCGGUUUUGUCUCCCAGAAAUUCUCCACAGCGUUCCAGAAGGUGUCACUGAACUGGGACGAGAAGAAGUGCGGCGGCGUCAGAGCGUCCACGCCGACGGCCGUUUCGCCGUGGCCGGCGACCAAUCUCAUCAGCUCCGAGUAGUCCGGGAAACUCGACUGCUGAAUGCGCCAGUCUCCGGCGGUGGGGCUGUCCUGGCUCGUCAGCGCGGACGACGCGCCUUCGCCGCUGACGGCCGCCGCCGCCGGCGUCGUCGCAGCUGCCAUGGCGGCUUUCUGGAAGUAGUACGGAGCUUGCUGGUAGGGGUCGGGCUUCGUGCUGCACCAGUAGUAGUCCCCGGCAUCGGAGCUGGCGCCCUCGCUGACGGCCGGCUGCUGCUGCUGACGCGGGGUCGUCUUGGCCGCUGCCGGUUUCUUCUGGAUCCUGGUCCUCCAGUAGUUCUUGAUCUCGUUGUCGGUCCGGCCGGGGAGGUGCUUGGAGAUCUUGGACCACUUGUUCCCCAGCGUCGCGUGGAGCUGCCGGAUGGCCGCGUCCUCCGCCGGUGUGAUGCCGCCGUGCCGCACGCCCGGCCGCAGGUAGUUGAGCCACCGCAGCCUGCAGCUCUUCCCGUUGCGGUUCAAACCUGAUUCGUAGAGGGACACUCGAAUCAACUGAUCGAUCGAGGAAGCACGCAUUCAAGCAGUUGAUCGAUCGAUGGAGGCUUACCAGCAGCGCGCGCGAGGUUGUCCCAGGAGCCCUCCCCGUGCUCGGAGAUGUAGCCUACGAGGAUGAGGUCCUCCUCCAGCGUCCACGGCCCCUUGCGCACCGCCGGCUGGUCGCCGGCGCGGCCGCGCGUCGACACGGCCACCCUGGUGGCCAUCUCCCUACCUCUUCUGUGCGUGGCUCGUGUGAUGUCAACUCGAACCGCCGCGCUUGGUCGUGCGCGCUGCUUGAGGAUGCCGGCAGAUCGAUGCGGUGAUCGGUUGGUGUGUGCUGCAGACCGUUCGGCGGCUGCCGUUAUAUAGGCGCGCUAGCCGGGCCGGUGGCGGGAUCGUACGUACGUGUACGUCAUCAAGAGCGCGCACGUUCUUGUUGGAAACCAACCACACAUGCUCACUACCAAAAAGAAAAACCACGCAUGCUCCUUUUCUGUGGCUGCCUUGAGGCCUGCGCCUUUGGCUCGAUUUGGUAAAGAAGGAAGGCUGCUUUCGUUUGAGGCGCUUCCAUUUUAUACGGAGUACAAUUCAAACCAAUGCAACCCCAAACCACGGAUAAGAUUGGAAGAAGUAUAAGCGCCCAACCCGUGGUACUUUCUAUAUCAACUGCAGUCUGCAGAAAAAACUUGAACUGAAAUUGGCCACCAAAGCCGCAGGUUGUGCCAGCAAUCCAUCUGAAUUCAGCCGCCAGUUCAAGUUCUUUUGGGAAGAAUUAUAUUUGAUCUUGUCAUGUGAUCAAAUUAACAUGUCGUAUUCCGAAAAUAAAAGGUUAAACUGUCGCAUACUGUAGCAAGUCCCCAUUAUUUUUUUCUGUUUUGAAUGCUUUCCUGACUUUUUUUUUUGGAGGAAUGCUUUCUCAAGCAAAAUCAACUGACUGAAACAUAUAUCCAUGUGCUGUGCAGGAGCACGAUGGGAACCACUGCCUUCUGAGUAGGCAGGGAGAAAAAAAAAUCUCUUCUUGCUGAACUGUAGGAUCGCAUCAUCGCGUCUUGUCGCGGAUUGCCAAUGCCCGUGGAAGCAACGCAAGUACACACAACUGUAAGCCAGCAACCUUAUCCGAGCACAGUACGUAGCACGCCCAGGCCCAGGCUCUCUCGCUUUCGGUGCGCGAUGGACUGGCGGCGACGAGCCGAUCAGUUGCCACCGUCGCCACGUGCUCAGCCCUCGCCCGUGGACACGCGUUAGCUCUCCCAGCCAGCCAGCCUCGCAUCGCCCUCGACCACCCACAUCUUUGGUUGCUGCCUGGAACGACGCCGGCCGCCGCGGCGCUCCGCAUGUUACUAGCGGCGCGCCUCGUGAGUCGUGCCAUUAUCGCAUGCCGGAAACGGAAGGGAUGCCGCGCGCGCUCGCCUACUCUCGGAAAUGGUUAGGCCGCCUGCCCGAUUCCGGGGAGGAUCGGAGUUCCGCACCGCAGUGCCGCCCAACGGGUCACACUGGAUACUGAUUUGAUCGAGACAUGCGGCGAGACAGGGACCGGACGUGUGUGCCGGUGCUGUGCUGUUGCGCUGGAGAGGGCACGUUCCGUUUGUUGGAGGAGAGAGCUUUGCAUUGGUCGAUCUUGGUGGCUUGCUGGAGGCUAGAGAGCCGAUACACGGAGCUGUUCGAUGUUCCUGGGCAAAUCCGUGCAACUGUACAGAGGGGAAAUGAUCUGGGCUGCACAACCUUUCAGUUUCAGGUAUACAACAGCUUUCGGUUGUGCUUGACUCACAGUCAAAUGUUCCUGCGGACGUACGAGUAAGGUAGGCUGGACUGCAAGUUGUGCGUCUUUGCAUCUCUAUCUCUAUUAUUUCUAAAUCAAGCAAUAAUUUUUAAUCCGUUAAUCGGAUUCCGAUUCCUAAUCAGAAUCCCGAUAAAUUAAUUGGAAUUCUAAUUGGACAAAUCAAUCGGAAUCCGGACAAUCAAUGUUUUGCGCGGUUAUGGCACAUCGUAUAGAUAAAAUGAAUUAAAAAAGUAUAAAGUUGGUGAUCUCAUAUAGAUCUAGAUAAAAUUAAUAUUACCUAUAGCAACGUACGGGCAAGGCACCGGCACCAUACCAUUACUGUAUAAAAAACACAGUGUACGUUAGCGUCAACAACGUACGAGCCAGACGCAGAUCACGCACUCACGGCAAAAAAAAAGCGGGUUCGUAGAUCCUGUUUCAAAGAAAACGAAAAAUGAAAAAGACUUUUGCUAAAUAUCUGUUAACAUAUUUUUUAAAAAGAAUCUGUCGAAUUCUGGUGCGUUUGAUCUGUGCUUUGAGAUAUGUGCUUUUUCUGUCGUUUCUAAGUAGCCCGCGGUUUCGUUUUGUUAACGGGUGCCGCCGCCAUUGUCCGAAUCUACAAACCUGGUGAAUAUUUGAAAAUCGUGCCCUUUCUAUUCCCGCAGUCUCCUUGUUUUUCCCCAACGAUAUUUUAUCUCUUUCUCCAAUCCUCCGGAGCCAUCCCCUUCCUCCUCCUACCUCAAUCAACUGAAAGGAGCAGCUGCUUGUGUCGCCGGCAACGCGCAGCCAUCUUUGGGAAGCGAAGGAACGGCGGCGCGCGUCUCUCCGGCUUCCCCUCCACCCCCGGUACCAGCCCCUCGCCCUCCCCUGCCCAAUGCCCACUUUCGCGGCAGCGCGCGCCCUUUCCACUCCGCUUUCUUCCAGGAGCAUCUGAGGAUUUGUCUUCACUGAUUCAUGUCCCCUUUUCCGCUGCUUUGAUUUGUGUGAUCUGUUCUUUUUUUUUAUAUGAAUACAGGCUGCUAAUGGUCGCCGUUCGUCCUCCCCUCUCCGUCUGCCCUCUCUAUCUUCAGGCUGCAGCUCGUGUUUGCUAUCUACAUGUGCAUUCUCCGUGAUUUUAUUAGAUUUGAAGUUCCAUUUGAUUUUUGGUGUGAGCCAUAGAACUAGUUGGUACUUGAUCCAUUCAAUUCUUGGUGCGAUUUGGUGUUUCAUUUUGUUUGUGUGUUGUUUGGCGCAGGUGUCAGAUUGGAGAUCGUGCUUGAGUAGAAGUAGCGGCUGGGACAGGGUCCUACAGUGCUCGUUGCAGGGCGUGCCCUCUGGUACUGCUUCUCCAAGUUUCUUCGACCCAAUUACCGAUGUAAGUACUGAAUGUGCCCCUUAAAUAUUCAGAUGUGAUUAUGCUCUCGGACUAUGAUGUGCAUGCUCUGAAUGUUUCUACAGGAUCUCGUAUCUUGAUCCUAUAUCUAUUUGUUUGAUGGUUGCCACUAAAUGUUCAUUCAUCUCAGCUUAUUACCUAUUCAUAAUUAAAAUUUGUAACGAACUGUUCACUUUAGACAUGGUAACAUUGUACUUAAAAACUGGUUUUCUUUUUUCCGGUCUAUAUUCUGAUGUUCUUCUUCCGUCUAAACUCUCAUGUUUGAGCUACGAAAAACAAACAUGUUUUUGCCACUGUACCUCUGAAUCUCUUUUGUAUGUGUGAUAGCAUGUCAAUUCUUGUGGUGGCCCCCACCCCCCACCAAAGUGAUUCUGCUUUGUAAUAUGAAUAUGUUUGCAUCAAGUGAUAGUUUAUAUUUUUAAAUCAUCAGGUUCUUUUUUGUGUUGUAUGCAGGCUUCUCGUGGUCACCAUUCACCCUAUCCGCUCCAACUGCCCCUAUCUGUAGCUCUUGUUUACUGUUCGUCUUCCCCCCGCGCCCCAGCUGCCCUUGCUAUCUGCUGCACGCACAUCGAUAAAUUUUUGAGUUCAUCAUUGUGAGCUGCCCUUCGAUUUUUUGCUGAUAUUUUCUUGUUGUCAUUCGGAGCUGCACUAGAUCAGGGGAAUAUAUGUGAUUUGACUUGGUAGUUUAUUUUAUCAUAUAUAUUGAACUGUUUCCCAGAUCAGAUGCUCUAAAAAAUCUUUGAAAGUAUAUAGCUUCUUACUUUAUCUUAAGUAAUAUUAUGUGCUUUCGUUGCUUUCUGCCGCAAGUUUUGAAAAUAUGUAGAUUCUGACUUAGAUCUCAAAUAAUUUUUACAAUCCUUUUUGUUACUAUGCCCAUGCUUCUACUUUGAGCCUCUCUCUCCUCUACUCUCCUCUAACUGAGCUCAAUCUGUCUCACAGCCCCGUCAAGGAUCCCCUUGACCGCAACCAGACUUCAAUUAACCAAGCGUGCCCCUGCAAUUCCGCUCCCAAGUCAGGUUUCAACAGCUUGUUGGUUUUUAUUCCAAUCAGCUUGCUGUUUUGUUCCUUCCAUUCAGCCUCGAGCAUGUCACAACUCUGAGAUCAUAUUUUUGUCCUGGCCAACUGCAGCAGCUGUGCGCAGCAGGCACAACAACUUCAUUGUGUCUCUUAAUUUGCCUUCUCUCACUAAUUCAGAGUACAUUGUGAUUUUUUCUUCUCUCGGCAGCUAGUGUUCCUGUACUUUUGAAUGACGAUAUGAAUAAUGCUGCAGCUCAUCUCUCUAGCAUGGAUUGUUUCUAUUGGCUAUUUGUCUCAUGCAGGAAAAUUGAGAUAAUCAUCUUACGUAUUUUUUGACCCUUGAUUAGUUAAUUUCCUUUUAUGUAUGUGUGGCCGGUAGCAGCACUUUUGAUAUUGCUUUUGUUCUGUUCACUUGCUUUUUUGGGUCUGAACCUUGCUUUUGUUUUGGCGAAUUUCAGUACAGUAACUACUAUCCAAUCCUUGCAAGAGUAUGUACAAUUUGUUUACUUGUUUAGCAUAGUUUUAGCCUUUAGCGCUAAUCAUGUGCCUUGGUUACUGUUAGUUCAAUUGGCUAAUCAUGUGCACCAUACCAAAUUUAUUUUUGUUGCUGUCAUUUUGCUAUCAGCCGGGUGCACCAAAAAUUUAUCAUUUGAUUCCUAUCUGUUGGUUGCUAUCUGAAUUUUUCUAACUUUAUAGGUUCUGUAUUUUCCUAUCAUAUUUUUGUGAGGUAUUUCAUCAUCACAUUUGUGUUUUCUAUUUUAAAAAUAGUUACUUUUUAUGUACUAAUGAACACUUGAAUAAUUGGUUCAACUAUAAUAUAUUAGCUUGUAAUAAUCUGUUGUUUUUUUACAAUAUCUUUAUAUUUAUAGACCUCUUUAUUAUCUAUGCAUUUGAUUUGUUUUUAUUGAUUGUUCGUAUAACUAAUACUUUUUAUUGCUUUAAAUUGUUUUUAGAUGGCUUCUCGAGGUUGUACAUCGAUAGGGAGUAAGAAUAGCCAUGAUUAUUGUGGUGAUGACAUGGCGGUAAGUUAUUCAUAAUUGUGAGCUUGGUGAAGCUGUCUUUGAGUUCUAUACGAAGAGGUAUUUCAUUUGUAAUUUUUUUUGAGUUUGUUGUUUAUGGUUUUUAUAAUAGUAACAUGUAUAUGCCUAUAGUUGAGUUAUCUACAUUGUGGGAGUCAAUUUGUUUUGCUUUGUUAUUCAAGAAAAUUAAGCAACUAAAGAGCAUGCUUACUCCAGCUGAGUUGAACGUUAUUGUGAAUGAUAUGGGUUGCCUUUGUUUUAGUAAUUGUGUAAUUUUUAAUAAUUUUUACGCAGAAGCUGUAUUCUAUAAUUGGUUGUAUGUAAUAUGUAUUUGGUUGUAUGUAAUUGGUUCCUUUGAAGAGAAUAAAAGAUGUACAUAAUUUGUUUUUUAGUAAUCCUUAUCGGAUCAGGUUGUAUAUGCCACCCGUUAAUCGUUGUUUGUCCUAUUAAGAAAUUGACAGAUGUGAUAUGCCUAAAUCUGUCAGAUUUCUUUUGGCUACGUGUCAGCAUAUGACUGGUGCAAAAAUUAACAGAUUUUGACCGGUAGAAUAUGUCGACAGACAACUAAACAGACCUAAAGAAAAAAAAACCGGGUUCGGCUGCGUGCUGCCGUCCCGAUCGCAAUCGCAAUUCACAAUUGAACGCUCAUAUGUGUAGCUACUCGACACUAGAUCCGAAACAUCGAAUCCACCGUCGGUCCUCGAACUUGGCUUCGGGUGUGAUCCCGAUUCUCAAACUCUCAAAAUGCACAUCCACAUCUUCAAACUUUCUAAUCGUAUCGUGUCAAGUUCAAAUUAUAGUUGUUUAAGCUAAAUCAGAAAUUAUAUAACUUGUUCAAAUAAAAAAUUAUAUGCAAAAUAUAUAUACAUAAAAAUAAUCCAUACCAAUUUACAUGUACAAAUAAAUUCAAAUACAAAAGAUCUGUCUAAAUUUUUUUGUAAAAUAAGGAACUCAUAUGACCAAAUUUGUAAAAAAAUAGAAAAUAAAAAAGAUAAUUUUGGAGGAAAUAUUUGAAAAAUAAAUAUUCGGUAUAAAGUUUUGAAGCAAAAUUUUGAGAAAAAUUUAGAAAAUAUAAGAAUUGAGCAAAAUAAAUUUAAAAAUAAAAUUUGGACCCACAUUUGAGCUCCACGUAAGUUAACUUCCACUUUAUAAUUUAAAAAUGAUGAUUUGAACUUUAUGUGAUAUGAUUUGUAAGUUUAAGGAUUUGAGUGUGCAUUUUGAAAGUUUAAGGACCGGAAUGACGUCCUGAGCCAAAUUCAUGGAGCGAUAGUGCAUUUUACUGAAAGAAAAAGCUAGAAGUGCGUAGCUUCACUAAAGAUAAAGCAUGCACGAUAUUGAAACCACACGUUCACACACCUACAUGCAUAUAUAGCAGGAUUCAUGCUACGAAAAUGUUACUCUUUUUCUGUCCUUUCUAACAGCUACCUAUAGCCUCUACGCUGUAUGAUCAGAUCACUUCAGAUCAGAAUGUAGCAUCUGGAACCGGUAGAGUUCCCCAGAAGUCGUCGACGACGUUCCAAAAGCUUUCCGCGUCGACCAUUUUGACGCCGUCGGCGGCGACCGAACUCAGCUCGGAGUAGUAGCGGUCACUGUAACUCGUCUUCAUGUACCCGUCGCCGGCGGUGGCGGAGCUGUCCCGCCUCGUCAACGCCGACGACGCGCUCCCGCUGUCGACGCCCGCCGCCGCCGCAGCCACGCUCUUCUGGGAGCGGUCCGCUCCCUGCUCGGGGUGGUUUGGCUCCACGUACCACCAGUCGCCGGCGGCGGAGCUGCCGUGGCUUGCCGACGCGGACGACGACGACGACGCGCCCUCGCUGGCGGCUAUGGCCGCCGCCGUCGCGGGCGCGCGGUACGCUUGCUGCUGCUGGGCGCUGGCUGCCGGUCUCCUCUGGAUCCUGGUUCUCCAGUAGUUCUUGAUCUCGUUGUCGGUGCGGCCGGGGAGGUGCUCGGCGAUCUUGGACCACUUGUUCCCCAGGCUCGCGUGGAGCUCCCGGAUGGCCGCGUCCUCCGCCGGCGUGAUGCUGCCGCGCCGCACCCCCGGCCGCAGGUAGUUGAGCCACCGCAGCCUGCAGCUCUUCCCGUUCCGGUUCAGGCCUGAUCGAUCGGACCAAGACAUCAGAAAUGGUUCAGUCCACGCGAAUCUUCAACGACAUCAUUGAUCCAACAUCAAGAAGUAGGCUUACCAGCGGCGCGCGCGAGGUUGUCCCAGGAUCCCUCCCCGUGCUGGGAGAUGUAGCCGACUAGGACGAGAUCCUCCUCCAGCGUCCACGGCCCCUUGCGCACCGCAGGCUCGCCACCGGCGCGGCCGCACGUCCUGCCCAUCCUCUCUGAGCCGUCUUCUUGCAAGCUCUUCGUGCGUGGACUGGUCGUUGCAGCUGAUCUCGUUCGGUGGCCGAGCGGUUAUUUAUAUAGGCGGCGCGCCGCCGACGGGAUCGGUCCUUGCGUUUACGUCAUCACGGCUUCACGCACAGUGACACAUGUUUGUGUUGGAGCCAGCCACUCAGCCACACGCUCUUUUGUGGCUGUGGCUUGCAGCCUCCAUCCUUUGCCUCGUUUGGGCAAAGAGUGCGGCUGCUUUCGACGGAGCCGCUUCCAUUUCCGGAAGCACGCAUAUACAAGUCUUCCAGCUCGAAACUAUUGGAUCCUGUCCCGUGAAUGCUUCCCUUCUCUCGCAGCUUGCCAGUAGAAGAACACUGAGCACAGCUGUGCAGCGCAGCGGUGAAUAGUGAUCGUCUCCGAGACCAGUGCAGGACGCGUAGGCUCUCUCGCUUUCGGCGCGCGACGGAUCGACGGCGAGGAGUCGGUUUCCACCACGUGCGUAGCCCCAUAAACGCAUAGCUAAUCCCAGCCGGGGUGUCACCCUCGCAUCGCAUCGCAUCGCUUGACCACGUCUCGGCCUGCAGCUCGAUCGGUCGCCACGUGUCAUUGUCCACCACCGCUAGCUAGCGCCUCGUGCCAUGGCCGCCUCGACCGACUCCUCGUGGAACUGGUUACUGGUUCGGUGCGUGGUUUGGCGACCCGCCCGGUCGAUCCGGAGAGGGGUUCUCGAAGGAUCCAUCGAUCGAUCGGUCGGUCGCCGUGGAUGCUGAUCGCGACGCGCGACGACGAGGAACGUGGCCGGGCCCGUGCUGUAGCCAGCGGCGGCGUAGGCCACGUUUUCUUGAUGGGGAAAGGGAGUCGAGCGCUAGUCACUUGCGAGGGCAACUGUGAGCUGUUCGGUCGAAUUGAACAUGGAGAUGUUCUUCCUGUUCUAGACCAUGUUUGGGUUUCCUUCCUUCAAUUUUUAAGAAAGCAUUGGCGAUUUAUUGGGCCCAGUCAAGGUAUCUUACUGGGAUGCAGAGGCCAGGAAAGAAUUGGAUUCGCCCCGAGGAAGACAAAUGGCCGACUCGGACCGGCCCAACUCGCACGAGGACUGCAGACGGCGUUCUCACGGCGUCAGUCCUCGUGCGUCGUGCGGCCACUCCACGCCGUCUCUACCCCGGACUCCCAAUCGCCAGGCGGCCAGGGUGAAGAGGGAAAAAAAAAAAUCGAAGCGGAGGUGAGAGAAGGGACUAGGGAGAAGGCGCCCCUCCAAUGGCCGCGGGCCUCCGCCUCCACCUCUUCCCGCGCCUCCGCGCCUUCGCGGCCUCCUCUCGCCCGCUCUUCGCCGCGCACUCCGGAGCCCUGACCCUGCCCCUGCCCCUGCCCAUGCGCCGCGCCGGCCCGGCCAUGCCCCUCGCCGCCCGCGCGCGCCGCGGCUUAGGCUCCUCCACCGCCGCUGCCCCUCCCGCCGAGGACGAGGACUUUGCCACAGGUUAACCGCCUCCUUGUCCUCCAAAAGCCCUCCGGCCGACUUCUCACUCGCUCGCUCUCGGCUUACUUGGUUGAUGCUGUGUUUCACGGUCUGUAGCUGCCGACCUCCGGUUCGAGCCGCCGCUCGAGGUCGUCAAGUACCCCGACCCCAUCCUGCGCGCGCGCAACAAGCGCAUCAACACCUUCGACGCCAACCUCCGCGCCCUAGCCGACGAGAUGUUCGACGUUAUGUACAAGUGAGUCCUCUGGGCAUUGCGUAAUUUUUGUUUUCAGGGUUUUAAGCUGUGUGCACCGCGAUUAUUUGCUGAAACGCGGAAGAGAGGGUAUCAUGCUAAUAGGCACUGAAUCGACGUGCUGUUGUUUCAAAGAAAUAUCCGUGCCUUUGUUAGCUUGAUUGGAUGGCCGUGAUAGUAGACUUUAGCUAUGGCUACUUUUGUGAAAUUCUUUCUAUGACUGUUCAAUUGAGGUGUCAUUUGUUUGUGUGAAGAAAUGGUGAAUUUAUUUGGGUAGUUCCUAGAUUAGUACAAGCUUGAUGCAAUAAGGGCUAGUUACAUUAGGCAUAUUUCAAAUGUCAGCAAAAUACCCAAUCAUAGGCCUGCCUGCUGUUUAGAGAUAGAACUAUGCCCAGGCUUAUUAGGAACUGUACUGGUCCGGUUAAAUAGUUGGUUUCUGUACAGGACUGAUGGCAUUGGCCUCUCAGCACCACAAGUUGGAGUGAAUGUGCAGCUUAUGGUGUUCAAUCCAGCUGGGGUGAAGGGUGAAGGAGAGGAGAUUGUCCUUGUCAACCCAGUGGUAUACAAGUCUGGGAAACGAUCGCUUGUGUUCGAAGAAGGGUGCUUAUCAUUUCCUGGAAUAUAUGCCAAUGUGGUGGUGAGAAUAGUUUACCAUACUGAUUUUGUUACCUUGAAGAAGACUUUGGCUGUCCUUUAUCUGACCUUAGUGUGAUGCUUACCAUUAGACAUUUUCAUAACAUGUCAUAUUUAUGAUUGAUAUUGCUACAUGUUACAUGGCUUUGGCAUACUAAAUUAGUAUGUAAUUUUGGAAAUUAUCAGCCUCUGCCAUUUCCUUUUUGAAACCAAUCAGCCUCUGCUCAGCAACUGAAAAGGUGCACAAUUAAUAAAUAAAGUUAACUUUGUGACCAUUGUUUCCUUUCAGAGACCAGAAAGUGUGAAAAUUGAAGCUCAAGAUGUUACAGGGGCAAAGAUCAAAGUAAAAUUAUCUGGUCUACCUGCAAGAGUUUUCCAGCAUGAGUUUGAUCAUUUGCUGGUAUGUAUUUAACCACUAUCUAAGUGAAUUAUCAUGUCCAUCUGCAAAAUAGUAAUUCUCAUGAUGUAGGGAUACAUUGGUUCUUCAAUGAAAACUGAAUGGACGUUUAUUCGAUGCCAAAUGGAAGUACACUUAAUACCAUAAUCAAGCUACUCUUUUAAGUUAUGCAAUAUACAUAUAUGCUAUUUCUGUUUCAUUUGCUAUCACAUAUACUCCCUCUGGUUGCAAAUUUGAGUCAUCCUAGAGUUUGUGCCUGUCAGGUACUUUCAAUUCCAGGUUUAACCAUCAUUACAUAAAAGAAGUCUAGUUUGGACAUGCAAAAUUGAUAUUACUGUAAUUAGGUAUUUUUCUGUGUUUUCUUAAUGUCUAAUAUCAUACAAAUUACUGGUUAAAGUUGUAAUUUGCGUACGAAGUAUGCUAUCAACCCAUGCAUAUGUGACCAGGGGCUCAUCACCGCGCUGCUCAUAUUGUUUGGGGAUUUGCAGGGGAUUCUUUUCUUUGAUAGAAUGACAAUGGAUGUUCUUGAGACCGUACGUGAGGAACUGAAGGUUAGUACAAUGUGAUUUUGAGUACAUCAUAGGGGAUUAUAUUGAAAAUUCUUAUUUGGUAAUUGGUACUCGUUGCAAUCACUGUGGCUGUAAUUGCAUGAUUUUGAAUCUUAAAUUAGUCAGAGUAUUCCUAAAUCUGCAUGUAUACGUUUUCCAUCCCAGAAUGAUGUCAGCUUAAGUUGCGUUUCAUAUAUAACCAAAAUUAAUAACAUGUGCAUAAACAUUUCUCCAAGGCUGUAUGCCAGUGUACAAUUUUUCAUGUAGUAGUUAAUAUUUUACAAUUUUGUGCAUGAACUCAUACUUCUUUCCUUGUUAUUUCCUUUAAAAAAAAGAACCUAGAGAAGAAAUACGAGGAAAGGACAGGACUAACGAGUCCUGAAACUGUUGAUAACUAUCAGGGUACAAAGGAUGUCUUUAGUUUUUCGAGAUGAAGGGUUGUAGCAGGUCUGUUUCAUCUCAACACCUUUCUAAUUUGGCUAACUUCUCAUUCACUGUCUGGUGAUUCUAAGAAAAUUUUGUUUUCCAUUUUAUGGACAGACUCUGGAAAUUUUGCAAAUAUAUCAUCAAGCUGAGCUUUAGCCUGAAGAGUUUUUGGGACAGCUCACACACUUGCACGCACACACACUACUUUAGUUGCAGUGUUGGCAAUCUUGCUAUGUCUAAUUUUCUGCAAUAUCAAUUGAACUAGAGACAGCAAGUUCACUAGUUACAAAUGAGGUUUAAUUUUUAAUGGUUAUGUCUGUAUUACUGUUUUAUCCGCGUAUUUAUGACUCUUGGAUAAUGAGAUAUUGUAGAGCUGGUUUUCCCUUACAUUAUUUAUGUAAUGAGUUUUUUAUUUCUUCAUUUUCUUUUUAAUAAACAUACCACAGAGACAUACAAUUUUUUUUAAGCAAUGAGAUAAGUUUGUAGCUGGCCCUUACUGCAUGCAAAUGCAUCAUUUUUGUCUCAACAUUAGGACCUCAUUAUGUGUCAAAGAUUUGGCGAAGCUAGUUACAUGACCUGUUAUUCCCAUAUUACAUAUUUAUUAUUUUUACAAUGUUUUGUUAUCUUGUUUAGCUAAGGUUCUAGAAUCGCAGCAAAACAAUAUUUGUGCAUAGGCAUGUUGUAUAUAUCAGACUUAUAAAUUGGCACUUUGUAUGCCAUGUUCUUUUGAUUAGUUAUUAAUUUUAGAUUAGAUGAUCUACCAUCCUCUUUCUAUGCAUUAUAAUUAUUAAUUUUAGUUCAUCUAUCAUCCUCUUUCUGUGCAUUAUUGUGCGACCACUUUGAUAUCUUGGAGCACUUUCUGCCCCCAUUUUUCAAAAUAAUUGCAGCUGAACUCAUUAGUAUACCCUAAGUGGCUAAGUGUUAUAUCUAUGGUCAUAUACUCAUAUUACGAUUAACAGGUGGCAUUUCUCAUCUAGAAACUGACUAUAUUACAUUUCCUCAUUUUCUAACCAUUUUCUAGUAUCCUUCAACAUUCAUUUUCUUUUUAUAUUUGGUCCAUGUAAUUUUCCUCUUCAAUUGAUUGGUAAGCUAUUAAUUUUUAUAUAUCCUUAGCAAUUGAUUUCUAGGUAUUAUUUUGAUUCUCCGAGUUAUGUAUUUCACCAAUUUCAUUUGAACCCUUUGUUGUAGCUCUAUUUACACUUAAUUAAGGAAAGAAUCUUGGUCAUCGUGUAUACUCAUUUUUGGAAAACUCAAGUACAUUCUCUUGCUGUAUAACCAUUCAAAUGAUUAUAUGUAUGUUUACUUUAAUGAAAAGAUUAAAAGUUCUAAUAACAUGACCUCAAAAUAACUGUAUAUAUGCACAUAACCAAGCAAUGGUGCAAAGGGGUCGGAUGUAUCACAACGACCACUCAUGGAUAAGCACCAAUCAAUAGACGAAGGCACUUAUAGUGUCUCAACAUAUAUCGUUAUAUGUCUGUAAGUUGUUCCCAGCAGGUUUUCCAAUCUGCAAGCAAGCUAUGGGAGGUACAGUAGGAGUGUAGAGCUCCCCAAAAGCUUGCCAGCAGAAUGGGUUGUUCAGGUGGUAGUGGGGUACUUGCACUGGUCUGAGUUGCACACCGGUAAGAGAGAUCCCUGAACAAGGUAAGCUGUCACUGCAUGCAAAGUGGACAGGUUUGAUUGUAAAUGUCCCUCUGAUGUUCUCAUACUGGACCCCUGAUACUGCCACUGCUGAUGUUUGAUUUCUGCAAGUGCUUUUGUCACAAUAAAACUGAUCUAUAAUAAUAGGCGUUUGAACUUCUGAGACUUGUAUAUUUGAGAACCUUAUGUCUUGAACCAAUCCUACACCACCCUGCAAGAAACGAAAGUUCAGUUUAUUUAGCUGAGUAUAAGUAUUAUUGUUUCGCUUGGCGUCAUCAUUUUUUUUCCUUCUUGGAACCUUCCAAGGUUGUUGCUUGUGUAGCUAUCAAAAGAUGACAUUUCUUCUACUUUUCAGUUUUUCUUUUGCGAGGUUGUCAUGUAAGUGUCUGCUGUUGAACUAAGAUUUUAUUUGUAUGUAUGCGCCCAAGCUUACCUGCCAGGUCUUGAUCCUGACACCAUUCAUGGUUCUGAACAUGUUGACAUCUCUUACUGUAACAUUUGAUACACAUGCUUUUGUGUUGUCCCGUCCCAGUCCACCUAUGCUGAUUCCAUGGCCUGGUCCACAAUUCACGUUGUGUAUAUUUAUGUUGCUGCAUCCUGUCUGGAUGGAGAUACAGUCGUCACCUGCAUAAGACAAAUUGGUCACGUUGAUGUUAUACUACUUUGGAUUAACUGUGCAAGGUAGCUGGAUGUUUCAAGUACCCUUUACAAUAGUUUUUCGGUGUACCCUUAACUCUGAAACCUGUCCUUUGACAUGCCGACUGUACAUGAGCUACAGAACUGAGGUGCAAGCUUUCAGUUGACCCUAGGUAAUUCUUUUUAAGUCACGAGUUUGUAGAUAAGGCCUCAUAUAUUUAGAACAUAUGAAUUGCCUUGUGUUGUUGAAAUUUUCUUUGUGCUAAAGCUUGGUAAAACAAAACUUUAAGCAUAAUGAAUAUAGCUUAGAUGCCUCUUGAAUUUGGAUGCAACAAGGAAUUACCGCAAGCCAUAUUCAUAUGAUGAAUGCUGACAUCUUUGGAGUUCUGCAGGUGUAUUCCGUCAGUGUUGAGACUGUUCUCAGGGGAGGAUAUAGUCACGUCGUGGACCAUGACUCCUUGACAGUUGUCAAACUUAAGAUGGCACUGUGAGCUGUUGACAAUAGUGAUGCCAGAUACUAAGACGUUGAAACUACCAUAAAACCUCAAUGCCUGCAUCAGGUUACGAAAUCAGAUUUUUCAUUACUUUGUUUCUGUACGUGAUCAUAAUGUGCAGAAAGAUAAGUGAUAUUCUUACUGUAGGUUUAAUCUGCGGCAUUCUCUCGAGCUCCACAUCGUACUGCAGGAAAGUAUCCAAGGUAAACUAACACGACCAACUUUUCAUUCGGGUAAUUAUUGACAAUCAUACACCUGGUGGCCAGUUCUUACCGUGUCAUCAUCAUCCUCAUCCUCUGGGUCUGAGUAGGUCCACCAUUGUUGCCCUCUGCCAUUUAUGAUGCCAUUGCCUUGAAUUACUAUUCCAUUUAGUUUGGUGAACUCAAGCCACUGGAGCAAGCCAGAACCCCAAGGUCUAGCACUGGUUGGAGCUAGGAUUGUUCCUUCCAGCUGAACAAAAUGAGUACAACAUGAAACAAAAUUACUCGUUGCACUUAUUCUUCCAUUGUUUUACCAAAUUAGACGAAAUACAGUCCUGCCCUACCUUUCUUUGAUCAGUUUGGGCAAUGAAAGUUAUCAAGAAAGCGUUUUUUUGAGUAUCUAAUUUGGGGCUAAGCAUAAUUUACCUGGAAGACAAUGUUUGGUUUGCAGUAAGGCCCAGAGAACGAGAUUGGCCCAACAAGGAACUCUAGUUCUCGUGGUACGAGAACUGUAGAUGCCCCCUGCUUGCAGGCAGCAGCCCAGGCUCCUUCAAAAGCCUGUAUGCAAAUGCAUGCACAAUUAUUAGCUCUAGCUUCUUCUGAAAAGACAGUCCUCUGGAAUCUAGCAUCACAAAAUCAAAUGAGCAGGGGGUAAGACACACUCCGUAAAGCCCACUCAGCAGUUGCGCUGUGCAUCUUACUUUUUUGGCCACCGUGCCGGAGCAAGAGGCAAUUUAUGACCACCAAAAAUGAAAUUGGAAAAACCAAGUUCUUUUUAAUGAAAAUACAAAAGAAGUCAAUAUAAUUGAUAGAGCUUUCAAACAAUUCGACAAUGCAUCUCAAAAUAUUUUUAAAUGAGGUUUAUUUUGUUGCAAAUUCGCUACAAAUUUCCUAUGAGUUUUAUUUUUGCUUUUUAAUAAGAACAGAAAAAAUGUUACUAUUGAUUCAUGUCGUUUGUUCUUGCAAAACAAAAAAAGGACCAGGUUAAUGCCAAAAAGAGAGUUUGCUUAUUAUCUAUCUGUAAAGCCUGAGGAAUCUCAAGAUUAGAAUAAUUUUUUGUUUGUUUCCUCGGCAAAUAGAAAAGUCUUGCAAGAGCAGUGGAAAAGGUUCUCGUGUUGUGGAUCCUGACUCUUUGGUGUAACCUUUGUUCUCUUCCAUGACUAUAAAAAAAAACUUGACCAGCUAGAUGUGUAAAUGCAUCUGUUCUGUAUUAGGUGCAACAAUCAUGUGAGAAGGAAAGAACAAGCCAAACUAGAAACAAAUCAAAUGCUGGCAACACAUGCAGACACGCGAAAAAGACUCCAGAAAAAAAUAUGUCACUUGUGACAACUCUCUCGGGCUCUGCAUUAGAAAUGUGAGGUGGUGACAGUAAACUGGUACUAUUUUCAUAGGCAACAUUGGAAUGCCCACCACCAUAGAUUGCAGCUGUUCUUGCAAAUAAAUUGGGGCUAGCACAAGCAUUCAUAGUAAAUUCACAUUUCUAAAAAUUCAGGAGACUGAUCAACAUGGAGUGCUCAUGCAGGUCAUGUGGAGGCGAGUCUGAAACAAAGCAUUUGUAGGGGAAAAUGGACAAAAGGAAUUGGCAUUGAGAAUUUCCAACUCAGAGAAUGCAUGAUGCUUGAUAAUUUUGUAAAUUUAGUUUGAAACAGAGCAUUUGAAGGCGAAACUGUCGACCUUAGUAUCAUCUGUGACUCCAUCACCCUUGGCUCCAAAAUCAACCACGUUGAAGACUGCACCCUGUGAGGCUGGUGGUGGCAGUGGUGGCCGCGAUGGCUGUUGAUGACCCUUUCCACAGCCUGGAGUCGGCGGCUUGGGACUCGGAUGCCUACUGCUGUUGGCAGGGCUUGGACUUGGGCUGAAAGGGGCAUCCGGAGUUGGACUUGGCUGCUGGUACGGAUUCUGAUUUCCUUUGCCAGCACCAGGGCUUGGUGUCGAGCUGACCGGUGGCUUCGGACUUGGCCGGUUGCUACCAUAUUGCCGGUGGGAGCUACUCUUCUUUCCUUUGCCUUUCUUCAGCUGCGUGGAGCCUGGUGAGCUCCUUGGCCUCCAAUGCUUGCCUCUUCUCGCCUCGCUGACCUCAAUGGUGGAGCAAAGAGCAAGCAAGACAAGGAGAAGCAGGAGGCCGAGGCCUUUUGCUCUCAGCUUCAUCCUUCUGUCUGUAUCUAUUGGCUGUGUGGAUUGUGAAGGUUGGAGUGUGUAUGUGCUGGGUAAGUAGAUAGAGAGCAGAGAGCACGGAGCGAGAGGCCUGUGCGGAGGGAAAGAGAGGUGGUUUAAAUAGCAAACCCCAGAGCCGGCCAUGUUCUCGUGUUGUCAGGAUUUUAGAUGAAAAUGAAAUGGAAAAUGAUUGGGAAAUGGGACCCCAAGUCACAUGCACGCAAGGGCGACAUAUGCUUCAGUCUUGUAUCUGCACAGUGAAGUUGUAGCGCCGCCUUUUUACUUUUUCGUUGCAACUAUUGUCAUUUGUAGGAUUUGAUUUCCUUUGUUGCGCUAUUAUAUGUGAAUCUGUCGUUUGUGUUUAUCUUUCGGCGACGGAUCAACCUGGCAUGGUUUUUAGUGAACUCCUGUUAUUAUGGCAUUGAUCUUGUCUUUGACUAGUAUUUCUCUAGUAAUAUAGGGCAUCAAAGAUUAGGCGAUAUGGAUUGAUUUGUGAAAAAAUGGAGAAUCUUUCUGGUUUGAUUAAUUGCUAAAGAAUAAUUGUACAUAGAUAAUGUACAUGGCGUAUAAUUAGUGUGCCAGAGGGAGAGCAUGCCUGCAGCUGAACUUGUCUAGAAUGAGGUAUCCAUAGAAAUUUUUUUGGAGAGCGAGGUGUUUAGGGGCAAAACUGACAGAACUUGUACCGAGAUGGUGCCUAGAUCAUGACAUGCCGAGUGUUGCCUCGACCUUGCAUCCUCGGCAUGUGCACGGCUCUCCGUACAUUUGAUCCUAAGAUAGGUCAUCGUGCCCUCCCUUUUCUCCAAUUUAAGGAGCAUUACUGCGCUUAUGCCACCGUGCCAUGGCUGCACUAGCUACUGUACAGCCAUGUGUAUGCCGCCAGGGCCAGGUCACAAUCUGGCUGCACUAGCUACGUGACCGAUCCGCAUUCACUGCCCGCGACUCACCACGGCUCAACUCAGUUUCCUCCGAGCUUGUAGGCGCUGCCACUGAAACUGCCCAUUUGUGGCUCGGAAUGACCUCGGUAACCCAUGCGGCGGCUUCUGACGAGUUGCGUGGCUAGAAAUGACGGUGGUGCGGUGGAACACCGGCGGCGAGCCGGCCGGCCAUACGUGGCCAGGAAUGGCCGCACGCUGCACGGGGGCCGCGCGCAGCGUGUCACAUGCCCGCGUUUCCGUCAGCCGUCUGGCGCUGGCAGGCGGAGGCGGGUGAUUUUGCCAAAGCCAGCAAGCGUCCACGCGCGGGUGCCGGCCGGCCGUCCGUGGCCCAUGGCAGGAGCGCAUCACGCAUGUACAUGUGUGUGCUCUGUGCUCUCCCCCGGGUCACAUGGCAACGGUCACGGGCGGAAGCCUCGCGCUUGUCCGCACCUCGGCCGGCGGACCCCAACUGCCGCAACCGGCCGGGCCGUGUUCGGGUCCCCCACGCAGCCACCCGAAAGGCUAGGCAACCGAGCGCAGCAGGCACAGCCACCACCCCUUCUCCGCCUCUCGAGCGUCCUCCACUCCUCAUCCAAUCAUCCAUCCAUGCGCCUGCAACCGGCCAUCGACCUCUCCGUGGCUCCGCGCCGUCGUCACCGCCCUUCCGGAUCGGGGCGGCUCUGGCUAGCUCCAUAGGUCACGGCUCGCACGACGCGGCUGCCGCGCCGGGGAUCGAGGGCGGAUUCAGAUCUUAGCGAGCUUUUCAGGCUCCCUCCUAGGAUCUACAUCUACUUGCUGCUGCGCUGUGAAAUGCACACGGCCAAUUCGUGUGUUCGAGUGAAGUUUCUUUUUUUUUUGACAUCGAUGUGGUUUGUUGGACGGUAGCUGGAGCAGAACCGAGGCAGUACGGAGGUGAUGUCUUGUGACGGUAGGAGACAGGGACCAAAUCAAGAGGCCCUGAACCCAACUCGCUGCUGCGGGCCUGUUCCACAUGUCGAGGUCAGGGCCCGAACGAACACCGGCGGCACAGACAGCACCCAGCGCUAGCUGCAGCGCAGACGUGCAGUACGUGCUACGUACGCUCUCCCGGUCGUGGAGGCCGACACGCACGUACAAGUUUGGGACAGCACAUCGCUAGCUCCUGUUUCCUUCGGUACAUCACAUGCAUGCAUUCUCCGCGCAGCUAGCUACGAACGCAUUGGUCGCCGGUACGGAGAGUCAGAGCCAGAGAUUGAUAGGGUUCUGAAUUUGCAUCGGAGUUUAUUCAUCACCGCAAGAACCUACAGUAGUUUAGGUCUGUCUGACAAAUACUCAGUUAAUCAUGUGCAUGCCACCGAGUCAACCGCGUGCGUGUUCACUGUUCAGUGCUAUUCACUCACGAGAUGGAACCGGCCGAGAUCGAUCCCUGCAAGAAAAGGUUUUGACGAUACAUGGGCAUGAUGCAUCGUGCCCCAUCUGAAAGACAACCACAAGUACACCGACAAGUCGUUGGAAGAUUAAUUACUUCAAGGUGGCAGAUGGAUACAGACAUUUUUGCUUCGAGGUAGCUGUAAACUUACAAGACGAGGCCGGAAUUGAACGUACGCAUAAUGAUGAUGCCACGACCCGGCCAGCAGCGCGCGGCCUGCAAGCUAGGGUCGCUCGUACUCGUACGUACCCACGCAGCUACUACAUACACCUCGUUGUUCCUGUAUCUGUCAGCAGGGCUCACGAGCUAGCUCAUGCCGGCCUCCAACCGGAUCAACCUGACAGCGGUCGUGAGAUACAAUACAAGCAUACAACCAGGCAAAGCAUGCAUGCCCGCAGAUGCGGCUCGUCUGAUCCGUCGCUGUGUCCAUCGUCCGUCAUCAGUUCUACUCCGUCAUCAGUUCUACUCCGUUCUAAAAUAAGUAUAAUUCUAAAAUAAGUGUAAUUUAAAAAUUUAAAAUUUAUUCUAAAAUAAAUGUAGUUCUCAAUUUUUAUUGCAACUCUAUCUCUAUCUCUGUCCUCCUCUACCCCCUUCUCAUUUCAUGUGCACUCUCUACUUUUUUAUCUAUUCUUAAUUUUCAUGCUCAAUUUCUAAAAUUAUACUUAUUUGUACUUAUUUGGGAUGGAGGGCCGGGAAUAGAUCCUGGACCGCUUGGGGUGUGUAUAAUAAACCAGCUUUAGCUUAUUAGCAUGUGACUCCUAGUUAUACGUGCGAUCGCGUUAAUGCCGGGCCGGGAUCACAAGGCGACGGCCUCGCCGCUUUGUCAGCUUGCACGCGCGCGCGCCGUCGCGUUCCGCUGCUGGCUCUUUGACAGCGCUGCAGCAUGCAAUUCUAGCUGGGCGCUAGACAGGUGUGAGGUGUGUAUCUUUUUUUCCCCCUCUUCAUCAAACAACCUUGUUGUCAGUCAGGGCGAAAUAGAAUGUCUACGUGUUCUUGAUGAUGGUGUUAGCUAAAGAGAUCGAGAUGAUAUAUGUAGCUAUGCUAUAAAGCCACAUUUGUUUUUUACGAAUUUUUUUUUUGGGUUUGAAGAAGCCCUCUGUCUACGGUUGUAGAGACUACGUAGAGACAGAAGUAUUGUCCCAUCUUCUGUUCUAAAUUGAAUACAAGCCAUUUAAGACGUUGACACUGCCUGCUACGCACAUCUCAUAUUUUGGAACCAUACCAGGCAUACCGUAUCUGUCCAUGGUGUACUGUAGCUACCGUGCCACAAGGAGAGCAGGUGUGCAGCAUGCUUAUCUCUUACGUUUGGAUCACAUCCUCCUCGCACUACAGGACAGUGAGUACACCAUCCUCAUACACCACGGGGGCGAUGCAAAUAAUCCUCCUCCCAACCCCCCCAGAUAAACCCUGCACGCAGGCAGCUUGCAUCCCGUGGCUGGGUAGCUGCAUGCUGCCGUUGGCGCACGCUUUGCAGCUAGCUGCGGGAAAUUAAAACGCAUGCAUGCGUAUGGCUGAUCGAUCGAUCGAUAGGGACAUACGGUUCGCUACUGCUCAGCGGGUGUUUGGUUUUUAGGCUUAUUUUAAGCUCUGUUAUAUUAAAUAUUUUAAUACUAAUUAUAAAAUUGACUGCAUAAGUCUAGAGUUUAUUCACGAGAUGAUUCUAUUAAAUCUAAUUAAUCUAUAAUUAAUAUAUAUUUGCUGUAGCAUCAUAUGGGCUAAUCAAUUUAAUAGAUUCGUCUCGUCAAUAAGUAUAGAGAUUAUAAAAUUUAUUUUAUUAUUAAUCUAUAUUUAAUACUUCUAAUUAGUAUAUGAACCCGUCAUACAUAAAACUUAAAAUAAUCGACGGGAACCAAACAUCUCCUUAAUUUGCUUUGGGAGAUGCAUCGAUCUAGCGGCCGGCAAGGCAAAUAAAGCCUCCCACCUAGCUAAGUAGCGCUAGCUGUCCGCUUGCGCGCGCUCGUGAACCUCGAGAGGGACGCUCGUGACCUGAGCUCUCGAUCCCUGUCCAUCCCCCACGCCACCACGUCCCGUCCGCCGCCGCGCGGCCCGCAGCUCCCUGCCGUGCUCGAUCCGUGCGGCUCGCAUCCGCUUCGCAUGCACGACCUGUCCUGGCUCUCGGCACAUUGGUUUCGGCCGGCGGUAUUGCAUAAUUGCCGCACCCGCACGCCUGUGUGUUGUCGAGUGCAAACCCGUUUUGUGCGAAUGAUGCUCGUAUUUUCAACUCUAUAGAAGUGCAAACCCGUUUGUGGUGACUGCAAAGAUUAAGAAUGAGGCUUCGGUAUGGAUUCUGGCUGGGGCGAAACAAUUGGUGUGCCAAGCUAAUUGGUAGAGCUUGAGGUUUUCUUUUUCUUGGCGUGCUGGCUCUCUCAUAAAAUUUUUUCAGUUCUGUAGCCGCUAGGCUCUAUUCUCUUCUUAUUAAUACAACCGGCAGCCCUCCUGCCAGUUCCGUUUUUUAAAAGAAAUGAUAGGGAUGCGUGACCUCGAUUAGCUUAAUUAACUCGAGACAUUUCUUGUUUUUAAAUGGAUGUGGAGCACUGGUCGAUGGGGAUUCUCAGUUUCUCAUCAGGAGGUACGUACUCGCUGCGAUCUUGGAGAUGUGGCCGUGUGGUGCUUUAUUAGGGAAUGAGAUUGCUGGCUUUCGAUCUAUGAUCUGUGAACCCGGAACGACACAGCACUUUCAUGGGUCCUAGGUAUAAUUAAUAGACAUCCGAGUUCUCCAACUCCUGCUGAUUUGCUUUGUCUUUUGCAUCGGUUACUUUGGUAGAGACGUCGUAGAGCUAAGCUGCCCGAUCACGGCCCCACGAAACGGGAGAGAUGUCUGCUGGCCUGGCCUUAAAAGCCGGGAUGGGCUAGUUGGCCCAACCCAGCAAUAGAGAACCUACUCGCUUGUCUCCGCCUGCCGCAGAGCUUCACUUGCUUGCGCGCCAUCGGAGCUAGAGCUACUCCAAUGGCAGUAGCUGUUUGACUUUGUGUGUGUUAGGCUAUAUUUGGAUCCACCCCCAAAUGGUAAAAGGCCAAAUGGUAAAAUUUUUGCUCCUGUCACAUCAGAUAUUUGGACGCUAAUUAGAAGUAUUAAAUAUAGUUUAAUUAAAAAACUAAUUACAUAGAUGAGGACUAAAUGACGAGACGAAUCUAUUAAGCCUAAUUAAUCUAUAAUUAGCAAAAUUACGGUAGCAUUUGCCCUUUUGCACUUUGGGGUGUUUGGAUCCAAAAAUGCAAAAAAAAUACAAAAGACUAUGCACUUUCUCUUUCUCUUUCCCAUUCAUCCAAACACGGGCUUAGCCUCCGAUGUUCCAUCUGCAAUGUGCUUCCCAUCGCUGCGGCGACAUGCUGGUAAACGUGAAGCUAGCGGCGCCGUCCCAUCCCAACUCCCAACCACUCGCAGGCAGAGCCCCCAGUGACCCCAAGCUGCCAUGGCGGACAGCUUCGCACGCCGGGUCGUAGGGGUAGGGACGUGACGCGCGGGGGCGCCGCUGUCUGCUGGGCUGUGCGCUUGGGGUUGGGGAUCGAAAAAACUUGCCUCGCGCUGCGGUGGAAGUCGCCGUCAUCCUGAGAUUCGAGAAGGCAGCGACCGGUUCAUCGUCUCCGCGGUUGGAAAAAAACGCGCGUCCAGCAGUGCACGCAAAGGCUACCGAUCGAUCGUCCGAGCAUCCCAUUCCACGGUUGUUUCGAGUAGGCGGGAGCUGCUCAUCUAACCCCACACACACCGAUUAAAUUAGCACUGCUACCGCCACGACUCGAUCACUCAAAGGCUCAUGCACACUGACCUGAUGGCGAUGGCUACGCGCACCUGUCCCGAUUGACCUGCCAGAUAGUAGCAGCUCUAACACUAAACAAUUCCUCGGCAGUCUGGUUCACACUCCAUGUCCAAUGGCGCUCCGAUCUCGUUACGCUCCGCGGAUUACAAAAAUCGAGUGGGAAUUUGAGGCCGGGCAACUUGCCUGUCCCUUUUUGCAGGCAGCAGACCCCACGGACGGAAUUGGCAUGUACAGUAGUGCGCUCGGGUGGAACGGGAUCAUGCGUGAGCAUGUGGUUGGUUUACCGAUCCAUCUGUUAAAAUCUUUACGACGCUGAGAUCAUGAACCUUGCCGUGAUCCCAAAGGUGAUCCCUUCUUUUUUUCGUUUUCCAUAAGGAUGCACAGUGACAUAUGCAUACAAGUUGCGCCUUUUCUUUUACUCCGUAAAGGAUUACUACAUGUUGGAACAGCGAUCGGCCUGGAUUCAUGACAAAGAUUGAAGCCC